rnacentral:lncRNA from 1 species
GCCGCUGCCCUCUCCUAAAUCCAGGCCGCCGGCCAAGCUCUAUUACAAAUCCGCUGAGCUCCAACAACCAAAAAACGGGCUGCAGCUCGGGAUUGCAUCCUCGGAGCUUGCAGCCCAGCUGCUGCACCCCUGCUGCCAUGCGAGCUAUGGCCGUGAGGGCUUCCAAACACGCCCUUAGGGUUUGAGGUUUUAGGGAUUCUUCCCCCGUCCAUCGCCGGUCACAUCGCCUCCGGGAUGCAAGCGAGGCUGGUCGCGGUUGCCCACGCAAAGCCCAAGCGGCUGUCGCCCGCCAGCGAGUUCUGGUGAUGGUGGCACUCACUGGGCAUGGAGGGACAUGUGGUCCACUCGCAAUUCGGAGAUGGUGAACAAGGACAUCACCACCAUGAUAUUGUUUCAGUGGCUGAUCAGUUAGAGCUGCUUCCUGAGCUACAGAUAAUCUGACGCAUCAGCAAGAGACUACCUUUUCUUGAUUAGCACAAAUUGGAUAUAGCAGUUUCUGCCAAUAUUGCAACUCCAAUCCAACAACCCAAUAGGAGAAGCGAGGGUAUGCUUAAAGGUGCCUUCUCACCAGUGGAAGUGUCUUCAAAUAACAUUUUAGGUGGGCCUCCAGUUGGGUACAGUAUUCAACACUUCAAGGAGAACACAAGCAGUCUUCAGCUUUCUGCUUGAGAUAAGAAUUGAUGAUAAUACAAACUGCACAGCACUUGCUUCUUCCUAUUGAAGAGCAACCUUCCCUUCCACAUAUCGUGUACAUUUCUGCAACAGGCCCAGCCCCCCGUUUGCAUUGGAUAGUAGUGCGUAGGUAGACAUUCAUCCUGACAAUUGCAAACAGUUCUUCCGUAACGAAAAUGGCUGCACCAUUUUGCCAGCACUUCCUGGCUUCCUGCAAUUUCCUAGCGAUCUUCCUCUUGUUCUUGUUGUUGCACGUAAAUUCUGCUCUGAACUGAAGCUUAUGUGCUCAUAUAUCCACGUUGACACAAUGCCAUGUUUUGGAGGUGGUGGCUAUGAUUGCUUCGAUUGCAUCAACGAUAAAAGUUCACCGGGCUCUUUAACAAGAAGCACUAAAUCACUUGUUGAAUUAUUCUCAGCCAAAACAAUGAAUUAGUAGCUAUUUUCCAAAUAAAGAUCUUUAUUUUCUGAGGAACAUGUGCCUUCCAUACACGACCAGAUGUCACGAGCACCUCUGUUAGCUCUGCUGCAUUGACCACCAUUUUCUUUCAAUAAUUCCACAUUCUCAGCCAGUAUAUAAGCACUUCUCACUGUGAAUAACAUGCUUCUCCGGUUUCCAUGCAAUGUAAUCCCCAGAAGGGUUUGUUGGCAGUCUGAUUGAGAGAAUAGCUUCUGCAUCAUGGGGAUAAAAAAUCUCACGAAUUUGCUGCUCCUUCCAAGAACGUGAGACCGAAUCAAUAGAUCAGCCACUACUUUUAAUCAGUUAGAUUUUUCUGAUUUUCCUCCUUAUGUUUACAUUGGCGAAGUAAUCCAAUUCACAUUACAUACAUUUUUAUGUUACUGUUUUUGAACCAAACAUAUCCUCGCUUUCUUUGUGCGCUGACUCUCCUUUCUGCACACAGGGGCGGGUGAACUCGACAGAUAUGGCGGUUGACAAGUGGGUGACAGUGGUGGAGCACUCAAAGGAGAUGGUGGGCGAGAAGGCGGCGGCGGCGGCUCGAGCGGCCCAUGAGUCGAAGGAGUACAGGAGGUCGCUCGUGGACAUCGGCCUCACUCUGUUGAUCGGCGUCGUAUUCAUGCUCCUGAGUUUCCUCGUGCCGGAGAUAUCCAAGGUGUGGCAGAUUCUGUGUUGGCAGACCACGAUGAUCUCUUUCGCAUGUGCCGUGUUCUUCACCUGGAUCCAUCUGAGGGAUUUCCAUCCCAAGGUGGAGUCAUCUCGGGUUUGAAGAACUGGGAGUGGAGGAGACAAAGGUUGCUGGAAAAUGUUGAACUGAAGCCUUGUCACACAAACGUAUUUGGUUGAUGGACCUUAUUCUGGAAAUGUACAGAAGAAAAAUGAUUCAAAUUUCUUCUUCAGCUGAACAAUCCAUUCAAGAAUCAGUUAGACGUACCGUGAUUAUUCUCCACAAGAGUACUGCAAUGAUAUUGUUGGUGGUGUUCUAAAUUGACCUCUUUUUCUAUUGAAGGAUGGUUCAGCUGCUUUAUUUAUAAGUAAAACUAUAGCAUUAUUUGAUUCAAUGAUGCAGAUUUGUUGUCUUGACUUGGCCUCAUUUUCGACACCCUGUAGUACAGUUCAUUUAUAUGCUGCUGCACUUGGCAAUCUCACACUAGAAUUUUUUCUCAAAAAAAAAAUUAUCGCCACUCGAAAGAAGCAAACAACAAAAAUAAAUGUGGAAAGUAUUGUUUUUUUUACCAAGUAUUGUUGAUUGGAGUCUCUGCAAUUUCUGUGGUUUUGUGCUAAAAUGCCUAAUUCCCCAUGCUUGUUAAUAAAAUGUAAAGCAUAUAAUUUGUUUUUGUUUUUUACAACUUCUGGAUCUGAAUACUGACUUUUAAUUGCAUUGUUUGGCUAAAUCUGUUUCAACUUCAUGAACUCGGCCGCCGCCUAAUCAAGCACGCUGGCGGACGAUGGACUGCAGCAGGGAGAAGGUGCCAGGGGCAGCACCGUCAGCAGCAGCGCUAUUCACCACUGGUCACUCCACCGCCAGCGCCUCAUCCAAUCAGUGCUAGCUCAUCUGCUUGUGCUUUUUCAGAGUAUUCCUUCUAUAAUUCAUUCAUCUGCUCUUUGUUUUUUCUGGUUGAAAUAAGUUUAUAGGCGACUGAAGUUGUACAGCACAAAAUUAGUGGAGUUACAUCAUGAAAUUAGGGAUCACCUGGUUGAAUAAUUAUCUGCUCUUUAUUAUGGAUAAUUGCAGAAUGUAUUACGUACUAUACUCUUGAAAUCACAGUCAUAUAUACUACAGAACAGUAGCUUAGCUUACCCAGUGCGGGGUUAUUUUCUCAACCUGAUCAAGUCUAGAAUUUGUAGAUAGUUGUGUAUUUUGCUCUUAGGAAAGUGAUGGCUGUUACUUCCUCCGAUCUAUAAUAAGUGUCUCGGGUUUAGUACAAAUUUGUACUAGGCUUAGUUUAAAACCGCGACACUUAUUUUGGAUCAGAGGGUGUACAAUUAGAAAACUUGCAAUGGCUAUUUAGUUUAUUAGAACACUUGUGUAUUUUGUCCAAGAACCAAACAUGGGUAAGAAAGGGAAGAUGUUCAGUCUUGUCAGGAGUGUGUUGAGCUCCUCCGAUUCAAACUGGACGCAAGCUUGCUGACAUUAAUUGAAGGUUUUUAUAAAGUGAUAAAUCACACAUCAAUCCUACUCUGUUGUUCCAGUGCAGUUUUCUUGGUCGUGUGAACUUGUAAAACCUCGCAACCUUUUUGUGUUUGAUGAAUUUUGGGUUCCAUGAACAAAGGUAUAUGUGUUUGGCGUUACAUUGGUUCUUUUAUGCAUUGUCUGAUUUGUGCUCAUUACUUGGUCUUCUUCCUCGUCGGUUUGGUGACGAAUCAGCGGUUCGACAACCUGUCUUGCAAGAGGUGUGUCCUCGGACAAAGUCCGUUCAACGAUCUUAAAUUCUCAUCGGUUGCGAUGAGCGACUCACGCGCCUAUUUAAAACCUAUGAGGUUAGUGCAUAUUGUGCAGGUCUAGCCUUCACCCAUUUGAUCACCAGAGACAUGGAGAAAUUUUAAGAUACGGACGACGGACCUUUAGAUUUUUACUUUAAAGAAUCUUGAUGUGAAUUUUAGUUUCAUUAUGGAUCUUUGUUGUCGGUUUUUAUUUCAGUUUUUUUAUUCUUUGUACACUGUUUAUUGAUUCAAUAAAGCCAGAUGUCUCUUAAAAAAACUCAUUCUGAUGUUUUGUUUACUGAUCAAUUCUAAAUUUUAGCAGUAAAAAUGAAGUUCUCCCCGGGGAUUAAGUUAAUGAUGCUUUCCUAAUCUCAAGCUAACUCACAAAUAUAAAGGGAUUUGACAGAAAUUUAAAUCAACUAAAAUUAACUAGUCUUUUUGGUAUUUCCGUGGACCUUAGCAAAAACUUGACAAAAACUUAACUGAAUCUACUGAACUAAUUGAAGAAAAGGACACUAACAGAGCAGAUCAAAGCAGUGACAAAGAGAAAGAUUUGGAUAAAGCAAAGGGUUUUUGGUGAAGGUAGAUGAACUAGGAGAUCUAGAGGAAAGUUGACUGCAAGAUUUGGGCAAGGAGAGAAUUGGGAAUUGGGAAGAAUCGCUCAACAGAUCUAAGAGAUAGCAGCAAGGUUUUAGACAAGGAAAGAUUUCUUGAGGAAAAGAACAUCACAUGGAGAACAUGUUUAGAAUAAGCAACAUGACAUGAAAAAUAACAACACACAUGAACAUUAACUUGACAAAAAGUUCAAAUUUAAACAUGAUCAACACCAAAAAUUCAUGAAAAUAGUUUUAAAAAGGGUACUGAUCAUUUACAACCUCCCAAACGGCAGGCGACCACAGGUCCUAUUUACUUUGAACUUUGAGCAUAUACAGUAUACAUGUAGCCUUGGGUCCCAGAGAAAUCUGGAUAUGGUUCAUGAGAAAGUGUGCUAUACCUUCACAGAGGUUCUUGCUCUUUCUCUUCUUCUUUUUUUCUGAGCAUGAUUUUUUCGAUUCCAACAGUUUCUCGUGAGUUAUGUUUUCUUUUCUUCUCCCAUUACAUGAUGGAUACGAAUUGAUCAUUCGUUUUCCUUUUUGUUUGACAAAUCGUGGUUCCUAACAUUACUAAGAGAGAAUCGUGUAGUGGCAAGGACCACUACACCAUUGCCUCCUUGUCUGAAGAGCGAGAUGAAGAGCCAAAGCAGGUAUCUCUUGCUCGGCGCUAUACGACCAACACUCGUCAAUCAACAUAUCAAUCUGCAACCCCACUUGAUGAUCAAACACCACGCUGCAGACGCUACCGUCGGUGGAGACCGAGGACAGGAAUAAAUCCGUGAAUUUCACUAAAUCCCUAGACAAGUCACUCAAUCGCUUGUGAGCACCAACAAUGGCUUACCUCAAAAUGGAAAUAGUGUAAUGUUUUUGGCUAAGGCAGCAACGAAGAGUCAAGAGGGACGUAGACAGCUGAAAUGUCAACUCCGAAACUAUAGCCUACAAUAUUUGCAAAGUCGUCGCAUUAUUGUUGCUUGUAUGACCAAGACUCGCGCGACUACAUUCCCAGACCAUAAUCGCCUUAUCGCGCCCGUAUUGCAAUUCUUCAGGCCUGAUCAAUCCAUCAUGGAAUGGUCAGCUCCCGCCUGCUCCAUCACUGUCCUGAUCCUUGUGUCCUUCCUGCCGUUGCGAGCGUCCGACGACCGCCUCCUCCCCAGCAAGCCGCUCUCCCCUGGCGCCACCAUCGUCUCGGACGGCGGCGACUUCGCCUUGGGCUUCUUCAGCCCCUCCAACUCCAGCACUACUCCAGCGAAGCUGUACCUCGGCAUAUGGUACAACGGCAUUCCCGAGCUCACCGUGGUGUGGGUCGCGAACCGAGAAACCCCGGCCACCAACACCACCAAUUCCUCCUCCGCGCCCACGCUCUCCCUCACCAACACCUCGAGCCUCGUUCUCUCCGACGGCGGCCGUGUCCUUUGGACGACGACGCCUGAGACCGACGUGGCCGCUGCUCCAGCGACGGCGGUGCUUCUGAACAGCGGCAACCUGGUCCUACGCUCGGCGAACGGCACCACGCUGUGGCAGAGCUUCGACCACCCGACGGACACGCUCCUGCCGGACAUGAAGAUGGCGAUCAAGCAGGGCGCGCGCGCCGCCGGGCAGCGCCUGGUGUCCUGGAAGGCGCCGGGCGACCCCUCGCCCGGCCGCUUCUCCUACGGCGGCGACCCGGCCACGUCCCUCCAGAUAUUCCUGUGGGAGGGCACGCGCCCCGUGUACCGCAGCGCGCCAUGGACCGGGUACCGGGUGAAGAGCGAGUACCAGUUCCAAACGAGCAACACCAGCGCCGUCACCAUCUACCUGGCCGUCGUCGACAACAACGGCGGCGGGGAGAGCUACACGACCUUCAGCGUAUCGGACGGCGCGUGGAAAACAAGGUACGUCCUGGCCUACUCGGGCGAGCUCCAGAUCCGGAGCUGGAACGCCAGCUCGUCGGCGUGGGCCGUGCCGGGCCAGUGGCCCACCUGGGCGUGCGACCGCUACGGCUACUGCGGCCCGAACGGGUACUGCGACGAGACGGCGGCGCCCACCACCCCGGCGUGCAAGUGCCUGGACGGCUUCGAGCCGGCGAGAGGGGAGGAAUGGGACAAUGGGAAUUUCUCGGCGGGGUGCCGCCGCAAGGAGGCGCUGCGGGGUUGCGGUGAUGGCUUCGUGGCGUUGCCGGGGAUGAAGCCGCCGGACGGGUUCGCGCUCGUGGAGGAGGAUAAGUCGCUGGCGGAGUGCGCGGCGGAGUGCAGCAGCAACUGCUCCUGCGUGGCGUACGCGUACGCUAACCUGAGCAGCGGCACGUCCAAGGGGGGUAUAGCAAGGUGCUUGGUGUGGGCCGGGGAGUUGGUUGACACCGGGAAGCUAGGCUCAAGCCCCGCCAGCGACACGCUCUACCUCCGGCUCGCAGGCUUGGACGCAGCACACGGUACCAAUCCAAUCUCUUCCCUCCUCAUUCUCUAUGUUAGUCUUUUUUCUUCUGAUGGUGACUAUUUCUAGUUCUUUUCCUGGGCAAUUAGGAGGGGAGAAAUUUUCUACCUAAAAAUAUUACUCACUCCGUUUCAUAAAGGUUUCAAGAACACGAGUUUAAAAAUAGGGGUAAAGGGCAUAGAUAGUCACUUCAUAAUUAAUCCACAAUCCAGCGGCCAGUCUAAAAGCCCAUAGAUAUCACAAAAGUUCCUCCAAAGAGAGUUUAACCAUUACGGACAAAAAUUGUUGGUUCUUUAUACUCCCUCCGUCCCAUAUUAAGUGACGAAAUAUUACAUGUAUCUAGACGCUUUUUAAAUAUAAAUACAUCCAUAUUGGGCAAAGUUGAGUCACUUAAUAUGAGACGGAGGGAGUAGUAAAAAAACAUAUAUAACUAGGCAGUUACACAUUUGUGAAAUAUGGGCAACUUCCCUUUUAGACAUGUGCAAGUGCGCAAGCGAGCAUGUUCAUGUACAUUUCUACACCCAGAGAUGCACAUAUAAUUGUGUGUCUAGAUAUUAUAUUGUGUCACUUGGUUUAGAGAUAUAAACUCCUCCCUACGAUACAUAAAAUGUGUCGUCCACUUAGUACGAAAUUUGUACUAACAUUCAGUACAAAAUGGGCGAUACUUUUUAUGGAUGGGAGGGAGUAGAUUUUCAAUGGCCUGAAAAUUAGCAAACCUGUUAUUUUAUAAGAAAUGCCCACGGUGCAACUCAAACACAUGCUUUAAACUUGUAAACUGGACCGUUCAUAACACUUCGCUUUUAUGCUAUGGUGCAUGGACAGGUACAAGAUCAAAGAACAAUGAAGUGAAGUUUGGAUUGCCAAUUUUAGGAAUUAGUGUUCUGAUACUGGGGUGCAUUUUUCUUGCAUGGCUGAAUUUCAGAGGUACGUUAAAUUUAUAUUCCUCUAGGAACUGCCUAUUCGACCUUUUUGAAAUAUUUGAGUUUGUAUAUUGUACCCUCGUGCCGCAGAAUAUUCUAAACCCCGUGAAUUUGCAAAUUCGCACCAGAGCCUAUUUAAGCAAUGUAGUCAUUGCAAUUAAUAGAUAAGACAAUAAUUCCACAUGUUAGUGAUGUCUGCUUCUUCUUCACACCCCCUCAUCCGGCUCCCCCCUCAUCUUCUACUGGGUAGAUUUCUGUUAACAAUCUAAGACAUGGCUCUCUCGUUGCUUGACCAUGGUAUCCUUGGUGGGGGUCUAGUAUAGUAAACUAGUAACACUAAUAUGCCAUGGUGGUUUUUGGUUAUGUGAAUUUACAACGGGUAUACAGUGGACAAACACUAGCAGUUAAAUCUGUGAAAUAAAAUCUUAAUUUUUUUAUCUUAUUUGUUAUGUGUAUGAUAUACUCAUGGAUGUCGGUUACUGAAGCAGGCAAGAAGAGAAACCAGGGAAAGCACAAGAAGGUAACAGUGGAUGGUUCAAGUGAACUUGAAUUUCCACUUGUAAGAUUUGAGGAAGUUGCCCUAGCAACACAAAAUUUCUCUGAAAAAUGUAUGAUUGGGCAGGGAGGCUUUGGUAAAGUUUAUAAGGUAAUUUGUUCUAUAGUAGUAUCCUCUUAUUCAUUCUAAAUCUGUUUAAGUAACUUAAUUGACUUGUUCAUAUGAAAACCAAAAUGCAUGUUUUUCCUUAACAUUUUGAAGGGAACACUAGGUGGUCAACAGAUUGCCGUCAAGAGGCUAAGUAGGGACUCUCAACAAGGGACAAAUGAGUUUACGAAUGAAGUAAUUCUCAUUGCCAAAUUGCAACACAAAAAUUUGGUUCGACUCCUUGGAUGCUGUGGCGAGGCAGAUGAAAAAUUGUUGAUUUAUGAGUACUUGCCUAAUAAAAGCUUAGAUGCCACCCUUUUCGGUAUAUUCCAUCAACACCACCAGAAUUUCCUAAAAUAACUCAACAUGUUCUCUUACAUAUUUUCUUUUGAUAGAUGAUUCAAGAAAACACUUGCUGGUUGGGUGACUCGGUUAAUAUAAUCAAGGGAGUGGCAAGGGGGUUGCUUUAUCUCCGCCAAGAUUCAAGGUUGACCAUUAUUCACAGAGAUCUCAAAGCUGGAAAUGUUUUGCUAGAUGCAGAGAUGAAACCCAAGAUAACCGAUUUUGGCAUGGCAAGGAUCUUUGGUGAUAACCAGGAAAAUGCAAAUACGCAAUGUGUUGUCGGAACAUAGUGAGUAAUUAUUUGAACCAUUAACUUGUAUUAACUCAUGGUUAAAUUCAAACCCCAUUCCCCUAACUGUUGCAAGUGAAAUAAUCAAGCAGUGGCUACAUGGCUCCCGAGUAUGCAAUGGAAGGUGUCUUCUCUACCAAGUCAGACGUCUAUAGCUUUGGUGUGUUACUAUUAGAGGUUGUAACCGGCAAAAAGAGAAGCUCAGGCAGUCACACCAUGGGCUUUCCUAGCCUCAUAAUCUAUGUGAGUAAAUACUCCCUCCGUCCCAUAUUAAGUGACUUUUUAUUACAUGUAUCUAGACGCUUUUUAGGUAUAGAUACAUCCAUAUUUGAACAAAUUUGAGUCACUUAAUAUGGGACGGAGGGAGUACAUGUUUUAUUUUAAGUGCCAAAUUAAAGAAAGAAAGUAAGCCAUGUUUCUGAAAGAAAAGGGUUAUUUUCUACAACUCAUAGAGGGCGUUUCAUAUUGUUUCAGUCGUGGAAUAUGUGGAAGGAAGGGAAGGCAAAGGAGUUGGUUGACUCAUCUAUCAUGGACACCAGUUUAAUGGAUGAAGUCUUUCUUUGCAUCCAUGUGUGUCCAGGAAAACCCAGAUGAUAGGCCGCAUAUGUCAUCUGUUGUGUUCGUCCUGGAGAACGGAAGCACCACGCUUCCAACCCCCGAUCUUCCCGCCUACUAUGCACAACAACGCAUUGACUUGGAGCAAAUUAGAAACGAUAUUCUGAACUCCGUGAAUACUUUAACUCUUACCAAUAUUGAAGGGCGAUGAAAUAAUUUGUCUAAAGAUGGGCUAGCCCACGUGUAUGAGCUUGUAGUCUAGUGGUGGAGUGAAAUACUGAAAUAUUUCCUUCCUAUCCAGAGUACAAAAGAGUUGUUGUACUGAAUCUUCGACACUUGUUAUGGAUCGUAUGACAUCAGUUCAGAAAUGGUUGUUCAGUCAUCACUUAAGUUUCAGCAGUGACCUGCAUGCAACACAGCAAACUACGUUUAUCAUGUGCCUCUGGAUUUAUUUAUUUAUUUAUUUUUUUUUAUUUUUUUGCAGGGAUGUGCCUCUAGAUGUUCAUGCUUAAUAACAUGGGUAUUAAACUAGCUGAGAGCUCAGAACUAGAACAAUUGAGGGGCUUGAGGAAACAUCGAAGGAGCACGCUAUAAUCAAAGCACAUAAAUUUCUGCACUUUACUUUUUGCCUCUUACACAAUGCCAAGCAAAGAGCACACGCAGGGAGACUGGAGUGGAGAGGCACGAAGGCAGAGUUAAGAUACCUAACUUGGCAUCUGCUUAGUCUAAAUAAGCAUCAGUGCUUAACAAAAACCGGUUAAUUUUUUUAAGCACCCACCUAGGCAUCUUGCAUUGUACAUGCUCUUAGGGGGUUGGACCACCCUGAGAUUUUCUAAUCAUUUAUAUAACACGGUUAAAAAAAUUCAAAACAUCAAAAUAACUAAAUUAUAUGAAUAUUUUCACUGUUAGACCACCGCGGGGCGCGGGCGAGGGAAACAGAAUGAAGGGAAUGUCGAAGAUGGGCGACGUACAUACAGGUCCGAAGAAGAAGAGCAACAUACAUCAAAUAAAUACACGAGCAGAGUAAUCUAUAAACUCAGAGCAAAUGAAUUUUUGUCAAAGAAUUUAAAAACUCACACAAAAAAUUCUAAAUUUGGAUUAGUGAUACAAAUUAGUUCAAAUAUGGUUCAAAGAGGCUCACUUGGGACCGCAGCUUCUAGCUAGGUUUUCUCAUCUUGCAAAAUCACCACCGUGGAUAAAUCUCCUCCUGAUCGAAUCUCCCGAAUUGGUGACGGUGUUGUUUAAUCAAACUAGAGCACGGCGUCGAGACCGCACAUUAAUAUCUAAAUUUCUCAUCGGUCAUCGGUUGACGCACUCAACCAUGUCGGCCGCCGUCAAGACUGCGGGCGAGCAGUGAUCUGAUCGGUGUACCGUUAUCUUCGCGCCGAAGCAACCACCAAAGUUGAGGCCAUGGACGUGAGGCGUUUACUCGAUGUCCAUGUUGAUGUAGAGUUGCUUGACAUUUCCGUCCUAGUUCUAGUUCUAGAGUUAACUGAGGAUGCUUCUCUUGACGUUAGGCAGCGGGCCCUCAUGAACGACGAGGUGGAUAUAGGCCUCGAGGUCGUGGCAGCAUGAGGCAUCGGCAUCCAACCUAAGGUAUGUCGAUGCCAUGUUGUCAGCCUGAGCUCGCGGCCCAUGUUUGCGUAUCACAGCCUGUCGACAUCGGGAAAGAAGCAGCACAGGAAGACAUCAUGCACAUUCACCACAGGAAGGAUCCGCGCGCCUCCGCACGUUAUAUGGUCACCUACCUACCGCACGUUGUUGGCCACCUGCCUGCCAUGCUACUAAGAGCAAGAUUAAUAAUACAAACAUGUAUAAUGCUGGCUAUUAGCCCAUCAAUAGAAAACAUGUAUAAUAGUUAGCUAUAAGUAUGCACUAUUUUAUGAAUACAUUGCCCGCAUCUCACUCUCAUAGGAAGCCUAGGGGCAUGUGUGAUGCCACCGGCUGUUAGCUAGCAGCCCGCUUCUCUCCUCUCUUCCAUUCAACUCAACAAAAAUAUAGUAUUUAAAAGCUUACAACCUGCCCACGUAACCAUAUUGUACUUGCUCUAAGCUCUCGACUUGCUAUGGUUAGGGAAAUUGAGUACGAAAGAGCGUAUGCAUUCGAGUGAUCGUGUCGGAAAGAUGCAAUCAAUAUCAGCGAUCAUACGACUUGCGAAAGGAAACAAACACAUCCCCAUAUGUGGAGGAGGCCAAGGGUCUGUUUGGAUUGAGCCCCAGAUAGCCCUACCAAAAAAUUGGCAAGCUAUACUUGUUUGGUUUGCAGCCCUAGUGGAGCACCAAUUUUUUGGAAAACGAUUAGGCCACUAUUUGGUUUGCUUACAAGUACAGUUUCUGCAACUUUCAGUUCUUGAACGAGCAGAGAAGAACACCUCAAUCAAUUUAGAUCACUGAAGCAUGUAUAACCUGCUCCAAAUUCUCUUGCACUGGAGCAUCUGCACACCACUAGGAGCAGUACGCCUCCAUCGAUUUAGAAAUAUGUUGACCACAUCGUCGGGAUUUUGAGUUCUUCUCCAACUCCGGCCAACGCCCGCCGCAUCGAUUUCUUUGUUUUCCGGCGGGGUAAAGAUGGAUUCCUUGGGCAUCUAAAAUCAAAGACACAUAAUCUUCAUUUCCCAUCGAUCAAUUUUGAGUUUUGGACCCUGUAGCAUCACUCACGGGGAUGUUGCCGCCGGCCGCCACUUUCGCUGGCCGUAGUUUGCACAGCCGGACAUGCUGAUGCCACCAACGUAUUCCUGGAGUUCCUCUGAUUCCGUUUUGUGCUUAUCCGUCAUCCCCGAUUGCCCCAGAAAAAAACGGGAAAACGCAAGACAUGCAAGAUUAGCGAGAGGUUACGACGAGAAAGAGAGGAGAAUGCGGCUGCCAAAUAUUUGGCGGAGGAUUUCUACGCCCUGGACUCGCCCGCGAGUUGGUGAAAAAGCACGGGCGCGCUCGGGCGAGAGUUGGCUCACCAAAUUAUCGGUCACAGUCCAAACAACGGCCAAAUGUCACGGGCGUACCAAUUUUUUGGUAAGGCUUGCGUUGGCCAUAAACCAAACGUACCCCAAGUACACAACAAAAUACUGAAUUGUGGGAGUAUAUGGGCUGGAGUAAUGGGUCGAUUAUUAAAAUUUUGGACUGAAUUGUGGGAGUAUAUGGGCUGGAGUAAUACAUCAGUUACAGAUGUGUGGACGUGUGGUUUUAUGCAUCAAUGGAGAGUUUGAAGAAAAAAAAAAUAUUACAAGUCUGGAGGACUUAGCCACAUGGAAGAAUAAUUGAACCCCAUCAUGUAGUAUCCUGUCCUCUUCACACCAUCACCGAUACUUCGGUCUUCCCUGCAAUACAUACGGUCACCACUGCCCGAUGUCAGCGAGUAGAUCUGGUCGCGCGGCAACUCCUUCUCCUUAUUAGAGAAGGUGGGGCGAGAGUAGUAGAUGUGGUUUCUCUCCAAACCGCGUCGUUGGACGCCCAACGGCACGUGCACCGCCUUAGACCGCAGCAGCCCCCAAAACAAGGCAUAGUUGUCGAAGCUCGUAACCUCUUCCCAUUUGCAGUCGCCGGAGUCAGCAUCGACAAGCUUGAAGACCUUAAAGAAGGCUUCGCGGUUAGGCAGCCACCGGGUCCUCACAGCCAUGGACAGUUUACCCUGUAGCUCGAAGAUGUGGCCGGCGUAUUGCACGGGUUCAUCCCGCCUGGUGGGGCCAUCACGCCUUUGAAUGGCCAGCACGUGUGUGGCUGUGACCACCGGCGAGCCAUCUUCCUCCCAGCCGAUUGUAAACUUGAUGAGCUCCUCAUCCGGUGCAAGAAGUGUUGGAAUUUUGGGUUAGGCCCAAGGUCCAAUCUGAAAUUAAUUCCUGAAAAAUCUCAAAAGCCCAUUCAUGGAGUGGAAUGAGGAAGUGGGAAUAGUCCCACCUAGCUAGUUUAGGAGAGUUGGAUCAAUAUAUAAGAUAUGUUGGUUCUAACCUCUUGAACAAGUGAGCAAGGUAAAUCCCCACGCGCGCUCAUCCUCCUCCUCCUCCGCUCGCCUCGCCCCACGCCACGCCACGAGUUUCGUGGAUCGAUUUGGUCGGUGCGGUGCAGGGUCGUGCUUAUCUUGUUUUCCAUCCAGUCGACUGCGUGCAUAGAUCGUCGGGAGAGCAGGCCUCUGGAACCCCGACCUUCGAGAUCCUGUCCGAGAGACUGUCGAUAAGGUUUUUGGGAAGCGUUCUCAUGCGACUGCUCGCUUCUUCACGUCCCUGUUUCAUCGGCAUCUUCAUCACCAAUGGCCGAUGACCUCGGAGAUCCUGCGGCUCAGACUGCCGCUCUAGCUCAGCAGCAGCAGGCUGCCCAACUCCAAGCCCAGGCAAUUGCUGCUGCACAGGCGCUGGCCGCUGCCCAGGAGGUAGUCAAGACUGCUGCUGCUGCCGGCAUGAACAUCGACGCCGCCGGACUCGUCACCGACCUCAACAAACAAACACAAGAAAAGAGUACAACACUGUACGUCUGCUCUUUCUUGUUGAUUUUGAUUAGUAGUUCUAUUAUUCAUGUCGUGAAAUUAGAUGAGUUUUAUUAAUGUGCGUUGCUAUUUAAUUUGUCUAGUUUGCAUGAUAUAAUAUGCUACAUGUUUUACACAUUGUUUUUCUGGAUUAAAUAUUCAUCGAAAUUACCUAAUUAUUCAACAAUCCAAAAACCUUAUUCGUGUAGCCAAUUUUCGAUGUCUCAAUUUGCUGUCGCAUUGAAACCACCUGUGUUUACUGGACUGCACUUUAAGAGGUGGCAGUAUAAAUGUCAUAUGUGGCUCGUGGCUAUGGGCGCAUGGUGGGCGGUACAACACGGGAAGACUCAAACAAUUGCUCCUCAACAGUUGUAUGUUGAGGCUUGUGUUGUAGUCGUCGGUGUGAUCUGUAGUAUGCUGGGAGAUAAGCUCGUUGAUGCUUAUCUACACUAUCAGGAUGCCAAAGAGUUGUGGGAUGCGCUCGAUGCUAAGUUUGGCGCAUCUGACGCCGGCAGUGAGCUGUACAUCAUGGAGCAGUUCUUUGACUAUAAGAUGGUUGCAAACCGAUCUGUAGUGGAACAAGCUCAUGGGUUACUGACUAUGGCUAAGGAACUUGAGCAAUUCAAGUGUCCACUACCCGACAAGUUUGUCGCCGGGGGCAUCAUGGCCAAGCUUCCUCCCUCGUGGAGGAACUUUGCUACUUCACUAAAACACAAGAGACAAGAAAUCUCUGUGGAGAACCUGAUUGGGACUCUUGAUGUUGAGGAGAAGGCGAGAGCAAAAGAUGCUGGCCCCAAAGGCAACACGCAAGAGGGUACGUCCACUGCCAACAUGGUUCAGAGGAACAACCACAACAACAGUAACAGCAAGGGAAAGGGAAAGGCAUUCAACAAUGCUGGUCCAAAAAACACUACCACUUUCAAGAAGAAGAAGAAAAGAGGCAACAAGGACAAGGAUCCUUACUUUGUGUGCGGAGGACUCGGCCACUGGGCGAGUAACUGCAAGGAGCGCAAAGGAGGACAGAUUCGGCAAAAGUUUGCUAAUUUGACCAUUGGUAACAAUGAAGAUGCAGGUGGGUAUAGUCAUUUAUUUACUGUAUUUUCUGUAUGUCAGUCCACCGAUUGGUGGUCAAUACAGGUGCAACUAUUCAUGUGUGUGCUGAUAUUUUCUUGUUUUCUUCAUAUCAGGCCAUCAGCUCCUCAGUGACGAUGGGGAACGGCGCUCAUGCUUCUGUUCAUGGUGUUGGCACGGUGGAUCUGAAGUUUACUUCGGGAAAGAUCGUGCAGCUGAGGAACGUGCAGCAUGUGCCCUCCAUUCAGAAGAAUCUUGUUAGUGGAUCCCUCCUUUGCAAGGACGGAUUUAAGUUAGUGUUUGAGUCCAAUAAAGUUAUUGUGUCUAUGUAUGGACAAUUUAUUGGUAAAGGUUAUGAGUGUGGAGGCUUGUUCCGCUUAUCCCUUUCGGAUUUUUGUAAUAAGGUCGUGAACCGCGUCAAUUGUAUUAAUAAUGAGUCUAAUGUUUGUCAUUCAUGACUUUGUCACAUUAAUUUUAGUUGCAUGAUGCGAUUAGCAAAUCUGAGUUUAAUCCCUAAAAUCACUGUGGCUAAAGAUUCGAAGUGCCAAACUUGUGUGCAAGCGAAGCAGCCUCGCAAGCCUCACAAGGCUGCUGAGGAGAGGAACCUAGCACCAUUAGAACGCAUACAUUCUAAUCUUUGUGAGAUGAACGGUGUAUUAAUCAAAGAUGGAAAACGUUACUUUAUGACUUUCAUUGAUGAUGCGACUAGAUUCUGUUAUGUGUAUUUAUUAAAAUCAAAGGAUGAAGCAUUGCAUUAUUUCAAGAUCUAUAAAGCUGAAGUCGAGAAUCAACUUGAGAAGAAAAUUAAACGUUUGCGGUCUGACCGCGGUGGAGAAUAUUUCUCCAGUGAGUUUAAUUCAUUUUGUGAGGAACAUGGCAUAGUCCAUGAGAGGACACUUCCCUAUUCGCCCCAGUCAAACGGGGUUGCUGAGAGGAAAAUCCGCACGCUGACUGACUUGGUCAACGCCAUGUUAGACACUGGUGGUUUAUCCAAGGCAUGGUGGGGGGAGGCGCUAUUAACUUCGUGUCAUGUCCUAAAUCGUGUUCACACAAAAGAUAAAGUCACCCCAUACGAGCUAUGGGAAAAGAAGAGACUCACACUUUCUUACUUACGGACUUGGGGUUGUUUGGCGAAAGUCAAUGUGCCAAUUACCAAGAAACGUAAGAUUGGACCAAAAACCGUUGAUUGUGUCUUUCUUGGCUACGCACUUCGGAGUGUUGGCUAUAAAUUCUUGGUUGUAAAUUUUGGAGUACCUGACAUGAGCGUUGGUACAAUUAUGGAGUCCAGGGAUGCUACAUUCUUUGAGAACAUAUUUCCCAUGAGAGAUAUGCAUAGCACAUCUAGAGAGGAUCAUGAUGUACCUGCUGAACCCGUCAGUUCAGAGGAACAUCAGGAUCAUGGUGUAGCUCCUGAACCCGCCAUCCUAGUGAAAAAUCUUGAACAAACACUUGAUGAGAUUCCUGAGGAGUAUGACAAUGAAGCCCCUAUUAGGGGUAAGUGACAAAGGAUUGCUAAAUCCUUUGGUGAUGAUUUCAUUGUUUACCUUGUGGAUGACACCCCUAAAACCAUUAAUGAGACUUUUGCAUCUCCGGAUGCAGACUAUUGGAAGGAAGCCAUUCGUAGUGAGAUGAAUUCUAUCAUGGCUAAUGGUACUUGGGAGGUCGUUGACCGUCCGUACGGGUGCAAACCUGUAGGAUGCAAGUGGAUAUUAAAAAAAACUUAGGCCUGAUGGUACUAUUGAGAAGUACAAGGCGCGGCUUGUGGCCAAGGGUUUUACACAGAAAGAAGGUGAUGAUUUCUUUGAUACUUACUCACCUGUAGCUCAAUUGACCACAAUUAGAGUAUUACUAUCACUGGCUGCCUCAUAUGGUCUGAUCGUCCAUCAAAUGGACGUUAAGACAGCUUUCCUUAACGGAGAGUUGGACGAGGAAAUUUACAUGAAUCAGCCAGAUGGAUUUGUAAUAAAGGGUCAUGAAGGCAAAGUGUGUAAGUUAUUAAAAUCUCUAUAUGGCCUGAAACAAGCUCCUAAGCAAUGGCAUGAGAAGUUUGACAAAAUUUUAACAUCUGCCGGCUUUGUUGUAAACGAAGUUGACAAAUGUGUAUACUACUGCCAUGAGGGGCGGGGGUGAGGGAGUUAUACUUUGUUUGUAUGUCGAUGACAUACUAAUAUUUGGGACUAACCUCAAAGUGAUUGAAGAGGUUAAGACUUUCUUGUCGAAGUGCUUUGACAUGAAAUAUCUUGGUGUAGCUGAUGUUAUUCUGUACAUCAAGCUCGUGAGAGGCGACAAUGGUGAGAUCACUUUGUUACAAUCUCAUUAUGUGGAAAAGAUCUUGAGUCGUUUUGACUAUGCUGAUUGUAAACCUUCUACAACUCCUUAUGAUCCAAGCAUUCUGCUUCGAAAGAAUCACAGAAUUGGAAGAGACCAACUGAUAUAUUCUCAGAUUAUUGGUUCACUCAUGUAUUUGGCUAGCACAACUACACCUGACAUCUCUUUUGCUGUGAGUAAACUGAGUCGGCUCAUUAAGAAUCUGGGAGAUGAUCAUUGGAGUGCACUCGAGAGGGUCAUGCGCUAUUUAAAGGGCACAAUGAGCUAUGGUAUACACUAUACUGGGUACCCCAAGGUACUUGAGGGUUAUAGUGAUUCAAAUUGGAUAUCUGAUGUUGAUGAGCUAAAGGCCACUAGUGCAUAUGUGUUCACACUCGGAGGGGACGCUGUUUCAUGGAAGUCUUGCAAGCAAACGAUCUUAACCAGAUCAACAAUGGAAGCAGAACUUUCAGCAUUAGAUACAUUCACGGCUGAAGCCGACUGGCUUCGUGAGCUCUUGAUGGACUUGCCGAUUGUUGAAAAACCAAUACCAGGGAUUCUUAUGAACUGUGACAAUCAAACUGUGAUAGUGAAAGUGAACAGUUCUAAAGAUAACAUGAAGUCAUCAAGACACUUCAGGAGACGUCUGAAAUCUGUCAGAGCAAUGAGAAAUUCCGGAAUAAUAGCAUUGGGAUAUAUCCCAACGGCUAAAACUCUGGCAGAUCCCUUUACAAAGGGUCUAUCAAGGAAUGUGAUAGAAUCUGCAUCAAGGGAGAUGGGGUUGCGACCCACGUGAGUUACCAUGGCGGUAAACCAACCUAUGUGAUCGGAGAUCCCGUGAAUUGGGACCUGGGAAACAAGUCAUUGGAUAACUGAGGAGAGUGUACAUUCUUUAUCCCACUCCGUUGACGAUGCAUUACUCUCGUGUACUGUAUGGUAGGUUGUUAACUUAAUGUGUUCUAACGCGUUACAUUAAUUUGCAAGGGAGAUACUGUCCUACAGAGUAGUCUCUAAAGAACACACCUAUAUGAACCUGACUGUCGGUCGCAGUCUAUGAGAUUUAGGUGGUCUCUAGUAAGCUCAUGAAAAGGCCUGGAGAAUGACUUAUAUGCUCCACACCGCGGGAUAGCAUUCGGCAGCCUAAUACCAGACAACAAUUUAGUGAAGCUCUAAUACAGAAAACUGACAAUUCAAGAUUUGUCCAUUGUUCAGUUGUGUGUGAGUGAAGCUAUUUGUUUAGGUGGAUAUUCAACCUUAACCAGUCUCCACUGAAACGCUGAUAUAUCAAAAACAGAGUUUUGGAUCAAUGGCAAUUUUAUGUGCUUAUGAGAUAUUGUGGAGGAUUGUUGGAAUUUUGGGUUAGGCCCAAGGCCCAAUCUGAAAUUAAUUCCUGGAAAAUCUCAAAAACCCAUUCAUGGAGUGGGAUGAGUAAGUGGGAAUAGUCCCACCUUGCUAGUUUAGGAGAGUUGGACCAAUAUAUAAGGUAUGUUGGUUCUCAACUCUUGAGCAAGUGAGUAAGGGAAAUCCCCACGCGCGCUCCUCCUCCUCCUCCGCUCGCCUCGCCUUGUCACGACGCGCGCGCGCCGCGUUUCGUGGAUCGAUUUUGAGUCGUGCCGGGCCAGGCCGGGGCAGGGUCAUGCUUAUCUUUUUGGCAAUCGGAAUCCGUUCCGGACGCGUAACAAAUCCCGAUAAUUGCGGAGUCGGUUUUGGUUUUUUAAACCGAACCGAAGUCCGCCUACAUGCCGAUAUAAUAAGACGACCGCGACCGCGGCCUCCGGACGUAUGACGCCACAACCCUAGCCAUCACGGUCACGAUCCAAUCUCGCUGUUCGCCGCCAACUGCUACUCCAUCCCGUCGACUGCGUGCAUAGAUCGUCGGGAGAGCAGACCUCCGGAACCCCGACCUUCGAGAUUCUGCCCGGGAGACGGUCGAUAAGGUUUUUGGUGAGCGUUCUCACGCGACUGCUCGCUUCUUCACGUCCCUGUUUCGUCAGCAUCUUCAUCACCAAUGGCCGACGACCUCGGAGAUCCUACAGCUCAGGCUGCCGUUCUAGCUCAGCAGCAGCAGGCUGCCCAACUCCAAGCCUAGGCAACUGCUGCUGCACAGGCACAAGCGCAGGUGCUGGCCGCUGCCUAGGAGGUAGUCAAGGCUGCUGCUGCUGCCGGCGUGAACAUCGACACCGCCGGACUCGUCACCGACCUCAACAAACAAACACAAGAAAAGAGUAUAACACCGUACCUAAUCUGUUUUUUCUUGUUGAUUUUGAUUAGUAGUUCUAUCAUUCAUGCCGUGAAAUUAGAUGGGUUUUAUUGCUGUGCGUUGCUAUUUAAUUUGUCUAAUUUGCAUGAUAUAAUAUGUUACAUGUUUUACAAAUUGUUUUUCUAGAUUAAAUAUUCAUCAAAAUUAUCUAAUUAUUCAACAAGAAGGUCAAGGCCAUGCGCAAGGGUAAGGCCAUAGAGAUCACCGUUGCAGAAGGCUAUAUCUAUGAAAAUCCUCUUGCGCCAACCAGACUCCUGGGCGGCCCUGGCCCAGCCGCUGUGGGAGCCAACUUUGCACAGCGCGACGUUGAGCCAAUCCUCGGUGAUGGCGGCGAGCAAGCAGCCGUCGGAGGUGGGUGCUUGGGAAAAGAUGAGUUUCGGGAUGGUGUUUUCCCUAGGAUCGCCACCUGGCGCGAUCCAGUAGGGGGAAGGGAACAUGCUCUGCUUCGGGGAGAGAACCCACCUCAACGCCGGAGAAGAGGUUCACGAUCACGAGCUCGCGGUUGUUGAACGCCGGGACCCAGCCGCCGUCGUGGGAGCCAGUCAGGAGCUUCCUGGCCACCUUGCUCGGGACGCGCAAGACACAACAACUGUCCUCGUUGGGGCCGCACAGGUGCUUCGUCUCGCUGCGGCAGCGUUGGGAGAGGAGCAGCAGUGGGGCUGCGGGCUGCGCCGUCGGGAGGAAAGCCUCAAGUGGACCAUGCCGACGAGGUCGUCGCAGAGGUCGGACCACCGCGCUGACGAUUCUGUGCUGCCGUUCCCGGCGGUCAUCCGCAGAGGCGAUUCGAUGAUAGAUCACGUGUACCGUGGUAUUUGGCGAGUGUACCGACCUGUAAGUCCGCUAACGCAAAGCGAGGAGUUGGUACUAGUCUAUCGGCCGAACAUCAAAUCUAUAGCCGAAUAGAUUUGUUCGAGUAUGAUUGAACAAAUCUACAGCCGAAUAGACAAAUCCGACCGUUCGUAGGAUCGACAACUUUUGUUCUCUGAGAUAAACAAUCAAGGUCUCGUACAGGCUAUACAGCCGUCUUGGCGUUGCAGGCGCGGCCGCAAUCCAGCCAGCGCGUGCCGGAGGGGCCUCUCAACGGAGGACGCGGUCGGUCUGCCGGUCCAUCACGUUGGGCGUUGGGCGUUGGCCGUCACGUACUUGACUUGAGCGACAUGAGUUCGAUGGACGAUGCCUCCUCUUCAAGCAAAUACUCCGUACUUGUGAAAUGUGAGCUCUUAUUUCAGAUGAAAUGUUGUGUUGUCAACUUGUCAAGGUGCCGUGUAACGCCUCCUCGCUUCCUUCUUCCUCCUCGGGCUCACCGGGUGAGCCAAGCAACCCGCUCGCUGGAUGUCAGACACACUGAUCGGCUGAGGAAAUGCUGCUUUGCUUGCAGUUUUUGUGUUCUUGUGCAUCUGUGAUCUGCGUAAGUCACAGUGAUCGGCUGAAGCAAUACUCCCUUGCCUGAUUCCCCUCUUUUCCCUCUGUUUCAAUCUCUCUAUCCGUUCCCCUUUUUCUACAGUCUGUUGCGACAUGGAGGAGAAGAGUUUGAUUCGGUCGACACUGGGAAAUUUCAUCCAGAAUAUGAUUGGUAGGCCCAAGAAAAAAAUGGUUUCAGAAGAGACAAGGUGUUCUAUCAAAAUGCCAAUCAAAAAUGUGUUAUUUUGACUUAGUUUGACACUGAUGAAUUGGACUGCAAUGAAAAAGUACAUAUGAAAGAAGAAAAAGGUUGGAUAGUCAAAAAACAAAGUCAGAAUAUGGUUGGAAAAACUUAAUUAUCAUAAUCCACCACAAUGCUGCGAAACCAACCCUUUGUCUAAGACAAAGAAAGAUGUGCACAUUUUGAUUGCUGAUGAUCUUGGCUAAUUUUUUUUAAAUAAUACUAUUUUUUUAAUCAUUUUUAAAAAUAAUACGUGUUUUUUAAAAAUUUCAAAAAUAAUGCGGCCUCGGCCUAGGCGAGGCCGAUUGAGCUCAGUCGGCCUCGGCCAGGCCGACUGCAGGCCGCCUGCUCAGCCCGCGAGGCCCCCACGAGGCAGUCGGCCUGGCCCAAGCCGACUGAAACCUAGGCCAACUGGCCCAGUUGGUUUCGGCCAGGCCGACUGGAUUCAGUCGGUUUGGGCCAGGCCGAUUCGAAGUAAUUCCAUUUUUUGUUUCGGAUCCUUGCGGUCUUUUGAACUAAAAUACUCAACUUGGAUAAAAGUAACACACCGAAUCCGAUCAGAAGUAAUUAGAUUUCGCCGCGAGUUCGUGCAUGAUCAACGCAUACACAGCCGAAGCUCAUUUUUGUCUCGAAUCCUUGCGGUUUUUUGAACUAAAAGACUUAACAACUUGGAUAAAGAGUAACAUACAUCGAUAAUUUGCUGGACAAUUUUUGUGUCGAUUCUUUGCGGUUUGUUUGAACUGGAAGACUUGACAUUUGGAUAAAUUUGGAUAAAUUAACAUACAUCGAUAAUGUGCUGGUUACAGAACCAAGGCAUGACUAAAUUAACAUACAUUGGUAAUACCGCAAUUGGACAUAAUUAAAGAUAGCAAAUACAUUUGAAACACAAGCACUACUGAGUCCACUUAGCCAUUUUCCGCUCGUAUCGCCACGUCCUUCUGCAGCCUUUGCCACGGCGGCCCUUUCUCUUUGCCUCUCCCUUUCUGCCUCACGAGCAUCCUUGCGACUUUGUUCCUCCUCUUGCAUCUCAAGUGCUUUCUCCCUGUUUUUCCUAAGUGCUUCAUCAAUCCAACGACGUUGUUCCUCCCUAUGCUCUUUCAUCUCUCUCUCUUGCUCCUCUUUCUCCUGGUCUGAAGCUUUUUCCACAUGCUUCUCCGCGUGGAAACACUGCCAUGCAUUUCGGGACCUUGUUUUGAUCUCUUCCACCGCCCAAUCCGGCAUCUCCGUGUCAUCCUCCUCGGCCUCUCGCCCUGGUCCGAGCAAGGCAAACUCAUCGGGGUCACUGGAAUAUUGGAAAAAACAGUAGUGGGAAGGAUGCUUGGAUGACUACCGGAGAUGAGGUAUUUAUAGGCUCUCAAACUCAUUCUCCCGGCACCGUUUCCCGCCUCGUUUUCCCGCCAGCGUUUCCCGCCUCCUUUUCCCACCACCGUUUCCUGCCUUUUUCCCGUCACUGUUUCCCGUCUAUUUGUAUCUUCUGUAACUAUAAAAGACCGUCCAUGGUAUUGAAGUGUAGUCUCACCAUUUCAUCUGGGAAGAUGUCGUCCGGCUUCCCAGAUGAUCGUAGAUUUUGGUCAGGUAUGUCCCGAGAGCUAUUGUGGUUAGCAGGUGAUUUCAAGGUAGACAAUAGGAUAGUUUCAUGGGACGAACUCAUUAGUAGUGACACCCUACUAACUGAGCUGAGCCACCAAUUAUAUAGGUGCAAUUUUCCAUUGAGGACUUCUGCAGAGAUACGGCAAGAACUGCUAAGGUUGCACGAAAGGUGGAAGAAGCACAGUGAACGUAAGAGUGAGUCAUACCUACAAUGGGCUAGAAAACAUCCGUGUUAUGGGUUGAAGAGGAGGAAUCCGAUGAAGAUAUCUUCAUGCCAAGCAAAACGGGUAAGAGUUCUUCAUCGUCCAAGGGGAAGAGUACUGCACCAUCGAAGCGAAAGAGCACAUCAUCGUCCAAGGGGAAGAGUACAUCAUCGUCCCAUGAAGAUAUCUUCAUGCCAAGCAAAACGGGUAAGAGUUCUUCAUCGUCCAAGGGAAAGAGUACUGCACCGUCGAAGGGGAAGAGCACAUCAUCGUCUAAGGGCAAGAGCACUUCAUCUUCGUAGAGUUAGAAUUAGGUUAUCUUAUUUUAAGUUGUCGAUUUUAAUUUCAGUCUUUCUAUUGCAUAUAUAUUUCAGUCCUGCCAUUUUUUAUAUGCAAAUGUAACUUGAAUAAGAAUGCGAAAAAUAGUAACAUGUAUCUCUCAUACAUAGGUAGAAAUAUGUCUCAUACAUAGAUAGAAAUAUGUCUCAUACAUAGGUAGAAAUAUGUCUCAUACGUAGGACCUACAUGCAAAUAUCAGGCACGGUGUCUGGGACGGCGUUCCGGGGGUGCCUAUGGCGUGGUCCAGCCAUACCUAUGAGGUGGCACAACGUUGCGCGGAGGAAUCACGGACCCAUCCUCACGAUACUGUGUAUCCUCCUGUGUGGGGUCUGGUCGCGGAGUACUGAACAUCCAGCUGUGUUGGAGAGAAUAGUGCUCUCCUCGAGCGUGAUCCUGCUCACUAUCCCACGAGGGUUCGGACAACGACGACUGAUGCCCGUAGGGUCCUGCAUGUGGGAAAGUACUUAGCAUUAGAAUUGUGUAGCAAUCAUGGUAAUGAACACAAUAGAUAGAAAUAUACAUACCCUGUGGCUGGGUCUGUGGACGAAACUCGAAGUUCAUCCUGCGACUCUGCUGGUGCUGCCACGCCGAACCUCUAGCCUGAAAAGAGGGGGGCUGCUGCUGCCACACCGAACCUCCAGCCUCAAAAGAGGGCUGCAGCUGGUGCCAAUAGUUGAAAGAAGACUGCGGCUGGUGCCACGACGAACCUCCGGCCUGCUCAGGAGGUGGUGGCCUGGGCGUCGACUGCUCUGGUAGACGUGGACGCGGGUGGUGUCGGGGGAGCGGUGCUUCCUGCUGACAUGGCCGCUGCUGGUGCGUGGAGUGACGAGGUGGCCGUACGGAUGCCUGGUGGUGAACGACGUCCGAAGUGCAGGUGCACGUGAUAGCCGCGUAAACAGAGCGUAGCUUCUCCUUCAUUCGUCUAAGCCAGGACUGGUGCGGCUCCCGUGGUAGUAGAAGUGGACCGGUCGAAAGCGAACGUCCAUACGCAGCGAACUCGGCCUGUAAAUUCUGUGUCAACUGAGCCUGCAAUUGGCACGAAGAGUAUUACAUAUAUAUGGCAAAGUACGUAACAAACACAUGCAUUAUGUUAAGAGAAGAUACUUACCGCGUGCUGUCUAGAGCCUGAAGUAGACUGGCUAGGGUACAUAUCUUGCAAACUCGGCUCGGCUAUCUCCUGGGGGUGAGAGUGCUGAAUGAUGCUCAAUCGGGUAGCUGUCAUGUACCUCUGCAAAUAUCCGUUGAAUAGAUCAAGAUCAAAGGCCUCCAAUGGCCAAACCCGUGUCGUCGCAGUCUCCCACUCUGUGACGUACGACUGAACCCUCUGCAGUCACUGAGUCAGGGUCCUGGUACUUCCCUUCCUGGUAAACCUGAGAUCGCAAUAGAAAGUUGAACAAUUAAAUUAUGGAUAAUUCUGGACGACAAUCAUAAAUUGCAGAACUGCACAUACCUGUGGACGAUCUGUGGAAGUGGAUCAUCCGUCGGUGGAGGAACGACCAACCGGCGUGCCCCAAACUACCUCAUGACCCUCUGCUGGGCCAUCUCCUCCAUGCAGACGUCGAAGAUGAUCUUUGAUUUUGUCAUCCAGUAAGCAUAAUCUCUCGUGCAGACCGUGGACAUCCCGCCAGGGUAUCUAUCAUCGAUGGCAUCUUGUGUGUACGGCUCCUAGACAACCGCCUCAGAGUGCAACACGUCGAACUGCUCGUUGAAUGAUGGGUAGCAAUUCCUGACCUGAUCGUGUGCAAAGCGUCUCUGUAAAAAAAAGAAGUUAGCUUCAUUCAUGGUUUAUGUAAACUAAUGUAUGAAUUUCACAUUCGACAUACCUUGCUACGUGUCCAAAUUGUCGCGAAAGUAGGCAGGUCGAUGUGUUCUAAGUCAAACAACUCCUGCUCAGGGUUAGGGUGAUCACCCGUAACGUCUGGUCGGCCGAUAGAAAACCUCUCCCACGACCAGAGCUGCAACAAUAAAGGACAUCCAAGCAGGGCUGACUUGGGCGACGCAAGCUGGCAAGCGUUGCACAUACCUCGGUACGUAGCCGCUAAGACGGCCGAACCCCAACUCCUCUGUGUGAUGUCGUCACCACAAGUUGCAUUCGCGAUCUCCACUGCAAUAGGGAUGUAGCGUGCGCUAAUGGUGGUGACGUGGUUCUCGGUGAACAUCACCUCCCGAGAAGCCACAUUAUAUAUGCCUCAAGGCUCCGAGUGAUCUGAGGCUCAGUCAUUUGGGUCUCUGUAUACCCAAACUUCUGAAUCUGCAUGCAACAAAAACCAAGUGUUAGUAAACCCAUGCAAGUAUAUGAGGUAUGCUCUUAGAUAUAUUAACUUAAAACACAUCGAUCUAACCUGGUAAUUAGGCAACCAAUCUAGCUUAGGUCCGUGAGCCUCCGAGGUAGGGGCUCAGCUCCGGCAAGAAUACCUUGAAAACGUAGGGAACAAAUUAACCCAUAGUUCCACAUAGCGUACAAAUUAAAACACAGGGCACAAAUUAACACAUACCUUGAAAGCGUAGUGCCAUACCCUCCUGCCAAUCAGCUGGUGCCUGCAACGGUCCUAUGGGAUCACCCACCAAUGGUAGUCCCAGCAGCAUCGAGACAUCCUGGAGAGUAGGAGCUAUCUCUCCCCAGUGAAAAUGAAACGUGUGUGUCUCGGGCCUCCAUCUGUCCACUAAGCAGCUCAGCAGCAAGUGGUCAAUUUGUAGCCGUGUAGAGUUGAAACCUCGUCGCUCACCCUCUACCAUUUCCGCACAAGUUGCCCCAACAAGUCGUGCGAAAGGUAAAAGGCCAGCCCACUUCAAACUGCAUAAAUAAAAUGGACAUGCAAGGGAUGAAUAAAUAAAAUGUAAAUGCAAGGGAUGAUUGAAUAAAAUGUACAUGCAAGGGAUGAAUAAAUAAAAUAGACAUGCAAGGAAUGAAUAAAUAAAAUGUAAAUGCAAGUGAUGAUUGAAUAAAAUGUACAUGCAAGGAAUGAAUAAAUAAAAUGGACAUGCAAGGGAUCAUUGAAUAAAUACCGCUGAAUCCAGGCAGGGUGUAUCAUCCAUUUUCCCUUAGGAGUGCGCGUGACAAGGGGCUCGACACUCUCAGGAUGCGCCACCAAUCGAGCAGCCUGAUGCUUACUCUCAAUCUCCGGAGAAAGCAAUGAUACUCUCUCCAUUUUGUGCCUGCAACAUUUAUAAACAAAGUUAGACAUACAAAUUAAAGUUAAGCAUAGUUAAACCGAGAGUACAUAUUAAAACAUAGUUGAACAAAGCGUACAAAUUAACACACAGUUCCACACAGAGUACAAAUUAAAACAAAGGGCACAAAUUAACACUUAGUUUCAGAUAGUACAAAUUAAAGCUUAGUUCCACAUAGAGUACAAAUUAAAACAUAGAGCACAAAUUAACACAUAGUUUCACAUAUAGUACAAAUUAAAACAUAGAGUACAAAUAAAAACAUAGAACACGAAUUAACACAUAGUUUCACAUAUAGUACAAAUUAACACAUAGUUUCACAUAUACAUGAUAAGCCUAGUUUCUUCCUCUCCCUCGUCGUCCACGUCUCCCUCUUCUACGGGCAGUAGCUCCACCAGUACCGAAAGUUGGACAAUAAGUGUCCCUGUGGCCAAAAUGGUUGCAUAGAAAACAUUGUCGUGACGGUCCUCCGGCUUCAGAUUCAUCCAUAUCAUUUCGGGUGCACCUGAACGGGCGUCUGCCUGUGCCUGUACGCAGUAGCCCGGGGUCAGGAAUGUACCGCCUUUCACCAGGGGUUACCUUGUUGAAAUUGCCCAUUGCACAAAACCCUAGCAUCUCACCCGUCCAUGUGCUAGGCACAGACUCUUUCAGGUAAUAGGGAGACACAAAUGAGAUUGCGUCCAUCCCUAGCUGCCCGCAAGCAACAAGUACAUGUGAGCAACGAAGGUGAAGCAACUUUGGUUUGUUGCAGGUGCACUCACACGUUGGCCACGCUUCAUUUCCAAUCUUCACCUCCUGUGUCCUCAAUUCAUUUCCAACGCCGAACUUGUCAGUUGGCAAGCGCACCUCAAACCUAUGUUCUUGAUUACCGAUGGCGACGACAGUAUGAGACGUAGCUUUUCCAUCUUCUCAUCCAUGUACUUCAUAAUCUUUUCACGGUACGGUGUAUUUGGGUUGUUCAUGAUAUGCAUUUCAGCUCUCUGGCGUCUAUCUCUGAAAUACUUCACCGUGCCAUGGAAAAUACCCUCGACGAUGGCUGUAAGUGGUAAAGCCCUAUUUCCCCUCAGGACAAAGUUGUAUGUUUCUGCCAGGUUAGUAGUCAUGACGCCGUACCUAGCGCCAUGUGUGUCAUGCAGCAAAGACCACCACUCCAGAGGCUUGUGCUCUAUCCACUGCUGAAAGUUUUUAAUCUGCCUCCCAACCCUUCUCCUAGUGCCGGGUGGGUCAAACCCUGGCAAGUCACAAAGCCCAACAAGUUCUUCCUCAGAUGGUCCUGUUCCAACUGCUGUCUGUGCAGCCACUGCUGCUACAUGUGCUGCUACCGCUGCGUUUCGUGCCGCUGUCCUCUCCCUAACAUGUUUCUUCUUGAACUCAUCAAGAUAACCACGUAUCCUAGUGUACUUCCAUUGUUGGUUCUGUUUGCAGAGUUUCUUGAAUAGAUUCAUAAGUGACUUGUUCCUGAACUGCGAGAAGAAGUUGGCCCCCAAAUGCCGCAUGCACCAACGACUCUGCAUGUCCUGCCAUGGAGUCUGUUCAUCAGGCUCAGGGUUUGUCAGUGUCCUUAUCACACUAAGUAUGCCUGCAUGUCUGUCAUGAAGGAUGCACACAUUCGGCUUAAUCAUGCACAAUUGCUCUCUUGAGCUGCCUGAAAAACCAUAACCAACUUUAAGUUUUCUCACCCUCCACGAAAGCAAAUGCGAGCGGAACGAUUUGAUAGUUGCCGUCUUGACCAAUGGCGGUCAAGAUCUGCCCCCUGUAUUUGCCAGUGAGAAAAGUACCAUCUAUGCAUAACACCAGUCGACAAUGAUGGAAAGCUUGAACGCAUACACCGAAAGUGAAGAACAGUCGUUGCAGCACCCUCACAGUUGGAUACUCUGAGUGCAGGAAGUGUUGGAUGUCGACAUAGGUGCCUGGAUUACGGGCUUGCAGUGUAUGGAGGAGGCGGACAACAGAGUCGUACGAGUCGAAAAACGAACCAAAUCUUUCCUCAAGAGCCCUCUGCUUAGCCCUCCAAGCCUUGCCAUACGAAAUGUUGUACUUAAACCUUACCCUGACCUUAUGCAUGAUGGCCUUCACUUCCAUUGCUUUGCUCUCCACUAUCUCCGUGUAAAGCAACCGAGCAAGAAGCGUCGACGAGAGGUUACGAUGGUCUUGAGGGAUACUGGGAAUGACACAUGUGUGCAACAUCAAGUCACUCACAACCCAAUCUGUGUCAUACUUAGGAACAUAGCCAUGCACCCUCCCGGGACAAUCUACUUGUUCACACUCCAUUGUAAGAUAUUUUUGUGAAGAGACUGUUGUUUUGAAAACCCUUUGCGUGGACAUUGCCCAAGCAAUUAUCGCAUCCUGCAGAUGUUUCUUGUCAGCAAAUCUGGCACCCUUCGCAAUGUUGUUCUGAUGAUAUUGUCAUGCAGAGUCGUGCCCAUCGUUCACGGUCAUAGCUGAAGAGAAGUGUUGAUUCCAUGAUGCAGGAGUCGGCACCUCCUCUUUGUCCGACUCAUGAGACUCAUCGUCAUAAGAACUACGGCCAUAUGUAUCUUCAUCCUCCAUCUCGUUCUGCAAGUGACCAUCUUCUUCGUCCGCAUCUGCCUCGCCAGUGUACUCAUCCUCUCCUACUGCCCCGGAGCUCUGGCCUGAUUCAUAACCACCACCUCCAGUAUUCGACACAGAGUUUGCAUUGGACAAGUCAUAAUUUGAUUCACCCUCGCCUUCAGCUGGAUUGGUCUCAUGAGCGACAACCUGGAUUAAGGCGACAGGUGUAGUUCCCCUUUUCUCGCAACUUUUUAACCAGCGCACCCACUUUGAUGUCCAGUCUAUCGGCCUCAAAACCAAAAAAAUAUUUGAACUUGACUUGGUCCACAAUGCUUGCACACGGGCGGUGUAUGUUUCAGGAUUGACCGCUAAACAUCCUACCAACCAUUCCUGCAACUGACUAAACGUCCAUGUUUGAGGGGCCGUUAGAUCCAACUCCACAUACUUAAACUGACUCAGGUCAGCUCCGUGCUCGGUUGUUAAGACAGUACCGGAACCGUAGUAAAAAACAAACUUCACUACACCGGACAUCUCUGAUGCCUAAAAAAAUGUUUAGACGCAUCAAAUACUAAGCAAUACGGCAUAUAAAAAAUAUUAUGACACGUCAAAUACUAAGCAGUACGGCAUAUUAAAAAUAUUAUGACGCGUCAAAUACUAAGCAGUACGGCAUAUUAAAAAUAUUAUGACGCGUCAAAUACUAAACAGUACGGCAUAAAUAAAAUCUAGCCUAAUCAAAACAUAUUACUACCGGCCAUACUAUUUGGACGCGUCAAAUACUAAGCAGUACGACAGAUUUAAAAUAUUAAUAGGUGUCAAAUACUAAACAAUACGGCAUAAAAAAAAUCUCGUCUAUCAAAACAUAUUACUACCGGCCAUAAUAUUUAGACGCAUCAAAUACUAAGCAGUACGACAUUACCCGUUGUCCAAAAUAAUGAGCACUACCAAACGCUAAAACAUACUUCUGGCAUCAUCACCAUUGCUCCAAUCAAAACAUAUACAUUGAAGCAGUGCACACGAAUCCUCAUAAACAUCAUGUGUCUAAGCAGUACACACGUAUCCUCAUAAACAUAUACAUUAUAAGAUAAAUACGUGAGAGAUUAGGAUUUACCCUUGAAGCGUGUGAACCCAACCUCGAGCAACCUCACAGUCACCCGAUGAGCACCACCACCUCCAAACUCCUCCAAACCACCACCAUUGCUCCAACUUUGCACCACAAAAUUAGCUCUACAUGGCCAAUGAAAACAGUAGAUCGAGGUGUCUUUGGGUGCCAACUAGGUAGGGGAUGCGAUUUUGUGGUUUAAAUGGGAUCAAAGUGCACUAAUUUGGGCUAGAAAAUGGGGCCAUUUGAGGAGAAAAUGAAGAACACAGAAGAGAAGAAGCUGGCUGGGAGAACGAGCAGAGGAGGAAGAAGCUGGCUGGGCUCACUCGGGCACGCACGGGAGGGAUGGGAAGGCAAAGUGAAAAAGGAAAAGGAAAAAGAUUCCGGCCCCGAACCCACCAUGCCGCUUUCGGCCACGACGAGGCCGACUGGCCAGUCGGCCUGGGCCAGGAUAACUGCCUCGUGGGGGGCCCACAGGCUGAGCAGGCGGCCUGCAGUCGGCCUGGCCAAGGCCGACUGGGCCUAAUCGGCUUGGGCCAGGCCGACUAGGCCCAUUCGGCCUUGCCCAGGCCAAGGCCGUAUUAUUUUUGAUAUUUUUGAAAAACACGUAUUAUUUUUGAAAAUGAUUAAAAAAAUCGUAUUAUUUAAAAAAAAUUAGCAUGAUCUUGCCGGUAGUUUGGUUUAAUGGAAUAGAAGGUAUUUCGUCUCAAAAAAGCAUUUAAAACAAACAUAAAAAUAAUAUAUCAAUGCCAAAUUUCUCAAGAUGGGUGACGUAGAGGGGAUGAGGAAUGUUCCCAAUCCUAAGCAUCCCGGCUAUCCCAGCCGAAAUACAAGCCUGUCCGGAGAGUACUCAUGAGUUCCCCGUUCGGUUGCAACAACCCCUGCAGGGAUUGAGUGGCGUUUAGAGAAAAUUGAACUAAACUGUCAUCGUUACUUCUCAAUCCCCAACGAGAAAGCCGUGCGAAAAACCCUGACAAUGAGGAUACACAGGGCAAAACCGAAGAAACAAGCCGCUACCGCGAAAACGAAACCCCUCCCGCUCCAACGACGCCGAACAGGGAACAUCACCUUGCGCCAGAGCGGGUAGGCAGAACUGGACUUCUUCGACGACCGGAGACAGGAAGAGGUUGCCCUGACAGGAACGGCUCGCGCAACGGCAAGCCUGCGUAGCACGAAGUCGCCCUCCCUGGCCAGCCCCACCGCGGCAAGCAAACUCUGCCGCCAGACGAGGGCUCCAAAGGUAACGCCUCCAAGGAGGACACGGCGUCCGAAGACGCCACCAUUGCCCGAUCCGAAAAACGCAUCUGAGCUUUCGCUCGGAGGCACCUCGCCUGCAAAAGGUGGGAUGUAGUAGGGCUGCACGAUGACGCCUUCAAGAAGGGAGCGGCGUCCAAGGACGCUGUCAUCGCUGGCACCAAAGGCGGUGCAGGGUUUUCACCCGCAGCCCACGCACCCAGCGUGAAUAGGGGCAAAAAACCUUCGCAAUGAAGAACUGACCAGAGGCCAGAGGCCACCAAAGCUCCGUGCGCACCGACGUAGGUCCGUCGACGCCAAUGGCCCAAACUAUCAGCCGCCAGGGCAUCACAACCGCCCCACGCACCGGCUUUGACGCACACUCGGCCCGCAGGCCCAAGCCGGACCCAAAACGGGCCCGCCCGCCACGGGCCAUCGAGCCGGUCGGGAACCUCCACGCACCGGCAAGUGCACGGCAAUGCUGCAACCACAUGCCGCCUAGCAGAACUGGCCGGCUGCCUGGGCCGGGCUCAUAUGUGAGCCCACGCCACCCAUCUGCACCCAGCAGACCAGUGCCGCCAUGCUGCCCAGCACCGCUCUGCGCCGACGGCCCCACGCGCCACCCCACGCCUCCACGCGUUCCCCGCCGUCAUCUCGCGCCACCAGGCGCCGCCUCGUCGUGGGAGAAGAGGAAAACGCUCCGCCGCCACCUUCCUUUGGCGUGCGCAGGCUUCGCCGGCACCCCCUUCGGCGGCAGCAAAGCAGGGGAAAGGGAGGAGGAGGAGGAAGACCGGUGGCGGCUAGGGUUUCAGGCAACACGGGGUAGGAGGAUGAUCCUUUGAUUUUAGUAUUUGCAUCUAGAUGUGGCCAAUGACUACAGAACGUACCCCAAUGCAGCAACUCAAUCCAUCAAAAAUAAAAAUAAAUCAAAGAGGCCGAAUAGAACAUGAAAUCCGAUAGAUCGAAUACGUUCAUAGGAUCGACACUUUGUGUUCUUUGAGAUAAAGAAUCGGAUUCCUAACAAUAUAUAGAAAGGGAUUUUGUUUUGUUUGUAGCCUUGUAUUAGGCAACUAGCCGCUGCUACUCGUAAUCGAUGGAAACAGAAAUGGGGAUGUCGACGGCGCCGUGGUCCUCCCUCCCCGACGACCUCCUCGGCCUGAUCCGCCACAGGAUCGCCUCCCCGCGUGACCGCGCGCGCCUCGCCGCCGUCUGCUGCUCUCGGCCACAGACCGGUGCCCGCAACGCACAAUCCGGCAGCGACGGCGCGACCUCUCCCGACUCCCACUCCCAGCUCGUCGCCUCUUCAAUCUUCUCGCGCUUGGCGCCUGCAACUCCGGCCAGCUCGACGGUGGAGAGGCCAAUCUGCACGGCAGCCGCAACUAAAGGACGGCACCAACUACCGAAUCAGGGGUAGGCGCAAGUUAGUUUCAGGUUGAGUUGUUGUUCAGAUCCGAGUUGUUGUCACGCUGUUCAGAUUUUGUUGUCGAGUUAGUGUUGCUGCUACUUCGAUUCAUGUUCGUGUGUAGCUUCUACUUGAAGUUUCUGUGUGACCGUGUGUACAGCGACAGCGUGUGUGAUUAUGUAUGUGAGGCUCAAUUGUACGUCAGAUUGCAGGUACGUGUGAUGCUAGUCUGUAUGAUUUGUCGAAUUCUGAAAUGAGAUGGUGCCGAAAUUUCGGAAAUUCCGGGUUACCCGAUACCCGAACCCGAAUUCCGGGUUAUUAAUUUUUUGCUCUAAUUUGGAGUGUUAAAUUUGGAAAUCCGAUUUUUUACUUACCCAAAUUACCCGACCCGAAUUUUCGGGUAAACCCGAACGCCCAGUCUGAUCCUAGUCCUUGUUAUUUGAAACAAAUAAAAAUAAUCAUAGCAGGGGUGUGGCCGGCCGGUACGUGGAUAUAUUUUGUAUCGUGUUUAAAGUUCCAACCGCACAUGUAUGCAUGUUACAUAUCGGAUUCCUUCUUUACUCCAAAAGGGAGAACAUAUCGGAUUCCUAGCUACUUAGUACUGCAGUAUAUAAGAUAAGGGAUUUGUUUGUACGGCGAUUAGCCAGUACUCGCAAUCGAUCGAAAGUUCGAAACACGUAGAGAGAUGUCAACGGCGCCGUGGUCAGAGCUCCCCUACGACCUCCUCGGCAUGCUCCGCCUCAGGAUCGCCUCCCCUCGUGACCGUGUGCGCUUCGCAGCCGUCUGCAAGCCGUGGCGUGCCGCCGCGCUGCUGCUCCCGGCGCCGCCUGCCGCCCCACUGCUGCUCCUCUCGCCGCGCGGCCGCAGCGGGAUGAAGCACUUGUGCGGCCCCAACGACAGCUGGGUCUUGCGCGUCCCGAAGAAGGCUCUCUACAAGCAGUUCCUCGGCUCCCACGACGGCGGAUGGGUAGCUGCGGUGAAUUACGACGGGCUAAUGAUCGUCAACCUCUUCUCCGGCGCCGAGGUUGUGCUCUCCGCAGACCAAACCACCAAGCUCGCCUCGAUCUGCUCUCCCAAGCCGUUGCCGUUCCACUGCGUGGGACACAGCAUCUGGAAGAUUGUCUUCUCCGGAGACCCCGCCUCCUCGGACGGCUGCACCCUCGCCGUCCUCAUGGGCGACCAGGCCCACGUCGCGGUGUGCAGAGUCGGCUGCCCGAACGGCGAAUGGGCCGUGCAGGCUUGGCACGGGGAGUCUAUCCAGGACAUCGCCUUCUGCAACGGCGAUCUCUACGGCCUCACGCUUGGCAGCGAGUCACUGAUCAAGUUUGAGAUCAGCAUGAAGCUGCAGGAACAAGAAGACGGCGGCAUGGCGCCGGUGCUCACGACCAUGGCUCACAAGCUGGCCAUCCAAAGGCGUGACGUUCCCACCUGGGAGCACGAUUUCAGGGCCUACUUCGCCUACAUUUUCGAGCUGCACGGCGAGCCGGCGAUGGCGGUGCGGACCCGGUGGCCGGCCAACCGUGAGCCUAUCUUCAGGGUGUUUAAGCUCUCCGCUGCUGCCGACGGCGUGUCUGAGCACAGGUGGGCAGAGGUGACGAGCUUGGGCGACUAUGCCUUGUUCUUGGGGGUGGCAUGGUCCAAGGCAGUGCAUCUGCCGAUGGAUGCCGGCCGGUGCGUUGCUCGUGAAGGCCUGGAGAGAAACCACAUCUACUACUCCACGCCUACCCGCUCCGAGGAAGACAAGUUGCCCGGCGACCAAGUGUACUCUGUGACAUCAGAAGACGGGCACCGUAUGUAUUGCAGGAAAGACCAGAGCGUGGGCGAUAGCGUUGGGAGAACAGGAUACCACAUGAUGGGUUGGCAUUAUUCUGCCAUGUGGCUACUCCCUCCAGACUUCUAGGUCAUAUAGUACUUCUUUUAGCUGAUAGGAGUCUUCUUUUAGCUGAUAGGGAGAUGACUCCGUCGAUCUUCGUACCAUAUUAUCAGCAUGAAUCUACGUGUGACUGAUUUCGGCCUGAAAGAGUAUCAUCAACCGUCCAGUGCAGUGAGCCGGCUUUCUUCUUGCAGAACACGUCGGAGCGAGAGAGAAAAAACUGUUUACCAGAUGACGAACAAACUGUGACAACCAUAUCAUAACACUGAAUAUAAUCUAUACAGAUGGUCCCCCCCUGAGGUUUGUACACACCGGAGUUUGUCGAAUUUCUGAUGACUGCGACUUAAUUACCGCUGUUGAUAAUACCCUCUACACACUUCUGCAAUCUGCAUGCUAUCCUAACUCCUAAGUAACUAAGCAAUUACACGACAGACUUGAAUCACAACGAUGACACCAGAUCACGGCACGGCAGAGCACCAGCAACUCGAAAAAGACCGACAAGAAAGCAGAAAGAUUCAGCUAAGUCCUUGCUCGGCGCCUACGAUACCCGUCACUGGAAUCAUGCGUCCAAAUGUUGAAUUACUCAUGAUGACAUUGGGCAUCUGCCCAAUCUGGUCAAUCAGCCGUAUGUGUUUGCAUGUGGCUCGUAACCAGCUGUGCUGUAGGUGCAAACAUGUUUGAUCCUGAAAAGGAAAUUUGGUAUUGGUUAGCAAUAGCCAACUUUAACUGGAAGAUACAAGAUGAGACGAACUCCUGUGAUUAUCAGUGUAGGUUAGCACCUGGAACAGCAUUAAAACCAUUCACAGUUUGGUGCAUGGCGGCCCGUGCAUGAACAUUAUGGCUGCUCUUCGUCUCAACAGCAUGUUCACCUCGGUCUAUUGAAACCUGUGGUAAUGAUCCACAUUGCUGGCUUGGUAAUGCUUGAGAAUCAAUCCUCUGAGCGGUGUCGGUAGAAGCACAUGACGCAGUGUGUGGAGGCCCUGCUGAAUGGCUUCUGCUGGCAGGAUCAUCAACAGUUUGCUGUUCACUCGACGCUGCUGUGCUGCUUGGUGGCAUCAUUGCUGUCGAAGAUGAAGUUGGUACAGGUGGCCGAAAUGUGUUUGAUGUUUCAAAAUCUCCUACCCACCCGCGACCAAACGUUAUUCCAGGAGGAAUGACCUGUUCAAUUCGCUUCGAUGCAACUUCCCAAGCGGCAGAACCAAGCUGUGCAGCAAAACGUGCCAGACUGCGGGAAUAGGACUGCUGCCACUGAACCCCAACCUGAAACAAGAAAAUACUGUGUUUAAGUGAGAAUGAUACUAUUUACCAUUCCCCAAAGUUACUGGGAAUCUGAAAGACUGAAACUAUAUUGAUAUAUCAUCGAUCUCUUAGGGAACAUGGCUUGUAUUGGACACUCAACUGGUACAAGAAUCUUCCUUGUUCCGUUGUAUGAUGUUGCCACUGGCAGCUCAUAUAUUGAACUGGAUGGUUGAUGAUGAUAAUAUGUGCUCCGGCGACUUUCUUCUACUAAAAGCGGCUUCUUCGCCAUUUUUCCUGACCAUUUACUCCCGGACCCUGGGACAUACGGAACAUUAAAUGAUGUCAGGGGGAAAUGGGUUGGUUGAAUCGGAAAGAUGUCCUUUAUUCAUCAGCAUCCCAUUGAAUACCCACUCAUUCAAAAUACAGAACUUUGGGGUGAUUUAAAAUAAUCAAAACCUGAGUAAUCUUCAAUGCUUUCCAUUUUGCGCUCGCUAGACCAAUUGUGCUCAUUGUUUCUAUUGGCAAAAGAAGCUUUCAGUACAUCUGCAAUUCUUCUUUGUAGAUCGAAUCCUGAGUGUGCAUGAUGUCCACUAUUUCCACCAGUAGCGAGUGCCGCACCAGGAAAUUCAGGAGGAGCACGUUCUGCUGGUGGUCUCCCAAUGUUUGGUUUGGCGGAGUUCUUUGGAGGCCUGCCUCUGCGACGUUGUGGCUUUGGUUCUUGCUCUGGUAGUGGUUCUGGCUCCGGCUUUGCUUUUGGUUUUGGUUUUGGUUCUGGCUCUGGUUCACUGGCAUCGCUAUCUUGCCUAAGAUUCUCAAAGUCCUUCUUAGCAACCUCUUGAAUUGCUCGUGCCUAUAAUACAUGAUACAUGAAUAUUACAUUUGCGCCAUAGCUUCCACAGAAACAUUGUAAUUCAUGAAAACAAGAAGACACAAUGCUUGACCUGUCGAUAGUAUAUUGUGUCUGGUGAGUUGUAGCACAUCGCAUUUGAGGUUAUCAAAAACACAUCAUCCUGUAAAUAGAAAGUUUGGGUUAGAGGUUACAAAAUGAAUGAGCAUAUAAAUAGCAUGCUGAAUAUGUGAAUCAUUAUGAGGAAUAACUUUGUACUAGCAUAAUAGUAAGAGUAUCACAACACAUUAACAUUACAAUAAGCUUUACGAACAAAAAGAUUGUGACAUCCUCCUAGCACGAGUAAGAAUAAUUCAUUCGAUAGAUAAUAAAAGUACACACCCAGCACGGCCUGUAAUGUUGAUUGUAGUUUAGAUACUAACAUACCGACUAUUUAACAGUGAGUCAAACUGCCAUUUCUUCUCGAGGUGUGGGUUGCAUCCCAGACCAUGGUUUAGCAUGAAGCAUGGAAUAAAACUUGAUGAACACAACAAUGUUAUUGAUAUAGAGGUAAGACUAAAUUGAAUGCGCACUGAAGAUGUAAGUAUACGAUGCCGGUUACAGCAUAUUUAGAUAUAGGUCCAACAGUUUCAAGUGGUACCAGAGAGGGUAGGAGAUAAGUAGCUACAGCAAGUAAAUUGGUAACAGUAAGCAUGCAUACCAAUCCCAAAAGUAAAAGUUCAGAUCUUCCCAUCUCAGUAAAUGCAUAUCUCAUAUUUCAAACUGACAACUUCGACCUCAGGUCCAACAAUACUUCGUUCGUGAGUACCACCACUACAUGAUUCAUUCGUGAGUACUACUACAAAAAGUGUUUAUAUAUUGGAAGUUGAACGUUCUGUUUACCCCAAAAGUAAGCUGCCUUAUUAUAUUCCUUUGGCCACAGGUAACAUGCAGUUUGCAGAGCAUGUAUAUCGCUUUUACAAAUGUAAUAGAACUAGGAAAUCCUGGAAAUGAGUAAUAAAUAUUGUCCAAGCGUUCACACAGCUGGUUUGUGUCUCUUCCUUCUUUUUUAUAAAGAAAGCAUCAUUUCGUAUUUCCUUAAAUAAUAGUUGAAGACAUUUUUACUUCACAGCAGGUGCUUUCAUUAGAUCAUAUUUUCCAUUAGAAAAAAAAUGGUCCAUUUACAGCUUUUCUUUUCUAAAACACACUUCUUCAGAAGAGUUAAUCAUUUAUUUACAUACAAACACUAUUUGUUAUGGAACUGUUUAUAGUAUCAGAUACUAUAGCCAAAUGACUUAAACAUCCUAGUAAUAAUUGGAUAUACAGAACAUAUGAAGACAGCAGCACCUGAUAUGUAACUAAAUAUAAACACAGCCCUGCUCAUAAUUUUAUACAAUUAAAUUUCUGCAAAUGGAAUCAAUAGCAGUAACUCCUGGUGGUGCAAGUGUUUCUCUUCACUUAUUACUAUAACAGAUACCUUGAUUCAGAUUUCAUUUUGCCUUUAAAGAAACUUGUUAAAUGAAAAUGUUGUGCUCCUGUCUUUCAUUAAGAAAAAAAAUCAGGUGUUCGGUACUUCAGUUUACAAGAUAUUUAUCAAAUGAAACAUUGACAGAAAAAACACCUAGCAGCAAAACUCACAGGUUUGUAUUAAAAUAUUUGCACCGCAUGUUUCGACUCUAAGAGAGUGAAUAUAUGUUCCUAAAAGGCAUGGUGCAAUGCUGCAGCAGUACAGAAUAUUUGCCCCGCAUGUUUCGACUCCAAAGACAGCAGUGGACAAGGUAUUUUUUACCAAGCCAGAAAAUGCCAUGGUUUUACUAUUUCUACUGGACUAUAAGAAUAAAGAACAUGUCUGUAAGGUACAAAAGGAGAAGAAACGUCAGCAGGGAAAAACACACGAGUGUGACAGAGAUGACGACUAAUCUAGCUGAUCAAGCAAACCGACAUAACCAAAUUACUGUAACAGCUGAUUUCCUACGAAACACUCUCAAUCUUCUGCCUGUUAAAGGAAAAUCCAAAUAAAAUAGAAAAAGGUGAAACAACAAAAAAACCAAAAGAUUCUACACUGACCUCAAAUUGCUCCAAGAUGGUAUAAGCCCCCUUAUCAAGCUUCUUGCGAACCGUCUGAAAAUCCAUUGGGUCCUUGACAAUAUCAUGGUAAUCGGGCAGCUGACAAUAAAUGCACAAUUAAAGGCAAAUCAGUCAGCUUCUGAAAAACGAACCAAGAAAAACAAGCUUUCAUCUUCAGACACAAACCUCUUCUGGAUCAACUGGCUCUGAGAAUACACCAUAUGUGUCUUUCCUGCAAGAAAGCAAGAAACAGACCUCAGAUAAGAUGUCCCGGAACUGUGAAUGAACUGGAAGGAAGAACAAGCAGAGAGCAUAGCAACUCACUUCUGUAGCCUAUCAAGGAUGAAGACCAAUAACUUUUUGUCCGGCAGAGGUGUCGUGGGACCGGAAUCUGACGGCUCUGUCGAAUGAACAAAUCCAUCCACCCACGAGCACAGAAACAAUCAGAGGCACGGGCAUUAAUUAAACAAGAACAAACUGGAAUGUAUCCACCACUACAAGAAUAAUUAAAAAUGACAUCCUUGUGCACAUUCGUCCAGGUAUUUUUUGCUUCUGAAAUCUGAAGAAUAAAUGCAUCAGAGAGCUAGGGAAAACCAACCUUCACGCCCAUCCGUCGCUAUCCUCGUCUUUUCUCCCUGCGGCAACAGCAGCAACAGAGGAUAAAGAGAAAUUUAAAAACAACAGGACAAAAAUAUCUUCACAGAAAAUCGAGAUGAGCGGAGAAAAGGCGCCAGAAAAAGUGGGGGCUUUCGUUUACCAGCACCAGUUACCAAGUACAGAUCCUAACGACGCCGGCGUCGCGAGAUGUAUAGCAAAAUUUGGCGCGAAAGGCAGAGGAAACCAGCCCAAAAAAAGGUACGCCUUUAAAAGCUUGGAAGCGAUCCACUUACAAAAAAAAUGCGCCAAUUAUUGCGACGCGAGAGAUGCGAUGGGUUUUUGGUUUAUCCGCCAAAUGAUUGGGAGAGGGCUCUCAGGUUGAACUGCGCAGCGUUGACUGCUGCACGACGGCAGAGAGAGAGGGAGAGGGGGGAUAAAUAAAUAGAGGCGCGCGGGCGGGCUUUUCAUGCCUAAAAUAGCAAAGAGAAUUCCUCGGGCGGCGCGCGGCGGCGCAGAUCCGUACGUUCCCGGGGGCAGAGCACUCCGAAUUUGGCGAAUUCCGCGCGAAACCGGCCGGAUUCGAGCGGGGAGUGCGCAGAUCGGGAUUGGGGAUGCGAGGGAAGCCCACCUUGGCUGAUCCGCCGUGGAGGCCGACGACGAGGCGGACCUUCUUCUCGCGGCGGUCGUCGUCGCCGGAGUCUUCGUCGGCGGCGGGGUUCCGGCGCGUGGAGGGGCGGCGCUGCUGGGGCGGGGGCGGGGCCGGUGGCUCCUCCUGCAGCUUCUGGAGGCGGAGGCUGCGCUUCUGGAGGUCGAGGAGCGAGGGGCGGCCCUUCUUCUUCCGCUUCCGGCGGCCCGGGGGAGGCGCCGACAUCACCGCGGCCGGCGGCGGCUGCUGCUGCUUGCCCAUUGCCCGCCCGGCGAGUACACUGCCCUUUUUUUUAUUUCGACGGGGCUUUACUUUUUUUUCUCCCUCCGUUGUGUCGCAGGGGGGUAUCGCGUGUGUUGGGGUGCGGGACGGGGCGGGGGUGGGUAGACUUUUUGGUGCGGCGGGGGCCGCUUCUGUGUUGGCUUUUCUUUUUUCUCGCUUUGCAGAGCACGUGAGCUGCGUGUGUUUCUGGGCCUUCUGAGUUCUGGCAGGGCGGAGCUGGGAGUCGUAUACUCGUAUACCGUCUACUCGCUGCUGUCAACUGUAUACUGAUGCAUGUAUGACGUACCCGGGCUGCCAGUCGGUGGCACCGUGGCACUCACCAGGAACGCGACGAUAUGGCACGUCCGUAUGGUUCCACACGGGACAAAUAUUCACUGCCCUGUAAAUUCACUUUCAAUUGUUGUGAAUAUUUUUGAAAAAUAGUUCCAAGGAUGUUCAUAUUGAUGUAAUAUUCAAGUUGCAAAUUUUGGCGAAUCAACAAGAUUCCAUCAACUGAUGGUUCAUGACGACAUUUGUGUAACUACUUGACAUCAUUAUCGCAAACUCAACAAGAGACCAAAUGUGAUGUAUUGAAAGGCAAACAACCAUUGCACCUCGUCUUCCAACAAAAUCGAUAGGUCCCAAUUAACAAGGAGUAACAAAUCCUUGGGCGGAGCGUGAGUCUGGUUGGGCGGCUCUUUUUUUCGGGGAAGUUGAGUUUUAUUGCUCAUGACCAAGAUUACACAACCAGUAGCCACGCAUAUUAGAUGGUAUAGUGGAUUGUUCCUUUCUAACGGAAUAUGGUUUUGCAGGUACCGACAUGAUCCUUAGGGAUGAGUUAGCUAGGAGCAGGAGCUGCCAUGUUACAACAUCGAGGAGUUUAUCUCAAUGUUUCGGAGACAAAUGUGUUUACAAACUAAAAAUGUGAGAUCUCUUAAAUAAGUCGUAUAUCUGAAAAAAGAGGAGUAUCAUUAUGCAAACAGAUUGUUGGAACGUUGCUAAAUGUAGUGGCAUGCAUGUAAUACAAAGUCCAUCGAGACAAGGCCACUUCAAAGAAAUCCACAGGCUGACGGGACUUGACGAAGAUUGGUCAAGGACAAAACAGAGUCGCAUUGCAUAUUAACAGAGUCGAUUUCAGGUAGAUCUGUUCGCCGCAGAUUGGUUGAACCACGUCCUGGUUACCAGAGUCACAAGGAUCCCGCUUUUCCUCGAAAGAAAAAAAAAUCACUGACUGCAAUACUUUUUUCUAAGCUUGCUUGACCCCUAAUCUACUGCUCUUUGUCUGCUUUUCCACCUGGGAUUAGCGCUGAUGUUGCUGGGAUAGUAGUAUUGAUGUGGAGGAAGUCCUUUCAGUUUCUGUUUCGGACAUUCAGUAAUCAAUUUCAGCAAAGUUCUCAACUUGCCGGUGUUUGGUUUCAGUAGUUCUCUGAUGCAGAGCAGUGAAGUUUCAGCAAAGUUUAGUACCCCCAGGUGUUUGAUUAUUAUUUUUUUAUAAGAAAGGUGUUUGAUUUGAUCGUACUAUUUGUAAUUGGUAGUUAAAGAUUUCAGGUGUUUAGAUUUACAUGCAUUAAAGAUUUAGCAAAGUGGAGUUCGAUUUCCUUCCACGGUUGUCUGUACUCUGUACACGACCUAAUUCUUAUGAUUAUUGUUUGCAUAUAUAUCCCUUCAAUUCACUCUACGAGAUACACUAGCCAGCAAUCGCACAUCCCAUCACACGGUGAUUCAAAGAAGAAUGACCUCUGGGAUGAUUCGCUACUCAUCGAGUUCAUAUCUCCUCGCUUUGCUUAUGUUCUUUUCUUCAAAAAAAAGAAGAUUUUAUCGACUUAUCGUAGUACUAACCCUACAACGUAACUUUCGCCCUCUGCAUCCAAAACGGCACAGCCACACUUACUGUUCUGAAGAUUGGCAUGAUACAAAGAGAAAUCCUAACACCAAUUUGGGAAUCUGUAGUUCCAAGUGGACAAUUAGUAUACUAAUAGAGGAAAGGUGCCAAACACACAAUUGGCGGAUAGAAGUUGAAACUACCGAUGGCCGUGCACUAAUAUAUCCCAAUAUACAAGUACAUCAGAUCAUCGGGGCGAGUAAAUUUCACAAAACCACACUUCGAGAAUAGGGUUUCAAUGAGCCACAAUUAUGACUAAUAGUCUCACAAAACCACACUUUUUCGGACAGAUCUUCACACAGAACCCAAAUCAGGUAAUUAAGAGCGUUUGAUGGUGUUUCUGACAAGUAGGACCCACAUGUCGGAUGCCAGGAUCGAAUCGGGAUUGUCCGGGUAGAUAGAGGAGCUUAACGGGUGUCGGGCAAAUGCUGACGUGGAUAAAAAAAGGGUUUGACCCGUCCGACCUGGCAUCCGACAUGUGGGUCCCACUUGUCAGAAACACCAUCAAACGCUCUUAAUUACAUGAUUUGGGUUCUGUGAGAAGAUCUGUCCGAAAAAGUGUGGUUUUGUGAGACUAUUAGUCAUAACUGUGGUCCGUUGAAAACCUAGUCUCAAGAAGUGUGGUUUUGUGAAAUUUACUCUAAGGGAGCUAUAAGACUUCUUCAUCAUGUAUUCGGCAAGGCUUAAGGGGCCGAGACGUCGUUUCUCAACAUUGUCGGAGAAGUCUGUGGUGGCAAUCUCCACUCUGCCGUCCUCAAGGUGAUGUAUGCGAAUCCCGCGCUUCUUCGACCCGCCGCCAACGUAGUAGAGGCAGUUGCCUUCAAUGGCGGGGAGAUUGUCGGCGUCGACAGACAGAGAGCGAUGCUUGCCAAGGAAGAUCGCACGGUUUCCGAUGCGCUUGACCGGCUGAUCCAGAUAAGUUUUACGGUCAGGACCAACCCUGAAGACCUGCACGGCGCCCAGCUGGUGAUCGGACAAAGACGGAGCGUUGUCGACGAGGAACGUGGGCAGCUGGUCCUUCUGAUCCGAGGUUCCGGCGACGACGACGGUGGUAAGCUUGGUCUGCAGCAUGUUACCGGAUGAGCACACGUCCACGGCCGCUACAGUUCCCUUCAUGUCGGCGGCGUAUGCCCGGCCUUGGAAGGCCACCGGGAAGGCCACCGUGCCCGCGAGCGAGAGUGACUCGAGGGUCGGCUUGGCGCGGCGGCCGGUGAAGGGGUUGAGGAGGAAUAUACGGAGGCGGCCCUUCGCCUCCAGGAGUAGGAGGCCGUCUGCUGUGGAGCAUGGGCAGGUGCAUCCAGAGGAACCGGCCCGUGUCGACGUGCAAGAAGAGGAGCCGGCCGUAGCGUUCCCGGCCAGCGGAUGAUCGGGCGUGAGUCGUCGGCUGUAGUUUGUGUCAUUGACGAUGCACGGGUCGUCGCCCGCGAGCUUGUCGAGCAUGACCCAUCGGUGCGGGCGGAACCGCGGGUCGUCGUCCUCGUCCGGGCCGCGCGGGUCGGCGGUGGCGGCGCGCCAGCCGCGGCACACGGCGCGGAGGCCGAUGUAGUAGUCGAUGUCGCUGGUGGCGAGGAAGACGUCCGCGACGCGGCUGACGAGGUCGGGCAACAGCUACGACCAGUCCGCCGCGGGCUCCAUUGUCGCCGUGUGCGUGCGCCUGUGGCUGCAAGAGUUUAUGGAUGGGCCUUGGCACUCGGACGGAGGAAGAAGCCAGAGCCGCCGUCACCUUCCGAGCGAUGGCAAACCCUGAAAACGGCCCCGCUGGCGUGGAGAUGAAGUAUGAAGGGGAGAACCGUCUUAUCCAGCUGAUUCCCCGCCGCGUGCGCCGUGGAAUCCGCCUGGAUCGCUGGGGGCGUUUCCAACUGAUCCCCCGCGGCCUUCCGUCGAAUCCGCCUGGAUCGGCCGCCACUUGGCAGGCCGCGAAGGAUCUCAGCCCAGGAAAAGCCCACGGCUCCAAGGCGCAAAUGAAAGAGGAGAAGAGAAAAUCGUGAGAAAACUCACUGGAGGAGAAAAAUGGCUAUAGUAAAAUUAGUGAAAUACCCAAUCCGGAAAAAACGUCUAGUGCUUCGCCUACUUCCUCAAACAAAAGAGACGCGCGAAGGGCAGAGCCUCAGCCACCCAGCAGUAAUAGCAGCCGUGGUGCCCGUUGAGAUUCCCCGCGCCGUUCCGUCGAAUCGAUCAGCCGCGCGCCCGGCGCCCCUGCACAUAUAUUAUACCCAAUGCCCACACCUCACAACCACUUGCUAACGCGCGCGGCGGUGACCAUGGCUGCGGUGGACUGGUCAUCGCUCCCCGCCGACGUGUUCCUAGCCACCACCGGUCUCGACUACUACAUGAGCCUCCGCGCCGCGUGCCGCCCCUGGCGCGCCGCCACCGCGGACCCGCGCGGUCCGGACCGGCGCUUCCAUCCCCGCCGGUGGAUCAUGCUCGAACUGAAUAUCCAUGUUUCAAGAGAUAUUGUUAACUCCAAAGCUUUCAAACUGAAUAUCCAUGUUUCAUCGAAAUAGGGUACAAAACUUUCGAGUUUGUGGAUGUUCAACCCAAAAUCCAUAACAUACAACGGUUCAGCCUAUUUCUUGAGUUGACAGUUCGCAAUUCCUAGUGGCAAUGAAUACAUGCUAGCUACUCCCCUUUAACUAAUGAAUACUUGGCUCGAAACCUCUCGACCAUUGAGCUUAAUGAGUCCAGCCGAGUUUGAUUUUGAACUGGUCAACGAAACAUUUGAGUCAAGCCGAGCAUAAUUCUGAGUUCGUUAAUAAAACAACUUUAACCACUCAAGCAACGAGCUACUCGUUUAACACCAUCCCCUCUUCUCCCCUUGGUCCAUGGUCCAUCCCUCUUUUUGACCUAACUCAAUAUCCACCCACAUUCCUUGACACACAAGCAAAACCACUCUUGACUCGCGUCCUCCUCUCAUAUGGCAUAUAUGUUAAUUUAUUAACGAUCGAGUUAAACAAACCAAUUUUGUAGUUAAAUUGAGUCGAGCCCAUGUCGCUUUUGAACAUGAUAUACUAUUAACGAGUCGAGCUAACUGUUGUAACUAGUGUGUUAUCUUAAUUGGUUCUACCAAUUCGAGCCAAGCUAACUACUCCCUCCGUUACAUAAAGAUUGGCACGGAUAUCCGGCUCUACUCACACGGACAUGUGGUCAUAAUGCAAAAGAUGCAAAUGAACAAUUCUGAACAGGAGAUUUGAAUUCAGAACCUUUGGUUAUGUGGCAUGUGCCUUUAACCGUGUGGAGCUAACAAUUUAACUUAAUCCGUAUUAUAAUCUCACGCACACUGUGCUUGAUUCUUCUUGCUUUGCUUCCCUUGGUGCGGGUGCACAUCUCAGAGCAUACGGACGGUAUAGAAAGAAGGUGCAGUGCGUCCCAGACUAACCAAACUUUUUUUUUGGCUAUACAAAAUGCACGGUUGUUUGUUGCACGCAACGACGAUUGUUCCUUUUGCCAAAGUAAAUAAAUAAGCAUCUCUCGUCGAAGAUCAUUAUUUUUCUAAUUCUCUACCUCGUGAAAGCUGGAAGUGGCCACGUCACCGGCAAAACUAACCAACGGUAAUAUCUCCCGGAAAAAUCCACCGAGCCAGCCCUUCGCUAGCGCCAAAGAAGUUCACCGCGCGCACGGCCAAAAUCCACGCAAGACCAGCGAAAUCUCGUGGUCUCCACUCUCUGCUCGCCCGGCGCGGCGAGAAGAUAAUCUCAUGGCCACCGCACGGCCACAUCAGCGAGCCACCGCAGCAUCCCCGUGAGGACAUUGACCCCACCCCAUCGCCCUCGGCUCAGACUCAAACCCAUCAAAAAUCCGGGCGCGCCCACGGUGCCAGCCACUCCGUGGCCAGAGCGCGGCCACCUCGGCAACCCCCAUCCGCCUUCCCGGCACCUCACAGCGCGCGCGCCAAUGGCGACUCGGCUUAAGAUUCCCCGUGGAUAAGGACUCGAUCGCGCGCGUUCGGGCCUCCUAUUUAAACGCCUCUCGCUCCCGCUUUACUCCACAGCAACAACCGCUCCAACACUUCAGUUCUCACUCCACAGCUCAGAGUCAGAGCUACUAGCAAUGGCAGCGGCGACCAUGGCGCUCUCCUCCCCCGCGAUGGCCGGCACCCCGGUGAAGGUCUCCAGGGCCACCCCCUUCGGCGAGGGCCGCAUCACCAUGCGCAAGACGGCCGCCAAGCCCAAGGUGUCCGCGUCCGGCAGCCCGUGGUACGGCUCCGACCGCGUGCUCUACCUCGGCCCACUCUCCGGCGAGCCCCCGAGCUACCUCACCGGCGAGUUCCCGGGCGACUACGGCUGGGACACCGCCGGGCUCUCCGCCGACCCCGAGACCUUCGCCAAGAACCGCGAGCUCGAGGUCAUCCACUGCCGCUGGGCUAUGCUUGGUGCCCUCGGCUGCGUCUUCCCCGAGCUGCUCGCCCGCAACGGCGUCAAGUUCGGCGAGGCCGUCUGGUUCAAGGCCGGCUCCCAGAUCUUCAGCGAGGGAGGCCUUGACUACCUCGGCAACCCCAGCCUUGUCCACGCCCAGAGCAUCCUUGCCAUCUGGGCCUGCCAGGUUGUACUCAUGGGCGCCGUCGAGGGGUACCGUGUUGCCGGUGGCCCGCUCGGUGAGAUUGUUGACCCACUCUACCCAGGCGGCAGCUUCGACCCCCUUGGCUUGGCUGACGACCCAGAGGCAUUCGCUGAGCUCAAGGUGAAGGAGAUCAAGAACGGCCGCCUCGCCAUGUUCUCCAUGUUUGGGUUCUUCGUCCAGGCCAUUGUCACCGGCAAGGGUCCCCUCGAGAACCUGGCCGACCACCUGUCCGACCCAGUGAACAACAACGCCUGGGCCUUCGCCACCAACUUCGUCCCCGGCAAGUGAGCUUAGUUAGCAAGCUCCAGCGCCUGCUCUAUGCUGAGGCGCUUGGCCGACGACGUCAUUGUUGAUGAUGGAUGCUGCUGCAUGUGUCGAGAUUGAGUCAGGAGUCAGGACUGAUAGAUGUUGCAUGUGAAAGUCAGAGAUGAGGAGUUGGUGUUGUACACUAAAGAUGGUGUUUGUGUAAUAUCCCUCGGUUAUUUGUGAGAUGAAUCCGGGCAUCUUUGUUCUUCUGCUCACUUGUUCAUUUCUCUCUCCUCUUGAAUGCGUGCUGUUUGCAUUAGAAGGAGAACGCCGAGAAAGCGCACCUCACUCGUUGCAUUGGUUCUACUUCCUCUGAAUCUGAAUGUGUCUGAAAGUUGUCUGAAUUUUCUGAAAGUCCAAGCCGGUAAGUUGUCUGAAUUUUCUGAAGUCAAAUUUCUAUUUAAAUGUUGUACAAAUCUUGGGUUCCUCCUAGUAAAAACAAACUAUGGAACACUGCCAACUAGUGCAGCUUCCUUGUGAAGAUGCUGCUGUACUACCGUCCCUGAAGAACGGUCAUGGUUAUGCUGUUCCUGGUGUUCUCAAGAUCGUCUCUCUUUGCUUCCAUCAGCGCGAGAUAGGCAGGCUGGUUUGGUUUCGGCAGCGACAAUGUCGACGACGAGGACCCGCUUCCAUUCUCCAGGAUGGACACGACGGCCGACAUGAGCGGCCUCCUGCUCGGGUCGCCCUCGACGCAGAGGAGCCCGACGUGGAUGCAGAGCAAAGCCUCCUCCUGCGAGCAGCUUCCUGCGAUGGAUGGAUCCACCAGGCCGCCUGCCUUUCCUUCCCUCCACAGGUUCCAUGCCUGCAUGAAACAAUCAAAUCAACCAUUCUGUGUUUUUUCUCUUAAAAUUCUGGUGUCAGUGGCUGUUCUAAUUCAGAUGCUCACAUAGACUAUGAGGCUUGGAAACUCCAUGAUGUCAUCAGGAGAGCUUAUCCUGACACCGCUCACGAUCUCCAGGAGCAGCACGCCGAAGCUGUAGACAUCGGACUUGACAGAGAAAACGCCCUCCGUAGAGUAUUCAGGAGCAAUGUAACCACUGUCCAGUGUCCCCACAAAGUUUUCAGAAGACGUGCCAGAAUUUUGUCAAAUGCUAAAAGCUAACUACAGCUUAAAAAGCAAAAUCUAUUUUUUUGUUUGUAAAUCUAGCUUCAGUAUUCAGAGUACUAACAAUGUUCCGACGACUCGCUUGGUGUUGGCAUUCUGCUGGUUGUCGCAGAAGAUCUUGGCCAUGCCGAAAUCCGCUAUCUUGGGCCGCAUCUCAGCAUCCAGCAGCACGUUGCUUGCCUUGAGAUCUCGGUGUAUCACUGUCAACCUCGAGUCCUGGUGGAGGUAGAGGAGCCCCCUCGCGACGCCCUUGAUUAUCUCCAGCCGCGUCGGCCAAUCCAGCACCGAUUUCCUUUCACUAUCUGAAGCAAAAAGAUCACAUGAGACCGUCAGGAAUCGUAUCAUCAUUUUCUGUUCUUUCUUUCUUCAGUAACUUGCUUGAGUUCUGAACAUAUAUACAUACCGAAGAGGAUGGCGUCCAGGCCUUUGUUGGGCAAGUACUCGUAGAUGAGCAACUUCUCUGCUCCUUCCGUGCAGCAGCCGAGGAGACGGACCAAGUUUCUGUGUUGCAGUUUGGCGAUCAGGAUGGCUUCGUUCUUGAACUCUUCUGUUCCUUGGUCAGAAUCCUUGCUCAGUCUCUUGACAGCAACCUCUCGACCGCUCUCUAAUGUCCCCUUCCGAAUGAUACAUGAAACAGGCGAGAUCAUGAGUAUAAUUCAGUAUUUCAGUGCAUCGAUCAAUGCUUCCGAGUUGAAAUUUAUUUAUUUUGGUAAACUGGAAGAAGAGAAAAAUUCUCAGAUAACUGAAAAAGUGAAAAUCAACAGGCCAGAUGAAAAAUCAUACUACCUUGUAAACCUUGCCGAACCCUCCACGCCCGAUCAUGAAUGCUUUGGAGAAGUUUCCCGUGGCGGCCACGAUGUCGACGAACCGUACGGAUGGGAACUCAAGAUCUUCAGCGUGUUCUCCUUCUCCGAUCUCAGUCGACGUAUUCGCGCUCCCGGGCACCAGCUUCUUCUGGCUCUCGGUUUUUCUCCCCUUUUCUGUAAAUUUUGAUGUCCCAAGCAUUUCAUCUCCGAUGAGCAUGGCAUGUUUAGAGAUACUAAUAAAAAGAGAGGAAGAUAAUAUAAUUGUAUGUAGCACCUCUGAACCUACAGAACCACACAAACAAAAUGCAUGCGAGCAACAAGACGCCGGCUAACACCGGCAGUGCUAUUUUCAAGGCAUUUUUGCUUGCCAUUGUACCUGCACGUGCAAAAAGUCAAAACAAUGGCAAAGUUUGGUGACACAAUCGAUUUCGGCCAAAGGGGCAAACUUCUUCUUUGAAUUCUGUUGAAAUCCAAUAAAAUUCUGGAAAAAAGUCCGGUAGUACUACUAAGAGCUGAUUUCUAUUUCAAUCUGGGUGAAAUUCAGGUACUGCUGGUUUUUGAAGUUGUAACUACCUGCGGAACCAGCAGGAGGAAGGGGGACGCGAAGGUAUAGCGUGUCGGCUAGGGAGGCCCAGAGGGGCCCAAUCAUCUGCGUGUCGACGAGGUCCCCGGCCCACAAGAGGCACCGCCUGACGUCCCCCUUGGCGCUGCUGCUCUGCAGCUUGGCGUACGCGUACGCCAUGCAGGAGCAGUUCCCGGCGCACCUCGCCGCGCACUCCUCGGCGCUCCUGUUCCCGCCGUCCAGCACGAACUUGUCCGGCACCUUCACCCCCGCCAUGGCCAAGAACCCACUCCCAUGCCCGCACGGCGGCAGCGGCUCCUUCCGCCGGCACCCCUUGGAGAAGUCACCGCCGGUGGCCCACGCCGGCUCGAAGCCGUCCAGGCACCUGCAAGCCGCCGCGGCGACGUCGCAGUACCCGUAGGGCCCGCAGUAGCCGUACCGGCUGCACCCGCUGGACGGCCAUGACCCCACCGUGGCCCACGCCGAGGCGCUGCCGUUCCAGCCGAGGAGCUGGAACUGGCCGGAGCUGGUGAGGACGAACCGCGUGGGGGCCGCGCCGGGGGAGACGGUGAAGGUGUUGGAUAUCUCGUCCUCGGUGUCGACGAUGGCGGUGUACACCACGGUGCCGGUGCCGCUGACGUAGCUGGCCUGGACGGUGUAGCCGUUCCACACGGGGCUGCGCCAGUGAGGGCGCGUCCCGUCCCAGACGAGCAGCUGGAGGGCGGUGUCCGGGUCCAUGCCGUAGGAGAAGCGCCCCGGGGACGGGUCCUCGGGGGAGCUCCAUGACACGAGGCGCCCGCCCUCGUGGGUCCGGUGGUUCAGCCAGACCUUCAUGCCCGGGAGGAACGUGUCGGCCGGGUGGUCGAAGCUCUGCCACAGCGCGGUCCCGUUGGCGGACCGGAGGACCAGGUUGCCGGCGUUCGUGAGCACGGCCAGCGCCGCGGGCGGCGAGCCGCUCGCCAUGCCGGUCGUCCAGACCGCGCGCCCGUCGGCGUCGGACAGGACGAGGUUGGAGGAGUCGUUGUCCAGCGCGAGCCUCGGCGCAGAAGUGCCGUUGGUGAUGGGGGUUUCCCGGUUGGCGACCCACACGACGGUGUUGACGGGGAUGCUGUUGUACCAUAUGCCGAGGUACUGUCUGUCCGGAGUGGAGAUGGACGGGGAGAAGAAGCCCAGAGCGAAGGCGCCGCCGUCCGACACUAGGGGCUUCCCGGGCGCGAGCAGCUCGCCUGCGACCAGCUCGUCGCCGGCCCCCGCGCACGGGCGCGGCGAAAGGAAGAAGAAGCAGACGACGGCCAGGGCCGCGACGACGACGACGCGGCCGGCAGCACGCGCCAUGUCCGUCGAUCGAUCGCGAUCGAUCAACAGCGUUGAUUGAGACGGGAGAAAGAACUCAAGCUUGGCAUUGGCAUGCAGCUAGUAGUAUCAUUUUGCGCUGGAUUGUGAUGUCUGUUGAGUCAGGUCGCGCGCCUUGGCCUGCAAGAAGUCUCUCAACUCCAUUGGAUCCUUCCUGUUGGUUGGAGUUGGAGAUGGACGUUUAUUCAGCGCUUGGACUGGACAGUCUUUCUCUGUGACGCGAUCAAGGCCAACAACUGCACAGUUGAUUUUUUUUAGGGAUGCACAGUUGAUAUCUUAUGCUUUUGGAACGAUGGUGCGACCCGAUUAACGCGCUCAAGUCGCAGGUAAAACCUACGGGUACCUAGACUCAGAACAUAUGAAAGAAAAUCUGAAAUUGUUCCGAACGUUUUAUUCAGUCAUUUGUUACACAAUAUGGAUUUAUUUCUGAAUUUGUUCAUAGUUUGGACCGGACUAGGUGCGACCUUGCGGAGUACGUUGCUCCGCAUGAUUGGAUGGAAAUCUACAAACCAUGAUGCCAUGGUCAAUCUCAUGAGUUACAGUUUAGACUUCAGAGCUGUGCGUGCGUGCAUAUGAACGCGUGCGCGGCGUGCCCUUCACCUCAGUCAACGCGCGCUUUGUCUUCUCACACAGCUUGUUCCUCACACUCUAACUUUGCCCCGACCGUGUUGUUCUACCAUUCUGUUUUAAAAGCAAGCAAACAAAAUUUGCCUUUGUAACAACACGUCAGAGAAGAAGAACAACAACACCUAAUCGCUGACGUAGAAUCACUUCUGUCGAGUUGGGUUUUGUCAUGUCCUGAAUUAUUUUACAGGUAUUUUGAUAAAAGAUGUGGCAGAGUAGGUAAUACAGACACAUUCUCUGUCACACAAAGGUACACCUCGAUGAAUUUUGGUUGGCCGCAAGAUAUAGACUACUCCAGUAUCUGGUCUUGUAAGAUUUAUGCUUGACUUCUUAUCAAGCAAGGGAUUAAGGUAAGAUAUGUGUUGCUGAAGCAAAAAAAAAAAUUGUGGAGGAUGAUAAGUGCACAUUCGGCUGUUCCUUCCUGAGCUAGUAUCUGUAAAGUUAAUACCUACUAAAUGCAUUUAACGUUUGCAAGUUACAAAUGCAAAGUGUCCAUAUCAUCGUUCACAUUACCAUCCACCCCAUGUAUUCUAGCCCACAAGCAAUCCAUUUUGGUGACUCCUACGACUCAACCUUUUAUCUCCUAAGAAUCUUUACCCACGUUGUAUAUAAAUAUUUCACCAAGUAUAAUAUCUAUGAAGUUGAUCCUCACUAAAAUGCAUUUUGUUUGCAAGCUCCAUGUGCAAAGUGUUCACAUCACCAUACACGUCAUGUGUUGUAGCUCGCAAGCAAUUCAUUGUGGUGGCUCCCUACGAUUCAACAUUUUAUCUCGUAAGACUUUUCACCUUGAUGUUGUAUGUAAAUAUUUCACGAACUAUCCUUUUUUUUAUGUGUGCGUUGUUUUUUCUAAGAAAUGCGAAUACUUCCUGAAGCUUUUUUUCGAUUUUCCAAAAUUUACUGUUCAUGUACAUCAAAAUUGCUCCUAUUCUUUGGAUGAUGAAGUAGUUUGGCCAUACAGUAUUCAUAUUUGUUUUGUAUUUGAUCAUAUUAUUAUCAUUUAUUCUUACGUCAUGUCUAGAUGUGCAAACAUAAUUUUUCGUGGCAGCGCGGGGAAUCAACCAGUUGCAUGUGUGGAUCCUUGAUCUACAAGCAAAACAGAUUGCAGAAGAAAAUCCUUUUUUCCCCGAAAAAAAGAUUGCAGAAGAAAAUGAAUAAAUGCUUUGACGAAUGGCUUGUUGUAGCAUCCCCGUAAGUUCCAGACGAUUGAAUAAUGCAAAGUUUUCGGAAUUCUCGUAGAUUUUGGUUUGGCAGUUGACAUUUUAGCUGUCCACGUCGGAGUUUUUUUAAGAACAGUCCACGUCGGAGUUGGGAUGCCACGCCACCGUCAGUGCGACUAGUCAACUAUACUGACUGAAACAUUAGCUAUACUGGUCCGGCCCAGUUUUUGUUUUUGAACACGGGCCGGCCCAGCUGGUCCAGCUCUGGCGCGGCUGAAUCGGAGGGUCAAAACGACGAGGCCCAAGGCCGACAAGACCACGACCCAGCCGCCACGCAUAGUGUGUGUGUUAUGAAGCCCACGCCCACUUAGCAAAGUAAUUGGGCCCAUCGGCAGACGGUCUUCUUUCUUUCAAGAAACAGAACCAUGCCAAGGAAUUAGGCCGGCCUCUGCUGAGCAACACAAGGUUUCGAUUUUCCUGUGGCGUGAUGGUCGAGCGAACGACCGAACGUGGCUCCAGAGCUUCGGACGCGGACCUCAAGGCCUUUUGCGUAAAAGAUGGAGGCAGGUAGAGGUGCAACACCGUGACCUUUAAGGUAUCUUUUAAUUCUCUUUAGUUCAAAUAAAUGAACUAGUUUUUAAAAAAUUGUGUCAUUUUAAAAUUUUAAUCCAUUUAGUUGAACUAAGGAUGGUCAAAGGGUAUCCUGAUGGUCGCAUUUUGCAGCUCUAGAGGUAGGGAGUUUAUAUAAAAAAACAGCUCGACCUGUCAUCCCACGAGUUUGAUAAGUGAUUGUGUCAGAAUGCGAGGUCAUAGGGUAUAAAGAUUGUAUAUGGACGUAUAAUGCAACUUUGAGGACCCAUGAGAGCAGAUUGCAAUAAAGAGAACUAAAUCAGACCGCACCAUCAAAUUUAUGGGUCACGUAUGCAUUCCAUCGUUCUUCCAAUGAUAUGAUAGAAUGAGUGGAAUCAAGUAGUGACCGUGUGCCAUCUAUAAGUGUGCUUUGCGGCUUAUAGUCUGGUCCAUGCUUGCAUAGAGCCAAAAGUCGCUGACAUGAUCAAGUUCCAUGUAAUCUGAACUUUAAAAAUAUAUUUUUUCGAACGGCUGGUGGCCGAACUUUAUUAAAAAAUCAGAGGAGUACAAGGCGGGUGCUUUUCAGAACAAAAGCAGGCGCCCGUGCGUUUAGCAAAAUGGAACUAUUAAUCUGGUCCAAAAUCUGUUUUCACCUUUCAGUUUCUAAGAAACAUGGGUUAGCAAAAUCUUUUCCUAAAGAGAAGGACGAUAUCUAGGAAGAUUGCAGUGGAAACAUGGCUUAACAAUGGGCAAUCAAUGUGCCAACACCAACACAGGUUGCUGAGUGUUUGAACGGACAACGUACGUCCAGCUCCAGCCUCCAGGACGUGCACCCACUAAGAUGUCAGAAACGAAAAAUUCCACACUAAACUGGAAUACGGAGUACUUUAUUCUGCUAUACAGGAAUAUUAAACCUAACAAGGAAUGAUGAAUAGAGAAAUAGCAAGAUAAUAUAUAAUAUACAUUGUACAAUAAGCAAAAUUGUGACAAUUUGGGAAUAGAGAAAUCAAAACAUCGACGACUUUUCUCGGCAAGAAAAACAUCGACGACUGGAAGCUGCAUGAUGACUUCGUCAGGCUAUUUCAGACUUGGCUCGAGUUGACAUUAAUUUGUUCCUCUUCCCACUUCGUUGGUACUUCCUUCGAUCCAUAUUAAUUGUCAAAAUCUUACAUGUAUCCAGACGAUUUUUAAGCAUAGAUACAUCCAUAUUUGGACAAAUUUAAAACAAUUAAUAUGAAUCGGAGGUAGUAGGAUAAUAUUGGUAUUCCGAGCCACGCGGGAGCUGUGGCUGAUUAAGUAGCAUUAGAGGGUUCAAACCUUGAAAGAAAGACUGCUAUAAAAAAUCCUCACGGCUGAUGUCUUGCCGGCGAGGGGCUAGCACAUGUGUGUUACCAGCAAAAAAAAGUGGGCAUGUGUAAUGAUUAGUGGCUAUCCUUUGAUGAUCACGUGUAACUUGGUCAAAAUUCGUUAUCGAGUUUACACUCGCCUGGGUGGAUAAUUGGUUUGUGAGAGGAUCUUACGGGCUUACGGCAUAUCCCGGAAACAAUCGACCCAGCACAUGCUAUAUGUCCUCGGGAGUGUUUGAAAGGAGGGACCGUAAUAGUUGCCAAAUCUUCGACGCGGCAAAGAUGAAUUGUGAUGAAAUAUAUUUCAAGGUUGUUUAUUGUUAUUUGUUUCGUAUCAUAGGUUGAUAGUUUUUUCUUAUAAAUUUGGUCAAACUUUUAAAAGUUUGACUUAAGACAAAAAUCAUAUGCUUUAUAAUAUGGAAAGAAGGGAAUAGCAUGCAUGACAAUUUUGUCGAGUGCGUCUUUUUUUGGACCGAUACUGUUCUGCAUAUCUUUUCUGAUAAAUAUAUACAACUAUAUAAUUGUAUGAUUAUUAUUUCAUCGCCCUUGUAUCUCAGUAAGAGUAAAAUUGUUCACAGAGUUCUGAAUAUCAACUCCGAUUUGCUCCAUUUCAGCGCUCCGCCGCGCAAAGUAUGCAGGGCGAUUAGGCACCGGCAAUGUUGUGCUUCCGUUCUCCAAGACAAACACUACGGCUGACAUGGCCGGCCUAUCAUCUGGAUUUUCCUGGACACAUAAGAGAGCUACGUGGAUGCAAAGCAACACUUCAUCCGAUGAAGAAGUGUCCAUGAUAGAUGAGUCCAGCAAUUCCUUCGUCUUUCCUUCCUUCCACAUACUCCAAGACUGCAAAAAAAAACAUUGCAUAUUUUUUCGUUUUGGUUGUUAAACAUUUUUCAACAACUAUGUUUGUAUUUAUACAACUUUAGAGUUCUUUCCAUAUAUACUCACAUAGAUUAUGAGGUUAGGGUAGUCCAUGGUAGCGGAGCUUCUCCGUUUGCCGGUUACAACCUCCAAUAGUAACACACCGAAGCUAUAGAUGUCGGACUUGGUAGAGAAUAUGCCUUCCAUUGCAUACUCAGGAGUCAUGUAGCCAUUGUUUGAUCAUUUCAUUUGCAAGAGUUAUAUGUUGAACGAGAUUAAUUUGGAUUUAUUUACAAGUUACAAUGAAAAUUCUACUCACUAUGUUCCAACAACGCGUUGAGUAUUUGCAUUUUGCUGGUUGUCACCGAAGAUUCUCGCCAUACCAAAAUCCGCUAUCUUGGGUUUCAUAUCUGCAUCUAACAAAACAUUUCCAGCUUUUAGAUCUCUGUGAAUUAUGGUCAAUCUUGAAUCUUGGUGGAGGUAAAGAAGUCCCCUUGCAACCCCUUUGAUUAUAUUAAACCGCGUCGCCCAAUCCAACAACAAUUUUCUUGAAUCAUCUGUGGCCAGAAACAAAUGUAAGAAAAUGUGUUUUAGAUUCGUCUUAGGAAAUCAUGACGUGUGUUGCAAGAGUAUGUACCAAAAAUGGUAGCAUCUAAGCUCUUGUUAGGCAGAUACUCGUAAAUCAACAACUUUUCAUCUCCCUCCCCACAACAUCCAAGAAGCCGAACCAAGUUUCUGUGUUGCAAUUUGGCAAUUAGAAUUACUUCAUUCUUGAAUUCCUUUAUCCCUUGCUGUGAAUCCUUGCUUAGCCUCUUGACAGCAACUUCUUGGCCACCUAACAUUCCCUACGGAGUUGUGUGGAAAUUUAUAUCCGGAUUUGUCUUGUGAGCAACUCAAUUUUACCGAUUUAAGAACAGAGGAUAGGAAACUACUAUCGAACUACUUACCUUGUAUACUUUUCCAAAGCCUCCUUGUCCAAUUACACACGUUUCAGAGAAGUUGUGCGUUGCUAUGGCAAUUUCCUCAAAUCUUACAAAUGGGAAUUCAUGAUCGCGUGGAGGGUUUCCUUUCCCAAGUUCAUAAGAGAUACUCAUACUAUCCAAUGUCUAUCAUCUUCUGCUUUCUCUUUUUCCUGUUCUUCCCUGCUCCCACAAUUUCAUAAACAUUUCAAUUCAGGAAAUAUACCUUGCAAUUUAAUCCACAAGAGAUGGUCAAAUGGACUUUAUCAUCAGGAAAUAACCCUAUACGUACUAAGGUACCUUGCAAUUUUAGCCAUGCCAGGAAAAUGCACAUGAGGAUCACAAUAGUACCGCCCAAAACUGGCAGAGAAAUCUUAACCGUGGUGCUGUGUUUACCUGUGCAAAACGUACACACACAUAGCACAUCGCACGAAAUAAAUGGAAAUACAUCUGUGAAAACAAGAAAUUCAGAUCAAGAAUUGGUACCAUCCGUUGCGUCCAGGCCUGCAAUGCGGAGAUAGAGCGUGUAGCUGCCGAGCGCCUCGGCGCCGACCUUCCCGUCGUCAAUCAGCCCGCCGGCCCACACGAGGCACCUCGUCAAGUUUCGCCGCGGCGACUUCCCGGCGUCGCUGCUGCCCAGGUUGGCGUACGCGUACGCCACGCACGAGCAGUUGCGGCCGCACUCCGCCGCGCACUCCUCCAGCGUGCCGCCCCGGUCCCCGCCGACCACCGCGAACCCGUCGGGUGACUUCAUCCCCGGCAACGCCAAGAAGCCGCCGUCGUUGCCGCACCCAAGCAGCGGUUCCUUCCGCCGGCACCCCUCCGAGAACUUCCCCUGGCCCCACUCCCCUGCGCUCGCCGGCUCGAAGCCUUCGAGGCACGCGCACGUCGGGGACGAUGGCGCCGCCGCCGUCUCGUCGCAGUACCCGUACGGGCCGCAGUGGCCGUAGCGGCUGCAUUCCGUGGACGGCCAGUGCGCGAGGACGGCCCACGAUGACGAGGCGGCGCUCCAGCUCUGGAGCUGGUAAGUGCCGGAGUGCGUCACCACGUACCUGGUGCGCCCGGCGCCGUCGGAGAGCGUGUAGGUGAGGUAGAUCUCGUCGUCUCCGUCGACGAUUGCCAGGUAGACGACGAUGGCCGCGGCGCUGCUGGCGUUGUCCUUGGCCGCGCCCGCCGGUGGCGGCUGGUACCGGCGCUCGCUCUUCACCAGGUACCCGUUCCACGGCGCGCUGCGGGCGACCGGGCGCGCGCCAUCCCAGAGGAACACCUGGAGGGACGUGGCCGGGUCGCCGCCGUAGGAGAAGCGCCCCGGCGAAGGGUCGCCGGGCGCGUUCCAGGACACCAGGCGGUCGCCGGCGCGCGUCCUGUACCUCAUCCGGAUCUUCAUGCCCGGCAGGAACGUGUCCGUCGGGUGGUCGAAGCUCUGCCACAGCGUGGUGCCGUUUGCCGAGCGGAGGACCAGGUUGCCGCUGUUCAGGAGCACCGCCGUCGCCGCCGGAGCUGCGGCCACGUCGGUCUCAGGCGUCGUCGUCCAAAGGACGCGGCCGCCGUCGGAGAGGACGAGGCUGGAGGUGUCGGUGAGGGAGAGCGUGGGCGCGGAGGAGGAGUUAGUAGUGUUUGUGGCCGGGGUUUCUCGGUUGGCGACCCACACCACGGUGAGCUCGGGGAUGCCGUUGUACCAUAUGCCGACGUACAGCCUUGCCGGAGUAGUGGAGUUGGAGGGGCUGAAGAAACCCAGGGCGAAGGCGCCGUCGUCGGAGACGAUGGUAGCGCCAGGGGAGAGCGGCUUGCCGGGGACGAGGCGGUCGUCGGCCGCACGCAACGGCAGGAAGAUCACAAGGAUCAGGAUAGUGAUGGAGCACGCGAGAGCCCACCGGUCCAUUGGUCGAUCGGACAGGCCCAAAAAACUUCUGUUGUACUGUACGUACGAGCAUGUGGAAAGGAAUGUAAUCCGCUAGUCGUACACAGUGACUCGUACUACUAUUUCGUUGUUGAUGCUGACAUGCUGUUGUUUACAAGCCUUGAUCGGACCCGUUCCAGCAUUCGAUCGCGUGGAUUACGAAAGCAGAUGGCUGAAAAAUGCAUAGUUCUUGAAUCCUGCGGUAGGAGCUCAGAGUGUUUUGGAUUUGACAUCUCAGCUGUCCACGUCGGAGCAGAGCGCGAUACGGCGAUAGUCAUCGUGCUCGUGUGAACCCAGCUGGUCAAACCGCGGCACGGUUGAAUCCAAACAAACUUUACCCUAUUUUUCUAGGGAAACAAACCUUUUAGCUUUGUAAUUGAGGCCCACGGGCCACGGGAAUUAAUGGCCCAGCGAGAGCUCUACCCAGUCACCCACCCACGUCCGGCCUAGUCGCGGGGUGCGGCCUCGCUGGUCGGUCGUCGCUUCGUGUAAUAUACUCCGAUUAGGCAAAUUAGGCAAAUCCGAACUGAUCUCCAAUAAGAAAGCCAAUCCGAACGCAUCACGUAAUUCCGGCAGCAGCUAUAUUUAGUGACUCCUGUAUGCAGCUCGAUCGAUGCCUUGGAUCUCUUGAUGCUCCCCAGACCGAUUGAAUCGCCUGCCUCGAUCGAAGAUACAACACUUGGUUAAGUUUGAUACUACUACCAAAUUAACGAAUUUGAUUUAGAUCGGAGAGAGAAGAUGGGAUCGUCGUCAAGAACAGGGAAUAACCGAGUGGAGGAUCGUCCGGAGGAGGAGGAGGACGAGUUGUUCGUGGCCCGUGUCGGCUUGUCCGUGACCUUUGUCGUCAUCUUCAUCCUCUUUCUUCUCGUCGACACGGGCGUGAUCAAUCCCGGCGCCCCCAAGUUUCUCAAGAUCUUCUAUGGGGUGACGGGGCUCAUCUGCCUGCUCGGUGCUGCCAUCCUCGUAGUCGACUGCCUGCGUGAACGGGAACACUGGCCGGCGCCCUUUCGCCGUACGCGCAUUGCCGGGCCCGCCGAUCUGCCGGCCUGCGACGCGUGUUAGUCUGCUAGCUAUAUUGCCUGCCCUUUUUUUCACCAAGAAGCUGGAGUACCUUUUUUUUUAGGUGUUCACCAAGUAGCUACCUUGCCUGCCUUGGUUCGGCUCAUCGAUCUUACCGUUAUAAUAGGGUUUUUUUUCGUGCUUUGCCACAGCCUUUAAAAUACACCGGUUACCAAAUAAUGUAAUGUUUGUGUGUUGCAACGGACAAACAAAUUUGAUCUAUGUACUUGUUUCCUGAUGUUUUUUAUUUUAUUUGAUCUAUGUACUUGUUUAUUGGUUAAGAUACAUGCGAAGUACGAUAUGAUGUACUCGUCUCAUAAUGAUCUAUGUAUUGUUUAUUCAUGAUUUUGAUUUUUUUUAUCUACGUACUUGUUUCUUGGUUAAGGUACAUAUGAUGUACGAUAUGAUGUACUCGUCUCAUAAGAGGUAUGGUACCAAAUUAUCACAGAUGUUCAUGCUAUGAUUUUUUUUAAUAGCUGUGAUGUACCAUACGAUGUACUCGUCUCCUAAGUGCAUAUACUCGAGGUACUCAAAAUCUGAUAAAAUACAUGCCAUGCACCAUAAUGUAUUUAUCCAUGUACCAUAAUGUACUUAUAAGGUAUAGUUCAUAUACUUACAAAAGGAAAAAAGUCCGAGUGCCUAACAAAAAAAAAAGAGAGAAGAGCAAAAGUUGUUAGGUUUUUUAAUUUAAAGCAAAAGACAUUAACCAAGAGGAAGAUGGAGAAGGCCAAACAUGUAGCCAGCACCGUGGGCGCAAAUGCCACCAGUGGCACCAUUUCUGAAGGGGCGCGUAGAGAUAAACAAAAACUUUUUCUACACGAACUCCCAAGAUCUAGCCGAGGUAGAAGGCCACGAGGAUUACCACUAGACGCGCAGUUGCGGAUUAUCGAUGCAGCGCCUUGAUGCAGUGCAGUCCCUCGAUCCGAUCCAGCCGAUCCAAUCCCGCGAUCGUCGAAGUGCUGAACGUACAGCACCUCUGCCGGUAUCCACACAUGCGAGGAGGAGCUCCGGCGGCGGACUGCUAGGUCCGGUGCGAUGGUUGGACUGAAUGGGGCUAGGGUUCUCAACGCAUGAGAGUGGCGAACCGUGCCCCUUAGGCAUCCCACGCCCCUGCUUAUAUACCGAGUGGAAGUGGGCUUCAGCACUUGUGGCCCAUCCACUCUGCGAGUCGAACUCGCAUUGUCAGUCCAUUUCCGGUUUGGGUCCAACCCGACCAAAUACUUGCUUCCGCUCUUAAGUGUGUGACCCCGCAGGCUCAUGGCGACUUGGACACGAUUGGAGUCCGACUCUCAAUCGAUCAACCUGUAGCGGCUCCUAGCAGAACGUGCCGACUCCCAAGUACCAUCGAGUCAUGACGACGUACCUUCCAAUGUGACAUACGUCUUAGUCCCUUUUGCCUCACGAUAUACCUUGUCGAACUAUAGGCGAUUAAUCGUCAUCCCUUUAAUAGUUCAACUCUCUUCUCGAUCUGUGAUAUGCGAUUCAUCCGACUAACUCUUAGUCGAUCGACCCAGUUAACAGUUAACCGAGUCGCGCAUGGCCAUGCUUCCCGAAUCAUAUCACUCGAGAGGGCCCAGAGAAUAUCUCUCCAGUCGGAGGGGCAAAAUCCCAUCUUGGUUAUCCACAUCACAUAGCUUGAUUCUCAGUCAACUCGAACUCUGCCUUUAUAACUGCCCUGUUACGGAACAACGUUUAACAGAACCUAAGUUGGUGAUCCACAACUCGGAUUGUGCGAUAACCUCAGGUCUAAGGAUUACAUUGAUUGAGACAUGCAAAUGACGACCUACUCGUUGCAUCUCAAUAUGGGUCAGUCCGACUCGCUAAACUCUUUAGCCGAGUCCGUGUAAGCUGGAAUGACAUCACCAUGCCCAUGACAAGUGGAACCGAGUCAUCAGCCAACUUUCACAUUAGUUUAGGUUAUGUGUUCAGCACAACCUAAAUGACUAAGGACAAUUUAGUAUGAACAACAUGAAUACAUAGUUCCACAAUCAAAUCACAUAUUCAAUGAUACAUAUCAGAUGUUCAAACAAGGACAACUUAAUAAUCUUUAUGAAUACAUUGGGAAUUACAUCAUACAUGAUUGCCUCUAGGGCAUAUUCCCAACAAUUUCCGCUUUACUUUGAUCGUCAGCGCUCUGGGCUGACGUCACGGCCUUGACGUGCGCGGUGUUUCAUGCACGUCGAUGCGUGUUAGGGUGGUCGCUGCACUGGUUCUUCGGAGGGUUCCAAAGUCCAUGAGUUGGCGUAUGGGAGGCGGUAACCAUCUUUCUGGUGGCUUCUCAUGGCGCCUAUAUAUGUAGAGCUGUUGUCGGCAUUGCUCUGGGCACUUGCGUAUUGCGCUAUGGGUUCUGAACUUCUGAUGGGUUGCUUGGCGCUGCAGAUGUGGAUCCGGCACGAUCGGCAGCAUUGGAGCGUCGGUGUCCUCCCUCUGCCCUAACCACGACGUCCUCCCUCUGCCCUAACCACGGCGCCCCCCCCCCCCUCUUCCCCAACCACGGUGUCCCCCGGUGGCCCCGUUGCUAGAGGUGAAGCUCCGCAGCUAAGGAGGUGCAGUCCGGCGACAUCCAGGCUGAGACUACAGGGAGGUGUGGGGCCAGUGAGGCCAGAACGAUCCACCGGCCGCCAUGUGCCUCCUCACGCCUUUUUUUUUUGAAAAAGAGGGACCCCCUCCUGUUUCCAUUAAAGAAACGAUAGUCUUCUACACAAAUAGACAAAAGUAAGAAAAAGAAGAAAAACAUUCAGCGCGAAGUUCAGAUCACCAGCAGGUCUAGAAAUGAUACUAGCAACAGCAGAGAAAGAGAAAACAUACUACAAUUCAUAGAGCUCCUAGUCAGUAGAUUCAGAUAAAUGUUCUUGCUGCAGCAAUAGUUCCUUCACUUCAUGUAACCUGAACUUCUCCUCCUCCACUACCUCCCUAGCGAAGGCAGAGACCAGACAAAGCAGAAAAGCAGAGACGGCGAAACUUCAGCCCGCCAUGAUGCGACGACAAAGAGGAUGCCAUCCUUUCGCUGUUUCAAAAAUUUCCUUGGCGACAACUUCAACCAGUCUUACCCCCCACCGCAGAAGAUUUCUGCUUGCUUCCUUUCUCUGCAGAACAGACCAAAGAUUGAGCCAAUAACAGAAUCUCUUAAUGAUACCAAAAGGAGAAUAUCUUAAUGAUAUUUGGUCAAAAAAAUAAUAUCUUAAUGAUACCAAAAGGAGAAGUCAAACCAGCAGAUCUACAACAGGCAUCAUUUCUAGUGUUCCAGAGUACCCACAGUAAUCCUGCAACCCCUACCAUAACCAAUUUCCUAACAUUGCCAGAAAAAGCCUGCAUCCAUCCAGUCCAAAUUUGAUCAACAGUAUCCGGCUAAGAAUUUAAAUUGAAAGAACAAUUUAGAAUAUUUCAUAAGAAUCAAGCUAAAGUACACUGGAGGAAAAGAUGAUCAAUUGAUUCAUCCAUCCCACAGAACUGACAUUUGGAAUCCCUUUUCCACCCUCUAUGCUGCAAAACAUCUUUAGUCAAAUCAAAUAUCUCAGCCUCCUCACGUCUGGCGCUGCUCAUUUUUUAGAUUCUGUUCCAUCUUGAUUGAUUCCUUAGUUCACAAAUCAAAGAUCUCAGCCUCUCUUGAUUGCAAUUGGUACGGCGACGGAGAUUUUUCCUCUUUUUUUAGAGCUCUUUUACGGUACCCCACAUUUAAUAUGAUCCAUCCAUUAGUCACGAUCUAAUGGCUAAUAUUGUCCGGUACUCCACUACAAGUUGUCUGGAGUACUACCUCAAGAAUAGACGGAGUACCACGAUAUGAGGGGCAAAAUCGUAAUCAUAAGAAGUUUUUUUUCUCUCGCGGAGUUAUUUUGAUAAUCCAACACUAAAUAUUGUGCCAAAACUCAGGCGUGAAUGUUUUGAUUUACGCCAUCUAAAAAAGUCAUGAACCGGAGAUGAACCCUAAUCCUGAGGAGGUGUGGCGCCAGGCUUUGAUCCAUCACCGGCCGGCGCAAGUAUGCAAGGGACGAGGACGCUCCCCCCGCCGGCGCAAGUAUGCUCGUCGAGCCGCCGCCUUCUCCGUUUCUGAAGACACGAGCAUCGCCGUCAGGGCGCGGACCAGAGCUAGGUUUGGUCAAAAGGUAAACUGGGCCAAACAGUAGAGAUCAGGACGGCGGCGGAGAGCGGGAGACACGACAGAGUGCGGCCUGCACACAGUGCCGAAGGCCAAGGGUCAGCACUGACGCUUGCUCCCACGGCCAACGGCUUGGGCACGCAGGAGACUUGACGAUCCACGAGACCUUGGGCUUGGUUGAUUGAAAGGAGUACGUGAAAGUCCAAGAUGACCUGCGGGUUGCGGAAAUGCCCAGACUGCCCUUGCAGAUGAACGGACAGAUUUGUAUGGUACUCCAUCUUGUGUUUUGGGAGUACCAAUACUGUAAAAACUCUUUUUUUUUAAUUCUUUUCUUACUGCCCUAAACCCAUGGCAAUGUUUCUACUUUCCAGUGUCUUAGUUUGUUGUGGCAGGUAAUACAAUCGUUCCACGUAUAGGCUCCUCAGUUAGCGGCUUAAGCCUCGGUAGACUCCGGCCGCCACAUGCCUACGCUGACGGCUGCAGCUUCUUGCGUUUUGGCGAUGCUAUAAUCCCUUCUGGUGCGGUAAACUCUUUUCUAGCGGUGCCGGUUUCUACCGGCGUGGGAUGGACCAAUCGUUCACUGCCAGCAUGCACCACGUAUCCGGACGCUAUGUAUAUCCUUCAGUAUUCAUUUGUUCCCUCAUUUAUUCAACGUGGUAAUCUCAGUCUGGGUCCCACCAUGUGCUAAAAGAAAAGGGAGCACCAAAGAAGAGCGACGCGGGGCUCUGGACCUCUGUUCGAGGCGUGACGAGCGGGGCCCAAGCAAGGUGCGGGGCCAGGCGGGCAGCGAGCCAGCGACGGGCGCUGGCGCUAGUGUGUGUGAGCAAAUUUGAGGAGGUCUGUACAAAUUUGAUGAAACUUUUCUAAUCCUGUACUAACACAUUUUGAGGUUUGUACAAAUUAUGUAAGGGUUCAAACCAACUCAGAUUUUGAUGAAACUUUGGGGGUUGGCUUAAGAUGGGAACAUCCACCUUCAGUAAACGUUUCAAAAAUUUUGUAGCAAAUUUGAAACUCUGAGAUUUAAAUAUGGUUUAAGUUAAAAGGGCUAGUAAACUAAUUUUGAUUGACGCGAAAUUUUGCAUGUGCUCAUCUUGCAUAUAUGUGAGUUUGUACAAAAAGUUACAUGUCAAAAAGACGAAGUAGAAAAGUGGGUUAUUUCACAUAGGUUUGAAAAGGGGUUUAGUCCGCGCGAGUUCUAAAUUGAUGCAACAAUAAUUAAUACAUGAGAUGAUUACAUGAUGCAUGCUUAAUCUUAAAAUGAUCCUAUAUUAAUCAUCACACUGUAGUUCUCCACCAGCUCGGUCACCUACCGAUGGCGCGCAUGCCGCGCUAGCCACGCACCGCCUUGUGUUGCCCAACAUACCAUUUGUAUAUCAAUUUUUGGGUCAUUACACUAUAGUUCUCAAAUUUGUCGAAAUAUACCAUUUGUAUAUCAUAUACCACAUACCAAUGAAAUAUAUCAUUCAAAUACCACAUACCAAAUAAAUAUACCAUGUACCAAUAAAAUAUACUAGUGAGAUACCGUUGCAAUAUCAUAUACCAUACGAAUGUAGUGUACCAUUUGUAUAUCAUAUAACACCGUAAUAUCAUAUACCACAUUACCAAUGAAAUAUACCAUUCAUAUACCACAAAGCAGAGAAAUAUACUAUUCAUACACCAUGUACCAAUAAAAUAUACCAAUGAGAUACCGUUGUAAUAUCAUAUACCAUACGAAUGUAGCAUACCAUUUGUAUAUCAUAUAACACCGUAAUAUCAAAUACCACAUACCAAUGAAAUAUACCAUUCAUAUACCACAUAACAAAUAAAUAUACCAUUCAUAUACCAUGUAAAAAUAAGAUAUACCAGUGAGAUACCGUUGUAAUAUCAUAUACCAUACGAAUGUAGUAUAUCAUUUGUAUAUCAUAUAACACCGUAAUAUCAUAUACCACAUGCUAAUGAAAUAUACCAUUCAUAUACCAUAUAACAAAUAAAUAUACCAUUCAUAUACCAAGUACCAAUGAAAUAUACUAGCGAGAUACCACCUAAUUUCAUAUACCACAUACCAAUAAAAAUAAUAAUAAUCUAAAAUAUUGCAUCAUGUCAUCAUUACUUAUAUUGGUUGUGCAUCGAUUUAAAACUUUGCGGUCAUCAUUCUUAAACACCUUUUCAAACCUUUGUGAAAUAAAACAUCUUCAACCUUGUCCCGUCGACCUAAAACUUUUUGUACAAGCUCACAUAAAUAUAGUUCGAGCCUCUACAAAAUUUCAAGUUAAGCGGAAUUACUUUAAUACCCUUUUUGAAUUAAACGAUUUUCGAAGUCACAUAAAUCCCUGAAUUUCAAACUUGCUCCAAAAUAAUUGAGAAUUUUACUGGAGGUGGAUAACACCAUCCUAAACCAACCCUCAAAAUUUCAUUGGAUUCGGACUUCAUUUGAACUUUCAAAUUAUUUGCAGAAACCACCAAACGUCUAAGUUCAAAGUUGGAAACGAAAUCAAUCAGGUGACCCCACAUGUCAUACUCUCACGUGUAACUUAUUCUCUUUCUCAGUUCUCUUCUUCUCUUCACAGCACGGUAGAAGAUAUCCAGUGCUCCCACCCCUUAGGAUGCGAGCGUGCUCAGUUUUCGAAUUUUUUGAUAUAAAUUGAGUAGCUUUGUAAGAUAUGUGUCUAUCAUGUCACAAAGUUUCAAAUCCAAAUUCAUCAUAUGCAUAGAAAAACAAAAAGGACAAAUCCAGAUGCGAGUAGGUCGCAAAAAGAUAAAAACACAAAAAGACAAAAUUUCUAACACUAUUCAUGUUUGCAUUUGUCUUUUUUUUUUCUCUCUGUGUAUAAUGAAUUUGGAGUUGAAACUUUGUGACAUGGUAGACACAUAUCAUAUGAACCCAUUCAAUUUAUUUUGAAAAUUUUGAAAACUUUUUAGAGGUGCUGCCGUGCAUUGGGAGCACGGUAACACCCUAAGGGGUGGGAGCACUGGAUAUCUUCUUCACAGCACGGCACGCACAGGAACUCAAACCGCAUCGCCACUUCCUGACAUCGCUCGCCAUAGCCCUGCACUGUGUGCCAAGGCCUGCCCAUCUACUCGCAUCACGCACUCUAGCGGACGUGUCAGCCGCGGAUCCCGCCGGAUCUAGAGAACAACGCGGCGGCGGCGCACUCCAGCUGCUCGUGAUCUUGGGAAGAACGGCACAACGGCGCACUCCGGGAAAGAAAUUGGGGCAGCCAUGGAUCCGAGGAAGAAUUGCGUGGCAGCUCGGUCCAGUGGCUCGCGACCAUUGGGAAGAACGGCACGACAGCGCACUGCGGGAAAGAAAUUGGGGCGGAAAUGGAUCCGGGGAAGAACAGCAUGUCGGCGCGUCGAUGAAGCUCCCUGCGGCAGUGGCACAGGUGGCGACGAUGCUAGACACCUCCGGCGAUAGGAGGGAGGGAACAACGCGAUGGCAGAGGGAGACUGGGAGAGAGAUGACAGUACGAUGGAAACCAGCCAAAAUAUCUGCUCCGUGAAGGACAGUGACAAACUCAAGUGGGCUGGGUAGCAACAAGUACAAUACAUCUUGCGACCGAACCGAUGUAUAAAUUUCCAUAAUUGAAAUACCGACUCGGGCGUGCGUUGAUCUCAUAGCGCGAAUGGACGGUUCGUAGGAUACCGGCACCGCUACAAUCGCCGCUUUGCUUCUGGUGCAGCUAUUUAUGUUUAUGAUUCAACUUGUAUUCUAUCAACUAUGCCUUCUCGCGAGUUUGGCCAUGCAAUGACAAUGUUGUUAUUAUAUACUGUCUUGGUGAUUUAUCCUAUUUGCCUUUUUCUCCAGAUAGAUUCGCAGAUUAUUGAGAAUGCGACAAAGUUAUAAAAAAAUGGCUGAAGUUGGAAUCUCAGUUGAAGAGCAUGAAGGACAACUCCAAGAUUUUCCAUCAUCCAUCCCAUUUUUGCCUCCCCUGGCUAGUAUUAAGCAAGGACGUUACUUGGUAAUACUUUGCAUGCAACGGUAUGGUGUGUCGAAUUUGAAACUCAUAAGCAGUUGGUUACUAUAUUUCUAGUUUUCUAUAAAAGAAUGCAGCUAAUCUGAAGGUCUACUAUGCUACUCUUCUCAUUGCUGCGUAAUGGUCUUGUGGAUUUCUUGCACCAAUUAUCCUUUUUUUAAAAGGUCCAGCAAACGUUGGCUUUCCAAUGCAUUAGCAGGCAGAGAUAAUUACAGGGUUUGCCCUAGGCCAAAGAGAAAAAAGGAGCGGAAACAAAAGAAAGAAACGAAGGUGGCCAGGGGAGACUGAGGAGGAUUUCAGGGGGGUUCCAGAGAAGUUUCCUGAGAGCCUUUGCGCCGACGAAAGCCCGGUCUUGCGCUUGAAAGUAGCGAUCUGACACAUGCCGGUGGCCUUGUCAUGGAAAACUCUUGAAUUGCGCUCGCGCCAAAUCGAGUGGCACACCAGGAUGAACAAGGACCCAAGCCCUUUGCUUAGGUUUGCACUGUAUGAUUUCAUGAGGCGGUCGUGGAAGUCCUGGAUCGACGUGGCCCCAUGGAUGGCCGUAGCAAGGGCACGACAGUUAGGCCAGAGUGCAAUCUCGCACCAGAGCAUGCUGGAGAACGAGCACUCGACGAAGAGGGGGAAGGGCGUCUCCAGGUUCCGACGACGGAGAGGACAGAAGUAGCAGUUGGGCCAGCCGCGCCGUUGCAGACGAUCCGCACACAAAAGACGGUUCUGAAACAGAAGCCAAGCGAAACAUUUGUGCUUCGGCGGCGCCCAGACGUGCUAGACGGUCUAGGGAAGCGAUGAGAGCGUGACGCCGAUAAAGUGGAGCUUGUAGGCGGAGCUAGAAGAGUAAGAGCCGUCUGCGGUCAGGGUCCAACGAAUGGCAUCCGGAGUCUCAGGCUGGAGGGAGAUCGCGUGCAGAUCACGCCAGGCAGAGAUGAACUCGUGGAGGGCGUCGGUAGGCAGGUCGCGACGCAAGUCGCGGACCCAACGAUGAUCGGUGACAGCUUGGACGAUCGAGAGAUUCUUGCAUCGGGAGAGGGCAUGCAGUUGCGGGAAAGCCAGCUGGAGCGGCCGUCCACCAAACCAGGUGGAAUACCAGAAACUGGCGGUAGAGCCGUUGCCGAUGGUGACACGGGUAGCAUCUGCGAAAGGUCGCGGUCAACCUCGUCGCAGGGAGUAGGCGUGCCGACCCAAGGCCGAUCCGACGCUCGCCACUCGAGCCAGAGCUAUAGUAGACGAAUGGCCCUACCAAAAGCAUCCAAAUUCAUGACUCCCAUCCCGCCGUGCGCAAGAGGAGAGCAAACCCUAGACCAACUAACCUUGCACUUGCCCCAAGCGAGCUCAUUAUCAUCAACACCCCAAAGGAAACGUCGGCGGAUCUUAUUGAGGGUGCUAAUGAAAUUUCGGGGAAGCUUGAGCGCGUUCAUGGCAAACACCGGGAGGGCGCUAAGCACAGAGUUGGUGAGAGCAUACGGCACCCACUGGUGCUAAUCCAUCUUCCCCGCCAACAAGCCAGGCGAGCACGGGCAUGAUCCAGGAUGUGUUGAAGGUGAGCGCUCUUGAUCCGUUUGAGGGACAUGGGGAGGCCUAGGUAGCGAAUGGGGAAAUCGACAUGUAUCCCAUGGAAAUGCAGAAGGACAUCGUCGAGGUUGGUAUCGUCGCAUCGGAUUGCGGCCACCUCACACUUGCCAGGAUUAAUGCGCAGGCCCGUGGCGAGACCGAAUUCAUGCAGCAGAUGGAGAACGAAGAGCACGUCGGUGCGCACAGGGUUAAGGAAGAUGAUGGCGUCAUCUGCGUAGAGGCCGCCGCGCGGAGCUGCUUCUUCAGGGGUAGCGGGGAGAGACCGCUGAGCUCUGUGCCGCGUUGAAAGAGGCGCUACAGCGGGUCGAUGGCGAGGAUGAAGAGAAGCAGAGAGAGCUGGUCUCCCGGGCGCAGGCCGCGACGGUGAGGGAUCGAGGCGCCGAUGGUGCCAUUGAGAAGCACCGAGGAUGAGGCGGUGGAGAGGAGGAGCGCAAUCCAGUCACGCCAUCGAGCCGGGAAGCCGAGUCGUUGGAGGAGUUCUAGAAGAUAUUCCCAAGACACGGAGUCGAAAGGUUUGGCGAAAUCGAGCUUCAUAAGCAGGGCUGGCUUUUUCCCGCGGUGGAGAGUGCACGCCGCGUUUCGAACGAAAAGGAAGUUGUCGUGGAUGCAGUGGGUCGUGAGGAAGGCGCUCUAAGAGGGAGAGAUGAGCCCCUCCAUGAAGGGGGACAGGCAGUAGGCGGGUACUUUGGAGAAGAGCUUGGCGAACGAGUGAAUAAGGCUAAUAUGGCGCAGGUCGUGGACACUGUUAAUUUGGGCUAUCUUGGGCAGCGAGAAAAUGAAGGCUGAGCUGAGAGUAGAGAAAUUUCCACUAGCGAGACAAUGGAGGUGGUUGAAAGCAGCAAGGAGGUUGAGCUUGAUAAUCUGCCAACAGGAGCGGUAGAACACGCGUUGUGAAGCCGUCUAGCCCGGGCGCGUUUCAGCAGGCGAGUCCCGGAUGGCGACCCAAAUCUCGUCCAUCGAGAAAGGGAGGUCGAUGCCGACCGGGGGAAGGGUCGGCAGGUUGAGCUCGGACCACGCAAAAGAAUGGGAGCGCGGGGAAGUCGAACCAAGAACGGCAGUGAAAUGCUGGAGCAGGGCCUGAGCUUUGUCGUCAUGCGCCACGUGCACACCGGAAUCGUUGGCAAUCUGGUGAAGGAAAUUUCUUCGGUGCCUAAAGUUUACCUUGAUGUGGAAGAAUCUGGAGUUGGCGUCGCUUUCUUUGAGCCAGACCCGGCGACGGCGGGAGCGCUCGAUCGCGGCGAGCCCAGGGAUCCUAGCUUUGAGGGCGCGGCGGAGGUGAAAUUCUAGGGCCGAGAGGAUGCAGCCUUCCUGAGCGACGUCGAGCCAUAGCACGAGUUCCAGAGCAAGGUGAAGCUGGAAGCGGGAAUCACUAAAGAUUCCUUUGCUCCUUUGACGUGAAUACGACGAAGAGGAUUGGCGGAGUCCACCUCCUGGCUCCAGGCCUCAAUCGUAGCAUCGAAGAAGCCCGGGUGAUGCGGCCAAAAAUUCUCGAAACGAAAGCGUGCUUUCCUCGGCAGCAAGCUGAAGCCGGCAAGAAGAAGAGGACAGUGAUCCGAGCGCGAGAUGGAAAGGGCGUGAACGGCAUAGGAGGAGAAGAGCGCGUCCCAAGCGGAGUUACAGAAGAAUCGAUCAAGCUUGACGAGGGUGGGGUGCUGCUGCUCGUUAGUCCAGGAGAAGUUUCGGUUGACGCAUCUCAAUUCGAAAAGCUCAGCCUGAUCAAUGUCCGCGCGGAAUUAGCCCAUGAGGCGACGACUAAGGUUGAGGUUGCUCUUGUCUCUUGCUUCGUAGAUUAGGUUGAAAUCGGCGAAAAUCAACCAGCAGGGUUCCCCAGGGCGCGGAGAGAUGACGGCCAUCUCUUGGAGGAAGGCGGGCUUGCGGGCAUCUUCGGCUGGACCGUAGACGGUGGAUAGAAGAAACGCUAGGCCGGAAACAUUGAUGGUGACGACGACCGUAAUGGAGAAAGAGAGGAUCUGGGGGUUGGAGAUGGCGACCACGUCGGGGUUCCAAAAAAGGGCCACGCCGCCCCACGUGCCGUCGGCGGGCAGGCACACGAAGGGCUGGCGGGAGGGGCCUGCAAUCUCACAGGCUAGGGAAGCGUCGAUCGCGGACAACUUUGUUUCCUGAAUGCAAGGGAUGCCGGCUUUGGCGUUGGAGGCCAACUCACAGACGGCCGCGCGGCGAGCCGCGUUAUUGAGGCCGCGGACGUUCCAGCAAACAAUCGGACAGAUGGCGUCAAUUUGGGGCGGAGCAUUGACGAAACGCGACAGAAACUAAUACUAGCACGAGUACACCCGAAUAUUACUUGUAGGUCCCUCGGGAUCCUUGGGGGACUCAAUCCCUUGCGUUGUUUUUGCCAUCGGUCUGCCCCGGUGGAUUUGUACCUUUAGUAUUCUAUCCUGGCCUCUAUGUAUGCAACCCGUAUUUCUGUCGCAACGGUCAUCUGAUCCAUCACAUUUAUGCAAAACAACUUUUUUGGUCCAGCUAACUCACGCUGCCACCGAUUUUGGCCCAGCUUCACAGGUAAACCAGAGGUCAAAUUUUGAAGCAUUAUGCAUAAUCUCCAUUCAAUUUUUUGGCACACAUGCAUCAAUUUUAAGCCGAACCAGUUCAUCAACAAAAUAUUAAUUAAACAUAAUUAGGAACUUGAAUCUGAACCAAUUUUGGAUAGAACUUGGAUCUGCGCCAAAUUUUUGUCAAUCAACAAAUUCAACAACAAUCCCCAAAAAUAAAUGUGAACAACAGAAGCAAACUGCAAAAGCUAAACUCAAACAAAAUCAAGAAAAUUUGCCGCAUGGCCACAGACAGUUAGGAGUUAAACUCAUAGAAAUCGCAUCAACAAAUCUUCCCGCAUGCCCACGGAAAAAAACCGAAACCAAAAAAAGUCUUGCAACAAUCUUGAAGCAGCAAAUCUUCAUCAGGGAAUCACGCAUGUGUGAAAACUUGCACAAAUAAACGCAGGGAAGAAAUCUUGCACAAAAAAAGAUCUUGCACCAUGGCCACGCAUGUGUGAAAACGCAGGGACCUAGCCGAGAACUCCGUGUCCAUGGCCACGAAGGGGCCGUCCGAACCUGGUCAGUUCACCGCCGGGAGCCGCUGGCGAGGGAGGAUGAGCAGGGGGAGAGGAUAGUAAAGGGGAUUUUUUGGGGAAGGUGGGGCCCAGUAUUUCGGAAUGGUCCAGCUUGCCAUCAUAAAUGGCCCAGGUCUCAUCGCAAAUGGCCCAGGUACACAUAGGAAAUGGCCCAGUAUUUACACUAUUCAGUACCGCAUCCUGGACCAAAUUUCAGAUCAUGAUGGGCCAAACGGGUGGACUGGAUAGAGUCCACCAAGGGUCCUGAGACCUGAAAAUUCAUUCAAAACAUACAUGGGGUGGAGACGAUCGACAGCCAAUAGCCCCAAACAGAUCGUUCUCCAAUAGCAAGCCGUCGAACCCUAACAUAACUACCAAAGGACCGGCAUGGGGCCGGCCGCCACCUAAACAACUAAGAUAGCAUAACAUGGGGAAACUACAAAUUAGUUCGCCGGCGAGGCGACGCUGGUGGCGGAGGCCUGAGCUGCGGCACGGUGGAGAGCGUUGCGGUCGAUCCUGGUAAGAACGGCGAGGCCGUCCACAUCAACUUCAGAGAGAGGCUCCUUGAAUCGCUGGAUCAGCGCAGCAGCGGCAGUGUCGGGGCGCUGGCGGACAGUGGAGGAGGGCUUCCCCGCCUGACGAGCGCUGCGGCGCGGGGUGAUCGCGGGCAGCUCCUUGGGCGGCCGCGGAAGCGGCGGCGGCGAGGCUCCGAGCACGCAGGAGGGAGGCACGGCGAACAGGGAGCGGAUGACCUCAUCAGUAGUCGUGUGGUCGUCGGGCGCGGGGGAGUCUGGGACGAGCAUGUCAAUGACGUCGGUGGUGGUGGCGGCGCGCCCAUCACCGACCGGCGAAGGGAGCCUGAGGGCCCAGACCGUGAUUCCCCGGCACCGCCGCCACGUCGGAGCUCGCCGGGAAAGAGAGUGGCGAGGCCACCACCUUGGCGCAGUACGAGUCGAACUUCGAGACCAUCGGGUCCGCGCCGCGCAGAGGCCCUCGAACUGCUCGGACGCCAUCAGGGAUCCUCGCUGGAGACGGACGAGGCGCUGGUCGGUGAAGCGGGGGCAGCCUCGGGCGCCGGCGGCGAGGGCGGUGACACAACCACUGCAGGCGUCGGCGCAGCCACCGCGGGAGGAGAAACCACGAACAGGCGCUGGGUAGGGGGGCCAUGAGCUAGGAGGGGCGGCGGAGGCGGCAGGAAUUCCAGAGGCUCAACCAAUAUACUACUGCCCCCUGUUUUCUUUUCCUCCCGUCUUAUUCACGAUUUCUCCUUCUCCGUCUUACAACCGACGCCACCAUGCCCGCAUGUCGAUCUCGACGGCGUCAUGAGCUGCCUACACAGAAAAAAAAUAGUUUGUGAUUUGUUGACCCGUAGCAACGCGCGGACACACCUGCUAGUAUAUGAUAAAAGUUGUACCCAUCUAAUUAAUCUCGUUCCUCUCUAUACGUACUCUCUCUUCCCUCUCAGGUCCAGCAUGCAUGUGGAAUUGAGAACGGUGCCUCUGACUCUGGAGACUGGAGAACGUCCUCAAGACUCCAACAAGUUUUGAUUUUGAUUUUGAUUUAGUAAAAGAAUAAAAAAUAUAUGAAUUGAAUUAGUUAUGAGUUUUUCAAGUUUCAACAAUCUUUGGGGUCGUCAAUAGCUGGUUCGAUUGAGUGGCCAGUGCAUUCCGCGCCUGUCUCUUCUCUGCAGGUUUGAUUGAGUAGCCAGUGCAUUCCGCAUUUCCGCGCUAGUUGCCAUGCAAACAUCUUCACUUUAGGAGGACAAUGGCACUUCCAGAGUAACGCCCAGUCAGGUCUCUCACACGAGGCACCAUCCCCCUGCUCAAUCAUCAUAAGGGGACGGAGUGAGCACCUACAACUGGAAAAGUACCGUAUGCUGAAAUUAAUUAGAAUAAAACUACUUCCUCCGUCCAAAAUAUUCCAAAACAAGUGACCGUGGAUUUUAUAUAAAAAUCUAUAUAUUCAAAUCAAAAUUACUUAUUUUGGGAGGGAGGGAGUACAUGAUUCCAAGGUAGCAUGGGUUGAUGUUGAUCUAAAAAAAAAAUCCUAGGGUGGUUGUCAGAUUCUAGUGUACAUUGUUCAAAAAUCUUGUCUGGUUUUUGCUUUCGUAUGAUUCAGUACUACUUCCGUACUAUGCAAAUACGGAUUAUAAAUCAUGAUGAUUGAACAUAACUAAUUUAGAGUCAUAGAUUUUACUAAAAAAACUUAGAACAAAGCUAACACGAUGAGUUAAAAGACUCGAGCUAAUGCAAAAACUGUUAUAAGCUCCCGUAUGAUUCAGUACUACUUCCGUACUAUGCAAAUACGGAUUAUAAAUCAUGAUGAUUGAACAUAACUAAUUUAGAGUCAUAGAUUUUACUAAAAAAACUUAGAACAAAGCUAACACGAUGAGUUAAAAGACUCGAGCUAAUGCAAAAACUGUUAUAAGCUCCCGGCGAGGAUCGAACUCACGACCUUUCGCUUACGAAGCGAACGCAAUACCACUAUGCUACGGAAGCUAUCAGUAAUAUGUUUUAAAGAAAAUUAAUUUGUAUUUUAUUUGUCAAGACCUUUUUCCCGUUCCCGUUCUUGCACUUGCAGCCAAAGGAUCAGCGGUUGCGGCAUGACAAGAUUUUUUUUAAUUGUAUUUUUAAUUGCUAACCACAUUUGCCAUGUGGUUAGUGGCAUGACAAGAUAGUUGUGAGUUUGACUAUAUAGGAGUAUAUCGCUCUGACGAUGCGUCACGCCGGUGACACGCAGUAGUAGCAGUCUAGCAGAGCACCCGACUGAAACGUGCCCGACAGUAGAGCACCGGCCGACCAAAUCCAGAUGAGUUUUCAUGCAGUUAUUAAAAAGGUACCACAUGGGGCACAUGGCAGCUUCCAGAUCCAACAAAGUCCAAAAUCAGUUAAACAAAAGGCAAGCAUACACAUACACAGAUUAGAACUUGGCGAGCACAUCGCAGAUUCUCCCGAUAGCUGCAGCCAGAAUGAGUAUAGGGAGAAAGGGAACGGACAUGUUUCCAACUCUCCAUCUUGCUGAAACCUCGGGUACUUCGGAGUCUUUUCAGAAGAAUACAAGAUACAGCUGUGCAUCGCAGGUAAACGAAUUACAGGUUCUAAAAGGAUUAACAGAAGAACUGUAAUAGUCUACUCUAUGUUUGCCAAAUAGUAAAAAAGGACCGGAAUGCUGUAGCCUGCUGACAUCGGCAGCUAUUGAAGACAGACAAAGGAUAAUAACUGAUAAAUGGAAUGUUUUGUACAACAGAAUUUCAGACUAGUCUCGCUAGAAACAAAUCAGAAACUUCCCCGACAGAAUGCCAGGGCAAAUCCACAAGCGCAAUCAAAAGAACAGAUACGGGCGCGGGGUAAACACAAACAAGCAAAUCUUUUGAGUAAUUACUAUUUUUGCUUCAGAAAUGAACAGUUUAACACCAUCUAUUGAGAUCUGAGACUUCAAACAAACAGCCACGGGUACUUUUGUAGGUACAGACAUAACAGAGUGAAAUAACAAUGGAUGACCAAGCGCCCAACCCUAUAAACUUGACUAGAACUUCCCCACUCCGAUCCAGGAAGGCGACAGUGACAUGAGCCAGACUAAAGCUACGAUUCAUUGUCCAUCCUAACAGCAACCUGAAAGAAAGGGAGGGACUAUGCUAAACUAAAGGCAACCAUCCAUCAGAGACACUAGCCAGGAACAGCAACAGCAAAGCUCCAGAGGUUUCCAUCCAGUACUGUGGCAGCUUGGUGAAAUCCGAUCCGCAUCACUCGUCAGCCUGCAUACAGGAUGUUUCAGACAUUCUCGUCAGUGAGGUGAGGUUGACUGAAAUUGUCGGAAAGGGAUUAUGGGGUGGGUGUCUCUAUCUCACCUCGCUCCCGUCAGCCUCGUCGUUAACCUCGGACUUGGACUUGUCCGAGUCACCAGACGCUUCCUGGCCUCCUGCCUGCAAGGGUAAAAGCACAAACCGCACAUAUGAGAACAAUGUGAUCAUCUCGAUUCUGACGACGGUGUUCGAUGAGGAGCUGAGAGCGCGCAUCGGUACCUGAGGGUUGUUGUAGGCGACCAUCUUCUUGUUGUACUCAGCCUUGAGCUUCUCGGCCUUGGCAACAAAAGGAGCUUUCUCCUGCGUUACAAACGAGAUAUGUUAGUCGGGCGAAGCUAGCACAAGGCAAUGGAAACACUGAACUGAACAGCUGUGAAAAGACGAGCAAAAGGGAAACGAAUUGUGCGGAACGGUAUCGAAAAUUUGAACGGGCGAACAAGAUGUUGCAAGUACUAAAAGUUUAUCACCAAUUAGAAUCGAAAAGGAGAUGGGUAAAUUUUAAACGAAAUGACACAUUUUAACAAAUUCACCAUAAAUUUGAACCACACGACCAGAACUACACAUCCAGUGGAUCCCCAAUUUGAACCUAACCCUCCUGGAACAAGUAAACCCGAGAUAUGAACGACAAAAAACGUAAACUGAACAAAAUUACAAAAUUACAAGUGACAUCAAAUCAGCAGACAAUGGAAUCAGAUCGAAAUCGCAUGACAUCAAAUGAGAAAACAAUGAAACCAGACCGAAAGAGCCAGCGGACCCUGCAGUUUGAGGAAACAACUUACAGCAUCGGACAGGGACUUCCACUCCGCACCACCGGCUUUACCAACCUGCGUCCCACCAAAACCAGCCGGUAUCAGAACGUAGAAUUUAAAUCGUCACAACGGUUCGAACGAGGGGAUGAACUCAGGCGGAGAAAACGAUCCUUACCACGGAGACUUGCUUGACGUCAGGGUGCUUCUCCUUGUAGUCCUUCCUGAACCCCUCCCUGCGGAAACGAAUGCAUAGCAAAAAUGUCGAUCAGAACGCGACACCACAGAGUGACAAACAACACGAAAACCAGAACGGAUCUGAGCUUACAUGAAGACGAAGAACGCGCUCGGGGGCCUCUUUGGCUGGUUCGGGUCCUUCUCGGCCUUUGUCUUCCUCACCGAGAGCCUAUGCCACCAACAAGUGCAAGACACCAAGAGCAAAUCGAAUCAAAACCGACGCGAAAUAGAGGCGAAACACUCGAACAGAACCACGGAAAUCGAACAGGUAGAGGGGAGAUCUGAUCAAUCAGACACUAACCUGGAGUCGCCGCCGCUGGACCUCACCCUCGCCUUCAUCUCGCAGCCUGCAACACCAAACCAACCCAGAUCUAAACCAUCAGAAACAGCACAACCGAAAUCACAACAGCAUGAAAUCGGAUGUUCUAAGAAACAGAUAUAGAUUGAUCUCGAACUCACGGUACCUUCGGAUCGGAGCGCGUUAGUGCUAGGUUGGGGAGAUGGGUGCUGCGUGCUUUCGACUACGAUGCGAUUUGGAGGGCUGGAGGACAGGAGGAGGGAGGCGAUUGGGGGCGGGCUUUAAAGGCGGGUGAGAGGCGGGAGUUUGCGCGGGGUUCCCCGAAAAAUUUCGCCACGUCAACGAUCCGCGCGCUCUUCUCUCAUUGGCCGUGCGGGCGAACUGCAGUCGGCUAGAGCUUCCGCUACACUGUUUGCGCUUACCCGCGGGGCUCCUGUCCAGCUGUCAGUCUUAUGGCCCACCUGUCAUUGGAGUUUGUAGGUUCUUUACGGAGUAUUUACGGUGUGUUUUCUCUGCCUGUGCUUCUCGGAUGGGGGGCAGUCUGGGCAGUUUCGAAGAGUUUACGGACGUGGUAGAAGUUUCCUGGCGCACGACUCAUUGAACCCGCAUUUAUUUAUUUCUCGACAGAACAAGGCCGUAUCUUUUGGUAUUCCUCGAUCGAGUGAUCGAGUCGGAUAUUGUACUAGGGAGUAUAUCGGAGUUAUUUUUAGAGGCUUACUCAUCCCGUUACUUAAAGAACGGCAUAUUAGUUUUCAUUAAGACAAGUCUUUGAACACAAAUUAUUAUGUUAAAGUGUUGUUUAUAUGACAUGAAGUACUUUCGAUAACGAAUUUAGCGAUACUAAUUUCAUGUCAUAUAAACCACACCUUGCCAUAGUAAUUUGUGAUCAAAUCCUUGUCUUAAUGAAAGCUAAUAUGCCAAUUUUUAAGGAACGGAGUGAGUACAAUGAAAAUACUCGUCACGUUGUCCGUAAAAUGUCCCAUGUAUCCUGCACAAACAUUGUUUUUGAUCUAUUUUACUCGUGCGAGAACAUAUGCUAUAUGAUCGACUCUCGUUCUUCUGCAAGGUGGUGUUUAGUACUACCUCCGUUCCAUAAUAUGAGACACGCAUGCAUCGCUAAAUUCUCAAUUUGAUUAAUUAAAUAUGUAUGUUUUUAACAAAAAUUACAUCAUUAGACUCGUUAUCGAAAAAAUUUCUAAUAAUAUAAUUUUUUAGUUUUUUAAUUAAUAUUUAGUUAGCUAAAUUGACGAUGUAGGAAAAUGCGAGCGUGCCUCCUUCCGUCCCAAAUUGACUGACGUAUUUUUAUACAAAUCCACGUCAGUUAAUUCGGGACGGAGUGAGUACAUUAGAAUGCCGGAACUUAGAGGAUGCUCUACGAUGCCAUUAAUUGUCUCUAUUUAAACACUGACGUAUAAAGUAAGUAGUAUCUUAUACUGUAAGUUAGUGUUUGGUGCAGAGCAAAUAGUCCAUACAUUUUCCUAAGGAAGUAUUGUAUUCUCUUUUGAGGAAUCAAAUAGAUUCAUGUAUUAUAGGAACUAAACAUGAGAAUGCAUGAUGCUCAAAUGUGGAACUAUUUUAUUACAUUUCACCAUUUUUUUAGCAGCCAAAAAGUACUACCUAAACAUCAAACGUGGUGCACCCGAUACAAACGAUAACAGUCUUGGUCCCUAUGAUGUGUUGUUGUGAUCUCUCGACCAUGACUUGGAUAUAGGUCUAUCGUGACAGUCCUCGUUGGCCUACAUUUCCUACUCCGUCAUCGAUGAUGCAUGUUUGUAUCGGGUGGAUUACACACAAUAUUAGAUUUCCCUUUAAGCAAUUCAUUACAAGCAAUUCUAGAAACUCAAGUCUUCAUGUGGUUGAUUCAUAAGAGAAGUUCUGACAAGCCACAAAUAAAUAUGUGGAAAUUUAUGAUUUUCGGUUGAAAACUCACCAAUAUAGCGAGAACCUUCCAUUUUUCUGGUUCAAGGCAUCAUAAACAUGGUGGCUGAGAUACUAUCAAAAAGGUCGAAACGUACUUGCUUUUCUAUUUCCAUACACAAGCUCUUCUUUCACGGUUAAGGCUUCAUUGACAUUGGUACUAGCCUAAGAUGAUGAUCAUGUCGUUUUUGGGUUUUAUAGCGUGGCAAUUGCAUGUGGAUGUAGUCAUAAUGGUUUCGUGUACCGGUGAUUCCACUUUAAUCGGCGUAAUGCUUACAGCUAUGAUGCGGUACAAUACGGCGCCCACUCAUUUAUAUAUUUUAAGCAACGGCCUCCUGACUUGCUUCCACAUACCCCGGAAUUCGGUCGAAACCGCUUCCUUUUUCCUUAUCUGCAUGCAUAACAAGACAGGGCAAUCAAUGUUCUCCAAACACUAUAUUCAUUCAAAAAAUUGGAACGAUUUAUCUCUUCAAUGGUGGAUUUGGUCCUCUAUUUGUCUUCACCGUUAACGAUGUGUCGAACUAUUAAGCACCCAAUUGUAUCUCUAUAUGAGGAUUCAUUGAAUCUCCUAGGGGGGCAACCAUGUCUAGGAGGUUUUUUAUACGGAGUAUAAGAACAUUACUCUACCCAUGGUGGAAUCGACGCUAUCUUUGUGCGUCCUCCUUAUGCGAGGCAGUAUAUCUCAAUUUGCUCAGAGAAGGAAGCUCCAACGCUCUCUGCAACUAUUCCGGAGUUGGUGCUGGCGCGCUCGAGCCAUCUUGCAGAGCGAGCUAAUGUCCUGGUCCCGGUGGCAGCUAUCGGGAUGCAACAGAGCUGUGCGGCCGAAGCAAGAAGGACGAUGGCCUUAAGGAUUUGGUUUGUAAUUUUAUACUCUAUCCUUAUUAUGAGGUGUUGAUGCAAGGUGCUCUCUCUCUGUAUUGUAUUCUUUCCUAUGCUAUGAUGAAUGAACAGUUUUUAUAAUUCGGGUGCAAAAUAGACACAUAAUUACUGAGAGCGGGUUUUUUGCUCCGGGUGGCAAUCACACCCGAAAUCUGAGCCGCCCACCUUGUUUUUGGGAUCUGUGCCCCUGAUUUUCGGUUUUCAAAAUACAUUUGCAAUACAUGGCAGUGGUGUACGUGGGGACCACGCACGUGGAUUCCAACCCCCCUUUCUUCUUUCUUCUGUCUGCCCUCUCCACAGCAAUGUCGCCUCCCUCUCCCCCCCCUUCUCUCUCUCACCCAACAGCCCAUGGCGGUCGGAACAGGGACCUCGACCGAUGCGGGACGGCGGCGUAGCCGGAGAUGGAGGCGGCCAUGGGCGUGUCCAGUUCAACAUCAAACGCGCCCUGGCUGGGUAUUCUCUCCCCCCCCCCCCCGGCCCCCGGCCAUCAUGUUCGAGCAAGAACUCAAGGGCGGCGGGACGAGGCAAUAAAUGAAGCUGCAAAUCGUCGGAGGAGGGGGAGGGCCGCCGGAGUUCAGAGCUCGGCCACGGUGUGGCCAUGAUCCGUUGCCGCAGUUCGGAGCUCGUCCACGGUGUGGCCACGGUCAGCAGGACGCGGACGCGUGGUGCUGCCGGCCCCUGCACGGGCACGAAAAAGCCGCCGGGGUACUGCCACCCCCACGCCCGAGCACAACUGCACCACGCCGCCACCGCCAGCCAGCACCCCCCCCCCUCUCUCUUAUGGCGGAGCUCGUCCAUGGCGCCGCCGACAUCUUCACCGAGUUCAUCUUCACGGGGUCCGGCUCCAACAACCUCCAACUGCAGCGUCUUCCCCAACUCCGGCAUCCAGCCGCUAGAAUCUCGAGAACGGUGGCUCGUUCUGGAGCCGGCCGAACCCCGACAACAUCCAUGGCGCAGGAGGAGCAGGCGGACGGGUUCUUCUAGUCGAAAUGGACAAGGUCGGAGUGGACAAGGGCAGAGCUGGCAGCGAACGAGAGCAGCAAUUGGCGGUCGCCACUGUCGGACGGGAGCAGGGGAGAGAAAAGUGAGAGAGAAAGGCGGAGGAGGAAGAUAGCGUGGGGGGAUGUGGGGGCAGAGAAACGCACAUGGUGGGCCCAGCACUGUUGAAGAAUACCAAAUUAAAAUGGGCAUACGGAUCCAAAUACAUGUAGGAGGAAGAUAGCGUUUACGAAUCUCAAUGUGCUUUGUAAGGUGCAGAUUCAGGGUGCGAUCGCACCCAGGUGCAAGAGGACAUUUCCCCAUAAUUACUGGCAUAUCGAAUAAUCAGCACAGCAGGUAGCACAAGUUCUUGUCAGGUAAUGUGAAUCACAUCUGAAAAAGUCAAACUGAAGCACAAGUUUAGGUAGAGCUUACCAUCUCAAGCAGAAAUUGAUAUUCAUGAGGCAAUUCAUUACUGUGGUUACAUCUGCCACUAACAAUUUCCAAGAGCAAAAUAGCGAAACUAUAAAUAUUUGACUUCUUUGUCACUUGUCCUCUGACUGCAUAUUCAGGGAGGAGCCUGGUAUCCUCUGAUAGAAGAAACGAAGGCAUUGAGAGAUGGGAAUGAACUAUGUUCCAUGUCCCAAACAAACUCAUAUACAAGGCUAUAUACUUAGAUUGUUCCUGCAACACGGGUGCUCACAUAGUCACAUGAGUUGCAUUUGGAGGAAGGAGCCUUGCUAACCAAAAAUCAUUCUAGAGGUGGGAUCCUUGUCGAAAAGAAUAUUGCUUCCCUUUAUGUCCCGCUGAAUUAUAGGAGGACGGAUUUCCUCAGGAAGAAAUGCAAGCGCUGAAGCCCAUGGGCAACAUCUAGAGCAAUUUUAACAAGAACUCUCCAACUGACGGCGCGGCGGGGGAUGGCUCGCGACGGGGGACGGCUCGCGACGGGGGAGGCUUCGCGAGCAGCGGCAGACGGCAGUGACCCACGCUUCGCGGGCAGCGGACGAUGGCGCCAUGGCGGCCUCUCAAGCGCACGGCACGGUGACUUUGCUCGGGGGCAUCCUAUUCUAAAUUUUUUCUUCCACCGAAAUUCAGGCCGAGCGUGUGGAGGAGUUCAACAUCUUCCUGUCAUGCUCUCAGCGGGUGCCGUGCUUAUGAUCUCCGGCCUUUUAUUCCACCGAAAUUCGCUGCCCAAAUGGUUCCAGAUAGUGUGCUGGCAGGCUGCGACCGUCUCCUUUUUUGCGGCCUGGCUCGCCGUCUGGGAUCACAUAAGACUUCGGCUCAGCCAAACUCCCUCUUCGAAAAGACCCAAACUGAAAACACAAAAGUUUACCUUUGUUUUUCCACAGUUCUUUUUCUUUUCUUUUCUUUUCUUUUGACAGCACAAAAGUGUACCUUCCACUUUCAACUAGUACUCCAACUCUUGUAGCUUCCCUCAAAAAAGUAUUAACUCUUGUAGCUUUCGGUUUUUUAAUAUCAAAACUGUUGAAGUUGUUGUGAUUUCAACCUCGACGUAUCCGCCACGGCCAUCAUUGAGCUCGCCUCUUCGCUGCUACUGGUACUACCUAGUGAGGCGGCAAAGCAGGCCAUGGAGGCGGUGAGUGAUGAUGCUGCCUGCAACUCAGUUUUGAGCAUUCAUCAGGGGUCAUACACAUCAAAACUAUCAAUCUCCAUUGAGAAAAAGGGAGGAUAUCCAUCCUUAAUAGAUAGGAAAAAAAAUUGUGUACGUAUCAUUUUUUUUACAAGAACACCAAUAAGAAUUGAAUUGAGCAUCUUUGCACUGGCAGAAUGCAAGCGUUACAAGUUUAGUUCCCCUUCCUAAGAUUUACAGCUCCAACACACACGACACAAGGCAAAUUAGCCAUUGUCCUGUAGCUGUCUUUUUUAUUUAUUUACAUCAUGCAUCUGACUCCCGUCAAAAUUCUCAUCUCACUCCAACUCGGCUAGCCCUCAGUGAGUUAGCAUCUCCUUUUGGCAUGCGAUGUGUCGGUGCUACUGCUACGGAACAGGCCUUCCCAGUGCUUCAGAGUUCAGAGCAAAGAGCAGGAGCCAAAUUCCAUCCUAUGAAUCCUCCAAGUUAUGCACCUCUUCUGGUCUUGUGGGUUUGUUCGUGCUAGGUAACCUAAGCUGCUCACAUAAGGCCCCAAAAAAUAUAAGUUGGAAAUUGUAUCUAUGAGUACGAUUAUUCGGCUACCAAUGAACCAACUUCAGGGAGUUGAUAACUUUUUGUACUACACAGAAGCAAGAUGAAAACUAUGCUGAACAUGACUACAUUUGGAAUACUGGGGAAAAUGAGUAUAAGCAAAAUGCAAUAGACACGGCAACUAGUGAGUGACCUUAGACCUCCUCGUGUUCAGUGGCACAGGAUCCUUCUUCAGUGGUUUAUAUGCAAAAGUCUCCAGAUCGAUCACCGGUGGGGGUGGCAUGGGGUUACCAGCACCUUUCUGAUUACUUGUAACCUUGACAUGAAAAUGGAUAACAUAUUAAUUUGUUAGUUUUCUAUAUAUACUUCAUUAGCCUAGGAUGUCAGUGAUAUAGGCAUAUGACUGAGGGAUACAGGUCUGGAAAGGGAAGCUACAUACCUGUUCAUUCGAUGAUUCAUGCUUGAUAUCCAAACGAUCAGCGAACAAGAGCACCUUCGUUUGAAGAGGACAGUUAGAUUGAUGUGGGAAUAGUACUAAAUCACAAGAUGCAUCAAAAUGUGCAAAUUACCCUGUCCAAUGAAUGUAGAUUUGAAGCAUCGGUUGCAAGAACUCGCACUCCGAGUGGCAUGGCACAAGCAUUUUCACAAGGGCAGAAAGGGCAUGUUACUGGCUUGUACACACAUCCAUCCUUCUCAGACCAAACGCCAGAAUGGUGAGCAGAACCUUGGCCACGGAAUUUGGUAAGGGUCUCUUGGUUGAGUGAGGAUGCGUCACACACAAUAACAUUUACCAUAGCUGGUGGCGAUGCCAUAAGAUCAUCUUGUGCGAAGCCAACACUUGAUAGUCCAUGUCUCAAAAGAUAUGUCAAGUAAAAAUUCGAGGGUGAUGACAAUGAGCAUGAAACAAGAAAGCCAUCCUUCUGUAAUCCGAGUGGUGUUUUACAUCUGCUGCAAUAAAUAAGAAGCUUGUUCCGUGCGGAUUCUUUUGGUGAAAACUCAACUGGCUUGUGGCAUCUUUCAAGCUUAAAAUUUUCACAUCUGGACAUGUUCAUACUUUUACAACAUAGGCCACCAGUUCUCUUCAGAUCUUCAGGCACUGUGAUGCCAGCACAAUCAGAAUCGCCGAAAGAUUUCGUUGAAGGAUUGGAAUGCUCUGUGUCCAUGCAAUAGCUUAUUGGAGGGCUGAACCUUCUCUUUUUCUGGUACUGUGAGUUUACGCUUCUGUUCACUGAAGAAUAUUCAUGCUCCAAAGGAUAAUCUCUAUUAGAAGUUCUUUCAGGAGUACCCACUGAUGUGGACACACAAGAAUGGUUUCUGUUUGCUGUUGUUAGCGAAGUGGACACAUUUACAUUUACAGCCUGAUCUUCAUCAUUGUUCAUCACUGCUGAGAUAUUUACCUCAGAAUGAUUGCUGGGACUAGCAACAGGAGCCUCUGUAAAAGUUUCUUCCACAAGAGCAGGCUGUUGCAACCUGUGUUCUGAUGGAUUAAAGAUAGUUAAUGUUGAGCACCUGCAAACAAUAGCAAGGCUAAAUAAAAUGGAAACUGAAUUACAUUAGAAUACUCAAGAACAAACAUGCCUGAAUGCAGAUAGAUUACCAAGACUUAGAAUCAAACUUCUCCAAGUCAAUAACAUCUGUAUUGACUUCAUAAUCCCCCCCAAUGUCUGCUUCACCUUCCAAGUUAUACUGAAUUUUGUAAGAGGGAGGGAGUUGGCAUGCUGUUGAAAGACUUCUGGGUAUGGGAGAGCUUAACUUCUUUGCUAGAUCAGAAGAUUUAGAAGAGAUCUCCCAUGCUUCUGAUGAUGGUGACGCAUAAGACAUACCAAUUUUAUUAUGGUAUACUCCUGCCAAACCAUCUAUUUUUGGAACCUUCAAACUUCCACGUUCAGUCUUUACCUUCUGAUUACUUUGCAGUAUUGAUUGGUUUAAGAAAUUUGGUUCUGGCCAAGGCAGUUUUCUUUUAUCGUCGUGCUUUGGAAGUAUAUCAGCCUCCAACUUGACAUUAGGGGACAUCUCUCGACCUCUUAUCUUUAUAUGCUCCUGAAGAGACCAUCAUUUAUAUCAGAUAGUCCAUCCACAUUCAGAAAAUCAAAUGCAUAAUAAUAUCAGUACCUCAGCCUUUUGAAAAAACUUCUCCAAUCCAUCCAUCGUAUCCUGGAAGCUACCAUAAUGCUUAAUCGAGUUCUUAAGCCAUUUUGAAAUGUGUACAAGGUUUCUCUCUUCCUGAUACCGCUCAUCUGUACAAAUAACAUAGUGGUUAUAAGUAAUCCUAUAUCAAGAACAGCUUAUUGCAUCCAUUAGAAUACACAUCACACAAAUAUGAAAACUACAAGGACCAACUUUCUGGCUAAUCAUACCAAUCAAAAUUAUGCCUCCGUAGUCAAGCUUAUGCCGAAUACAUCGACCUAGAAAACGACAAUAGUAAUUAGCCAUUUUCAACCUUAAUCACAACAAAUGAUCUACAAGUAAAUCAACAGCUAAAGUAUCAUACCAGCAGCUUGAUUCAGAGCACGAAAUGCUUGAUGACAGUACCAGUCACUCCCACUUAACAGAUGCUUUGAUGAUUUGUAGGAAUCAUUAUAUCUUUUUUUCAGCUUUACUUGGACAUCAUUUCUGAUUCAUGAAUAAAACAUCAGAAUAAACAUGGCAAAAGAAAUUGGACUUAUGUCUAGAAGAAAAAGGGUACUUACAUAUUUGGAAAUGGAAUGCCAACAAUGACCUUAAAUCUUGGUCAAGGAAACUGAUGCGUAUCAAAAUCAUUAACUCUCAUGUUCUAAUAGAAUAGGUGUAGAUGUGUAGUGAAUAAACACUAAUACCAAUCAUGCUACAGGUUACUAGGGCAAAAGUUUGGCAAUAAAUUGUCUAUGUCAUAACAGCAUGCAAUGAUAAGGAGAAAAGUAAGGAUACAACAACUCUAGCGUUGUCAUCAGAGAAGUCAAUUCCUUCAGAUACCUGAAACAAAAAAUCAGCAACUGCAAAGCAUAAGCUAAUGACAGCUAGUAUAUGCACACAACACCAGAAUAAAUGUAUAGAAUUAGCACCUUCCCACGACAAACUGCAAGAAAAGCAGCUCCUCCUUUAGCAGAUUCCUGUGAUGAAUUCUUUCUCACUCGAUUCUUCACGAUUUGUUUUGCACCACCUCUGCCUUUCUUGAGGGGAGCCUUGCCAAGGAUUGCAUCAUAGUAUCCUUUCAGGAUGGGCUCAAGUUCCUCGGUACUUCCUCUGGGCUCUGAGACAAAAAAUAUCUUAAAUAAGAAACCUGCAGGAAAUUGAAAAUUUAAACAGUGGGCCUUUUAGAAUUCCGAAGCAAUGAUAAACUUACCAACAAACACGGGCUUAUUAGCAUGCAAUCGUGCCCAUUGGCCUGUCUGAGCCCAACGAACUUUCAUUUUAUCCAGCAACUUAUAGCUAGGAAAAAACACUAGAGCGCCACCUGGAACUAUUCUGCAUAUUUCUUCUAUUGAAGCUCCAAGCUCGUCCUAUAAAAAUGAGAACAUUUUAUUUUUGGAGAAAAUUAUUUAUGUCAGAAUAUGACAACAAAAUAAUGACAAGUUACCUGGAAAGAAUACACAUCUGCAGUUUUAUAGCUGGCAUUCAACGGAUAUUUUGUUGGCCCAGAUGAUAUUACACUUGCAAAAACCUGCAUCAGAGUGCCACAUAGGCUGAGAAAAACUGCAAACAAAGUGGUUAUUUGGCAUAAUUUGGUGAUAUUUCUAUGCAUGCAAGCUCCAUAUCAUAUCCAGGUCAUAAUUUAAUUAAGGUCAGAGGCUUAGAGCUCAUCAGGCCAAAGCUUUUGUAUGCUGUCUGGAUGGAUAGCAGGGCAGCUGUAUUUCAAGUAGUGAGAAAUGAAAAUCAGUUCAAAAACUUUAUAUACACUAUAGGAUUAACAAAAAGCUGGACACCUGACAGGACUAGCUUAACUAGAAUUCAAAUAGGUUGGAUAAGAGGCUGAGGAAUGCACAGUAAGUUCAAGCCAUAUCAGUUAACUAAAAAAAGUGCUUAGCUUUCAAAUAGUUUGAAUCGGUCAACUCUUUUUAAUCACAUAUUGUCUUGCCAUUUAUCAGUAUGCACACUUUUUAAGGAUUACCAAUAUGUAUCAAAGUAAAACAAUCCAUUGCCAGUCUCUAUCAGACAAAGCUUGGGAAUCUAUGGUAACAAUUUGAACUAGAAUUUUCUGUUCUACUAUUACGACCGAAAAUCUAUUUGCAGGAAAAGGGAACCACAUUCCACAUUUUUAUCAGCUUACGUUAUGUGGAACAAAAUUAGUCUUAAAGUAGGGAUAGGAGAGACUAGAAAUGGUUACACUUUACUCAACUUCAUACCCAAUAGUUGGUAAAAAUCCAUCACCAUUUGGCUAUGCAGUACUUUUUAGCACAGCCGACUUGCAAAACACACACCUGAGAAUCAGCAUCAAUUACGUGAGGAGCUUCCAUGCAAGCGUCAAACUGGACACCGAGUUCAGAUGCAAAGGAGCCCAUUGGAGAGAGUGUGCUGCAGAGAUACAAAGUUAAGAGAGAACUGUAUAUUAUCUGUUAAUCUGUUAUUCUAGAGAAACUUUGAUGGGCUAUUUUAGAAAACUUCAGAAGUGGAUAACCUAAUUAUUUUAGCUUGGAACAAUUAUGCGACAGUUGGUCAUGUGCCUACAAGGUGAUGAAAACCCUGUUAAAUAGAGCAUGUCUAUAAGGCUGAAAACCCUGUCCUCAGCGAAAUUCCAGUUGGCACAAAUCUAAAAUAUAUUCACUAUUUCCAUGAAGUCACUCUUCUACAUAUACUUAGUUUCUCUUCUAUGUUCUUUUUUUUUUCAAAUUAAUACAUUCCAUCUUAUCAGAUGUCAUAUGUGGAUCAUCAAAGCGAUAUGCUGUUACAGUAAAUAAAACCACUUUCCUAAAAUUUCGAGGGGAAGUAUGAACUUGGAAACUUACCCAGAUGUCAAAAUUACUGAAAGGGUUAGAUCUGAAAUGCCUUGAAAAACAACAGCAGGACUGAGGCACCACAAACUCAUCACAGAUCUCGAUCCUAUGACAGAACUGCCUGCAAAUGGUGUGAUUCAAAAGUUAUGCAAUCAAACUACAUGUUACAUGUUGGAAAAAGGGAAAAGGAUUGGAUCAGACUAUCCAGUAUCCACGACUUUAUAGUUAAUCAAGCAACCGGAUUCGUAAUUUGAAGAACAUCUUAAUCUUAUGUAUACUGUGCAAGAGCCAAUUGACUUCAAUGACAUCAAGAAAACGUUUUAGGGAGUAAGCAUUACUACCUUCUCUUUGAACAAAAUGCUGGAAAGCAAGUUGGUAAUCAUAAAAAUGGCACCCAUUCCCAGCAAAAAAAUGGCUCAAUGAGGAGAAUAGACCUGCAAAAAUUGUGCAGUGUCAUUAGGUUAUUACAUAUGCUGGGGAUUAAAGGGGAAAAUGUGUGGCUUACUGUCCAGUGUCAUAACACCACGACCAGUUAAGUAUUCUCCAUCUGACUCGGUAUCCGAAGCAGCCUUAACUGCCUAAUACAAGAAGGUGAUAGAAUCAAGGUCUAAGUGGAUAAUUUUGUCAGUCACAGGCCAAAGAAGAGAAAGAUUACAGACAAACUGUUACACAGCUACAUUAACUAGGUGAUAUACUCUAGCGUAACUGCCUAGUAAAACUUGAAGAAAGAAGCACCUUCGUCGCACACUCUUGCAAUAUUGGGAAGUAUGCAGGAGUAAUACCGGCCUUCUGGAGUUCCUUCAUAGCAUUUUCACCAGUCCAACUGAGGAUUACAAAAGGUUAAAUAAACUGAAUGCAAGACAAAUGUUUAUUCUCAUGCUUUGUUGCAAGCAUGUAGUUAUUCUGGUGAAUUUUACAACUGGAAGUUCAACAUGGAACUCAAUCUUAUUAUGGAUCGGAGGGAAUAAUAUAUUUAAAAAUACUCGCACAAGGUAGCAGGUCAAUGCACUGAAAAUAAAUAGAAAUAGACAUGUACUGCACAAUUUUAUGCAACCUUACGUUAUAUAUUUCAUAAGAGAUUCUGUGGUCCUUGAAAACAUUCUACACAGUCUAAUGACAGGCAACAAAUGUCUGAGAUGCAGUAGUACGUAAUGUUAUUCCACGUGCACAUGAAGUACGUAUUAUUUGUACUAACACUGAAACAUGGUACACAAAUUUCAGAGUAUGGGUAGCUUACUGGUGCAUAUUUAUUCCUAAAUGACUGAAACAUGAUAUACAGAAAUCCUAAAUGACACUGCUUGGCGUGUUCGAGAAAAAAAAGUUUGGUUUGAACAUGGAGAUGGAGAGGAGAAAGAUUAUAACAAUGACAGUGGGAUUAUUUGCAACUUAUUCAAUUUGGGGAUGCUAAAGCUGGGGCCGAUUCAGAGAAAAUAAAAAGAAUCACGAUGCCAAUCUCCCCCCUAAUAAAUUGUGGUACCAGUACCUCAUGAUACUUCUCCCCAUAAAACCGCUCAUAUUUCAAUGAGCUAUGCAGAUCUUUCAGGGGUACGAAGAUGAGAUGGCAAAAACUAGGUAGAUAAAGAUAAAAACAGGUAAGAAACAAUACAGGAUUCCAUAGUACAUACAAUGAAGCAGGAUGUUCAAACUCGUUAUCUCGUAGAUUGCCCACCUGAUCAGUAAUCCAAUUGAUAAGCCCCUGCAUAAUUACUAACAGCUUAAUCCCUGAGACCAAUAUUGCUACCAAAUGUGUAUUCUUCCCUUAUUAAGGAGGAACAGUAGGAUUACAAACUCUUCUCAUUAAAGUACCUCAAUGACCUCAUGCAAGGGUUGGUAUAUCUUUGCAACAGCCUCGUUAGUGGCCAAGUUUGCUAGUUCUCCCGCCAAAGCUUGACCACAGAAAUAAAUAAAUUUAGCUCAGCACAAUUUAACAGAACAAUGCGUUAAGCUCUAAUGGAACAGUGACGAUUGCCUUACUGGUAAGUGAUUCUUCAUCAACAUCAACACUUCCAGCAUCACGUGCUAUAUCUUCUAUGUUGCUGCAAGACAAGUAUUUGAAUAAACACAGGCUGGAAUUCACCGCUUUGUUACUACAACUGCUCUAAAGAGAAAAUAUCAGAUUUGAUAAUUGGUUGAAAAGGUACCACAAGAAACUAGUUUAACAAAGGAAACCAUGGAAGUACAUCAAUCAUGUCAAGAAGGAAAUGAUUGACUGAAAAAGAAACACAAGUCUGGACUUACUGUGCUUCAUCAAGAAUAACAAUUGAGCCACUGAUAUCAAUGUCCAUUGCUCUUCUGACAAUUGGACUAAUUAGGUAGUUGUAUGGACAGAAAACCAGUUGAGCUGUUUCUGCCAUGGUUUGUGCAGCAAAAUAUGGACACCCUGCAGAUAGCAAAAAAGGGGGUAGUUGAACAGAUGUCAAACAUUCAGCGGUGACAUCAUGCACUCCUCAGGAUUCAGAAUUAAAUCCUUUUAACCAAAGAGAUGAACAGACCCUUGACUUGUCGUCCAACUCUAAGAAGAUCCUCAAUAUCGUGAACUUCGUAGCAGCCACCCUUCUGAAGGGAUGGAUGACGACUUAGUUUCUGUGCAUUCCUGCCAAUACAGUUUUCUCAUUGCGUUACUGUCUGUGUGGGGAAGGGGGCGGAGAGGUUCUCCAGGUUAAAUACGUUUUGCCAUGAAAGAAACUAGAAAAUCUCACUUGAAUUCUGGGCAUCCUUGAACCUUGUCAUCCAAGAGCAACUUGCUGAUGAAGGAUAGCACGAUUCAUUAAAUGAUUAGAAAAUGAAUAAUGCAAAAGAUUGGAAAAGUAAUGUCUCUUAUAUGUUACCAUUGCUCAUCAAUGUUGUCACUCAUGCAUACAUUCUUAUUGACACAAUAGUGCUUCCUCGAAGCCUGCAUUGCAUGAUUACUGUACUUGUCAAACAAAAUGCAGUUUAACUUCAGAAUGUGAGAACAAGUUGACCCUAGGAGUGGAACUACAACAACAACCAGUGAUGCAUGAUGAUUGAAUAGCUGUCUUGGCGUCAUUUGUGCCACUGCUACUUAACUUUGGUUGGAUAAUGUAGUUCUUUUAAAGAUGGCAAGAAGUAUACUGAGAUGGAAACACUAGUUACCAAGACGGCCAUGCGCACUCGGUACGAUGUCUUGCGGAGCUCCCGGACCACCUGGGUGAUCUGCGAGUGCGUCCUCCUGCAGAAAAGCAACCGACCAAGAAAUCAAUCAAGAUUCUCAACGGCUCAAGUCAGAGGAGCACAAAUCUUACGUCGCGUAAUAGAUGGUCGGAGCAUUCUUCUUCUUGGCCGCCUUUUCUGGGACGCCUAAACAUCAAGAAUGGCAACUGGGAAAUGAGCGAUAAAGAAGAGCAGAUCGUUCUUGAUCCAAGAAUUGAUGGCAAGAGAAAGAAAGGGGGAAGGUGCGAGCGUAGCGUACCCGGAGUCGCCUGCUGCUGCUGGGUGUCGUCGGGGACGAAUCCGCCGCCGUGGAGGAAGGGGUCGGCAGCGGGCGGGGCCGGGGGCGCACGGAGCGGGUAGUGGCGCUGCCAAGCGAGCGCAGAGCAGAGGAGGGAGAGCGACUUUCCGGUGCCGGUGGGCGACUCGAGGAGCGCGUGCGAGCGGCCCUGCCGCCGGGCGCGGUCCAGCGUAGCGAUAACCCGGCCCAUGAAGGCCAGCUGCGUCCCGUACGGCUUGUAGGGGAACUCCACCGGCACGCCACCGACCUGGUACACGCCGCCUCCGAGACGCGCGGGUGCGGGCGAGGGCGCCGGGGUGGCGAAGUCGUCGGCGGCGGCGGCCAUCGCGUCGGCUCCCAUUGGUAGCGGGCGCACGACUCGUGUUUGUGGUUUUGCCCGUGAAGGGGAGAAAGGGAAAUGUUUUUUUUAGACAGAGAGAGAGAAAGGGGGGAAAGUCCGAAAGGGGUUUGGGCGCGAGGAUUUUGGACGCCGCGCGCCAUCCUAAAUAUUUCGACUCGCGACAGAGGUCCGCUUCCUGGGCGGACCAUUGUUUGGGCCCAUCAGCCCAUCUUGAGUUGGAAGGCUGAGGUUUUACGUUUGCUUUAUGCCGUACAAUUUUAAACUGAUUUAUCAAAAUACUCUUCGAGGUAAACUAAAUCAAGCGUGCCGUCGUCUCACAUAGGCACUAGCAAAAUAGCUUUCGAGCAAUGCCAAGAAGAAGAAAAUGUCAAAUGAAAUGAAAUCAGGUCAACCUAAAGGUUUCAAUCAACCGCAACACCAAACAUAUCCGAUAUCCCUGCUAAGGCUUAGUUGGCGGUUGCUACAACCCUCGGUGCAAAACAUGAACACAAACCAUCUAAAAAAAUGAAUACAAAAGAUAAACUUAUUUUAUAAUCCUCUGGAAAAAUAAACACGCAAAAAAUGAAAAUUUGGUUAACCAAAUAAUAAAGGGUGGAGCAAAAACAUUAUUGUGUUAGUCCGCCACAAUACCAAAUGCAGCCUAAAGUGCAUGGCUUCACCAGAGCCAUAGAAGAAAUUUUCUAUAGGCCAGCAAAGCUAUUAGAUUUUUUCUAUUAAUCCCUCUGCUAGUCUGCUGACCUGGUUAAACCAAGGCGCAUGUUCGUAUUUACAUGAAAAUAAUUGGUUUUCGACAAUCAGAAAACGAAUGGCUACUGUACAGUGUCUAUCACUUCCUACAGAUCACAUUUCGUAGGGCUAUUCGACCUCAUCUUCCUGCUAGCUAGUGGCUACAUCCUACAGGCCGCCACGGCGUAGCCUCCUCAGCUGUUUAAGGCGAGUCUGGGCGCGCUCAAGGCAGGGUCCGUGGUGCGACAGGCCAUGCCAGGGCUCCGUCUGACUCCUCCCGUUCAGCGUCCCAAGCCUCGCGAGCUCGUCGCGGAGGGAUGCAACGUUCACGAUGGGCACUGUGGUCGGACGCCCAUGUGCACACUGCAAGAAACGGAAUGUUCUCGUUUCAUUUACUUUGCAAAACCACAUAGCGGCGACGGAAACAAGGAGUGGGGAUUCUACUGUCUUAUUUUGUUACCUGGAAGCACAGAGAUGUUGCUUUCAGUUCUUCGAUGAUCAGACAGCACUCGGACGGUAGCAAGGGAUCGCCAAACAUAAUUGCUCCUACAAUAGUAAACCAAAGGUGGAACAUCAGCAUCUUGAUUUGGAUCAGAAACGGAACUUACAGAUUGCACAAAAUGCUCGAGGAAAAAGAAUCGCAUUAUGAUUUAAUAGAGGAAAGGAAGAAAUGGUUACCUCUGCAAGCUUUGAAAUUAAGAAUACGGAGAACUGCUGGGGGAAUAGUUGAUGACCCAUCACUCUCAUCGAGCUACAGAGAAUAGCAACAGGUAUGGAACAGAAGGACAGUGAAGUAGCUCAGUAGCUGUAACAGAAACACAACUGCACAUCUGCAUAUUUUGCUAGGCAAAUUGUUAAGUAGACAAGGCAGUCAUAUUCUCCAUCAUUUCAUUACGAAUGACAAGUUGACAAUUUUAUUGCUCUCACUCAUGCUAGUUCCAUACACGUUAUUCUUUAUCUUCCUGGCUGCAUUUUCUUACACAAGAGUAAGACUAGUGUGUCAUGAAAAGCAUUAUAUCUUCAAACAAUUUGACUUCAAAUGAACGAGAAGAACUUAAAAGGAAGUGGAGCAGGAUCAAUCACCUGCUGAAUAAAGUCCAUAAGAUCUUUUCCUGUUAAAUCGACGCCCAAAAUACAUGGAACCUGUGUAGUGUAGAUAAUGUUUAGUGCACGAGAAUACUUGAUGCAGUUUCAUCUGAUAAGAUUUCACCAGAUACCUUUGACACCAUUUGGGGAAAUAAUUGCAUGGAAAACUAAAGACAAACUCAACAAUUGCACUUCUAAGAGGCACUAAGAUAAAAGUGUGCACAGUGUUAACGUAAGGCUCGAGAGCUACCAAUAGCACAACACACAAAAGUUAUUGUCAACUACCAAACUCAGGAAGAGCAGUUACUUCUGAAAAGACAUGGUGAUAUUGAUAUCAUAUACUCCGUAGAAGAUAUGGCCUGAAGAUUACAAGGAAAUAGUAUUUAUUAUGUGUGAAACUUGUCUGUAAUUCUCUUGCAACUUCCAAGAAACCUGCGCUUUGCUUUUCUUUCCAUUUUAACAGUAAUUAAUCCAUGCAUAACUUUAUGGACAUCAAAGAUCAAACCAACAUUGGGUUUCAUGGCAUAACCAUUUACCAAAGAAAUAAUAGGUAGCCAGAAAUAGUACAAACCAAUAGGCCUCCUCAUCCAGUGGAUAGAUUGAAGUAAAAGAUAUACGGGCAGCAAUACUACAAACAUGUUGAAUAAAUAUUGAUGACAGAAAAGGGGCAUACAGCAGUAAGAGCAACUAGACGGGCUUGUCUCCUCAGAAUGUUCAUGUUCCUGAGAAGAAGAAAAACGUAAGUGGUAUAUGUUAGUAUAUAUCCCUCCGAUUCAUAAUAACUGUCGGGGAUUUGGUACAAAUUUGUACCAACUUUGUACUAAAUCCUCGACACUUAUUAUAGAUCGGAGGGAGUACAAAGAAGAUGAUCAGAUGAACAUAUUUUGGUCCUUCUGAUUAUGAUCAACUGAAGCAUACGGACAAUGCUAACUAAAUUACAAAUCUAAACAGAACUAUAAGUCAAGUCUCAGAUUGUUAAAAAUAAGAAAGGGGAGGGAACACUAAUUACAUCAGGGAAUAUAAUAACUAAAAUGAACGCAAGGAGAAACAUGUGCAAGAAAACCUCAUGAAAAUUGCAUAAAAGGUUAAGCAGGCCAAAAAAAGCAGGCCAGAUGAUAAUCAAGCACAUACUUUUUGAAUGAUUGAGAAGAACUGCUAGAACCGUUGAUGAUCCAGCCCCAUUUCUGAAUCUGCUCACUGUACUUCUGGAACAAUUGAAAUCCAGUCUCAGGGAGAGCCUGACACCAUGAGGAGAAUAAAAUAGCAAACAGUAAAUCAUAGUGAUGUUUCCAUAUUUUACAGUAAGACAAUGCCUCGGAUGCCAACUUAUAAAAGAUGAAGUACCAUAUCCUCCUCUGAGUCCAAGUAAGUGAUUCCUCGGUCUUCAUCUGAUAAAACCUGAAAAUCCAAAGGAUAUUAGUACGUAAGAUGAAAAAACAGUGUUAAAGAGAUCUUCCCUGGUAAGUUUAACACUAAAAACCUUGCCACGAAGCUCCUCCAAGCGUAUCCUUUCAUCAGCUGCAUGCUGUACACAAGUAAAAGAGGACAUCACUAGCUAAAACCUUUCAGAAAAGACUUUCUAUCACCAUACAUCUAUUGUCUACUUUUGAAAGUACAUGAACAUAAGAAAUGCAUGAUACACAAUCCAAUACACAAAAUAUAAUCCAAAUACUUUCUAGUAUCGGGCAUAUAUCCCCAAAAAAACUGUGAUCAAGCAUGAUAAACAUCUCCUAUAGGUGGUUGAGUCUAAAACCGUGACUGUGAAAUAGAAUAUCCAGUUCAUGGACUUCAUGAUUUGAUCACUCAAAAUGCACCAAUCAACAUGAUUAGUUCCAAUUCCAUGAAUGAUUGACAUUAAAUAAACAAUAUAUAUACAAACUGUUAAAAAUUCAUUAAUCAAAUAACCAAUUACGAACCUGAUCAACAAGUAGCAGCAUCUCCCCAGAUAUGACAGGAAUAAAUUUCUUAUCUAGCUGAAACAGAACUCUUGCCUCCUCAAAGCACUUUUUAUCAAUAUAUUCUGGAACUAGCGAGCUACAAGAGAGAUUUAAGGGCCCGGAAGAAAUGCUAAGUACGUCGUUGAAGCAUUCAGAAGGAACAUGUGGCAACUUCAAAGCCUACACAAGGAGAUAAGCGGUAAGCAUAGAAAGCAUGCACAGUAACUAGGCCAUAUUGUGAAGUCCAUGAAUGUGAGCAUCUCAAAUUUUUAAUGCAUGCUCAACUGUAUGCUGGUCCGAGUCAUCUCGCCAUUUAGUUAUUUGCGCAGUAGAGUUUUCAAGCCCAUCAGAAUAUGUCUCUUCACACAUUUUCACAUUUCCUUUCAAGCUGGCUCAAAUGAGAGAAGUGCUUAGAAACAGGCCCAGAAAGACUUUUGCAGCAUUAAACAGAUGCGGCAAGAGCAGAAUACCUGAGAUUUAGGGCAGAAAAAUCACUGCUACUAGUCUCAGGAAUAGGCUGGGUUGCACUCAUUUGUGAGAUAUCCUCGGGUGCAGGUGUGGCAUCUGCAUUUAAUUAUAAGAAUACGAACUUAGAUCCAACAAUGGAAUAUAAACGGGAUGGAAAAGAUUAUGAGCAGAAGAACCUUCUUUGUCAUUAAUCGGGAUAGCUUUAUCAUGUUCUGCUGUCAAUUUGGUCAGAUGCUCAUUCAAUCCAGGAAAUUUUCGUUUGCCUCUGUAAAAUGGUGGAGCAGAAUGACUCCUAGAUCUACUACCCUUGGAAAGCCUGGAUCUCCAACCAAAUCCAAAAUUUUGUUGACACAGUUGAUCUUCAAUAAGCGCACUGUCUUUUGCCAUUUGGGGAGAAGAAACAUUCAACUGGCAACCAGAAGUACUUUUCUCGGGAGAAAUAUUGUAUGAUAAUGUUGCAUCAAAUUUUGAUUUCCAGGGUACCUGACAAUCUUCAGAAACAAACUGGCCGACAAAACAAUUAUCAUGAUUGAAGUAAUUAAGCGACUGAGUUUCUUCAUCAAAGUUAUUAAAAUGUUUAGGUCCUUCACUUGUUCUUCGUGAAUCACUGAUAUAUCUUUCCAAAGAAGAUUGAAAAUCACUGUCAAUAUUUUCAGAACUCCAAUAAGCAAAGCUCUUAUUUGAUUCCCCGUGCAAUUCCAAGUCAGUCCUUGCAUGACUGUGACUAUGAGGUGUAUCAGCCAAUGAAAAUGGAUGAGAGAAAUGGAAGUAUGUAUCUUCGAUGGAGGACCUAUCAAUGUCGUCACUUCCCCACCUUGCUUGUAUUUCAGGGAAGUUUAUAUGGGCAACUGUAUUAGCCUCAAGGUCUUCAACAUAUCCCACUGCAUUCCCUAACUUCUUUCUUGCGCUGCACCUUUUCAGGACACUAGAGGUGCUACGAUCUUCAUGAUAGAAUCCAUCACUGGAAUGCGACAUUUCAGGGCAAGAAACAUCAGCUAUUGUCUUCGUAACGUCAUUGAGUAGGCAAUCCUCAUUUAGUUUACAAAAUUCAGCAUAGAACCCAUCAAAGACAGACAUGUUUGCCUUUAUAUUGGUUUCGUUUUGCAUAAAAUCACAGGUAAUUCUGUUUGGUGUACUGAGAACCCCAAAGCAAGGGUCUUGGAGAUCAAUUUCUGGACCAAUUAUCUCAGACUCUUGAUCAUCAGCUGAAAGGCCUAUUGUUUGUACAUCUUUGGACUUGACAAAAUUACAGGAAUAUUCAUGCCCAUGGAAUAUACCUUCCACUCGUCGCUUUUUCCAAACAGUUGGGUUAGCACAUGAAAGAUCACAGUCUUCUAACUGGGAAGAACCACCCUUUAACCACUGAUGACUGAUGCUUUCAGGAACACGUGCUUGUGUAUGCCCAAAUAUCUGAUCAUUACUAUCAACAUUGUCAGAGUGUUUGGAUGCACCGAUGAUCUGGUCAGGGUAGCAGACAUGCCAUGAGGAUGGCUUCAUAUCGAAAGAAAAGGAAUGUGAGUCUUUAGGUCCUGUUGCUGCAUCCAUACAAACAUUGCUUUCUCUGACCACACUCUUCUGCAGAGAGCGUUUGUGUAAGUCAACAUCGUCUUCCUUGUUCUGCACAUUCUGAUGCCUUAGGAGGCUCCCAUUGGACUUCCCUGCAAUGACAACACAUGAACAAAGCUCACAACGAAAAAAAUUCAAAAUAGAACCAAAGAAGUGAAAUAUGUUCACCAAGUCACUAACCAUCACAUUUCAGAGGCACAGAGGUAUCAAUCGCUUUGCCUGCCAAUACGAAAGGAUAACAUAAAACAUUCAUUCAUACCGGUCAGUUCUUCUCUUCAGUUACUAUAUAAAUGCUCGUGUGUUCCUACAGAAGUGAUUAUUUGUCCCAUGAGUGGUUUAAGUGCUUGUGCCAUCAUAAUCCCUAACCUUUUGUUUCUAUUAAAAAAAAUCUCAAAACACACAUCAAUCAAAUCAACUAAUCAGAAGAUUGUGACACAUAUGUCUACUACAUAGAAUGGAUGAAACAUUGUGGUACGCCCUCCAGCCUUUUAUAGUGGGUGUGCACCGCAUUUCGAGAUUCAACUUUGACCACUAAUUAGACCAAUAAUAUGUAGUUUAUGUGUCACAAAAAUUAUACCAUUGUGUUUGUAUUCAAAAGAGUUUUCGAUGGUGUAAUUUUAUGCCACAUAGCUCACAUAUUACUGGUGUAAUUGGUGGUCAAAGUAAAAUUUUGAAAUGUGUUCGCGCUCACUAUAAAGGGACUGAGGGAGUAAUCUUUUAGCAACCUAAGUGGCAAUCUUGCUGAGGGAGAAAAGACUACCAUCAACUAAAAUCUUUAUAAGAAUAAAGAAAGGAUUUAGCUUUUUCGAGACAAUAUAAGGCAAAUAAAGAUCUCAGUCUCUACCUUUGGAUGGUUGUGGUACAUGCUUCUUCCAGUAGUUUAUGAUAGUAUCUUCAAAGAUAAACAAUAUACUUUGCCAGUCCUGAAUAGUGAGAAAAGAAGAGGGAAAUAUAAAAAAACGCAAUAGCUGCAAACGGAAAAACAUAAAAAGACAUUAACAUCUUAUUUCCGGAAGGCUCAAGUCACCUUUAUUAAGUGCUCGUUCUUUUUCUAAUGAAAACUAAGUAUGAGUCCAGGCAAAUGAAGCUUUAUUAGAAAAAAGAAAAAAGGGGACUCAAAAGCAUACAUAUACGUCUAAUCACCUUGAACUCCACAACAGUUUUUGAAGGCUCAUAAUAUAGAUCGUAGCUAGAUCUAGGGCAGAAGAAGUUUAGCAGAUAUGCAGGGUAGACAUCAGUCUUCUGCCUCUUCCGGCUCUGAACAUCGUUUUCUCCAUUCGUCCUUAUCAUGGAAGACUGGAAAGUAGCUGCCAGAUUAUUCAGAAUAUUAUGUAUUGGGCUUCUACUGACGAAUCUUGAGUUGACAUCUUUGAGAAGUCAAGGAUGUCACCAACUCCAAGCAUUUGAAAAAGUUUGAAAAAUGCUAAAUAGAAGUAGAUAACAAAGAACUGUCAAGUAGGAUACACAAGUACUGGAAAUCCUGAAAUGGAGAGGUGCACUUUGCUUUAGAUGGUUUGUCAAAUUUCUGUUUCAAUUGCUUGGAAUACACAGAACUGGCAUUACCUUAUUAGAGAAGACAUCGGUUGGUCCAGAUAUGUGCCCUGAAAGAGCCCAGUUCUGAUCUGAGGUAGAUAUUUCAUGAAGACAACUGGAAACAUCAUUCCCAAAACUGUUUGAUAUAAGAGGCAAAGAGGAUGAUGAAGGAACUGUACAUAGCAACUCAUCUUCGCUGCAUUUAUAGAAAAACAUUCAGAUUACAAAUACAUAAGUAAAUUUAAGAUGCCUGGCAUAGGACAGUGGACUACCUCUACCUGUCAAUGUCAAGAAGUCUGAAUGAAAUCUGUGGAUGAAUAAGUGCAACUCGCAGGACACACUUCUUCACAUUCUGCAGUUCUCUUUUAUGACUAACAAAUAUAAUAUUGAGAAAAAUAUUAAUCAAAUCUUCUUUUGAACAAAACUGUGAAACAAAAGAAAUCUAUCUUAUCCUUCAUAAUAAAAGAAAGAUCACAUGUACCUAGAUUGCAUUUGUUUUCUCCUGACUGGUUGGUUGUAAAAAAGCUCCCGAACAACAACUACAAAGAUAGAAGUGUUCUGAUAAGUAGCUUUCCAAAACAAAAAUAUAGUACACAUGAUUAGUGUCCAAUGCCAUCAUCUCAUUCUUCACAUGCAUCAGGUACAUCUAGUGCGCUUGCUUGGUGAACAUGUGUUGCAUACAUAACACCCGCUCUGCUUUGUUUCAAGGAGAAAUACCCAACUACCUGUUGUGCCAACAGCUUCCCUCUGGUCAUCUAUUCCCAGAUGCGAGCAUUUGGAUCCCUGUGCAGUUGCCACAAGACAUUCAGAUAUGCUAUACAAGGAUAGAUAAAGGAUAUGCACAUUGCACAGCAAUAAAUCGGUAUAGCGAGUGAGUGUUGCCUUUAUUAUCUUGCAGUAUGAAUUUGGUCUCCCACGAGAUUUCGUCCUGACUUCAACCACAGAGAUAUCAGAGAGUGAUGCGAGUGCCUCUCCAUUUAAUCCAAAACUUCUAGAAGCAGAUUCCCCAUCACCCAUGGAAUCAUGGAACUUGGAUGUUGCUGUGGCAGAAGGGAGUUAUACAUCAUUAGCACGUUAAAAGACACUGGAUAUCAUUGAGUACACUCUUUUAAACUUAUACAUAUUUCAGCAGUGAGCCUACAAAAACUUGCACAUAUUUCAGCAGUAAACCUACACUCAAUGAGUGACAAAGAAAUCAUUGAUUCUGAGGGGUUCCUACUUACUAACAAUCAAAAGAACCCUAGAUUUGUUCAAUCCUAAAGAUGAUGAUAGAGCAUGAACUAAAUUGUAUUUUGUAUUGAACAAAGAAACAAGAUGCACAAUAAACAAAAUAGCAAAUUCGCCACCUAGAAGGUACUAAUGCAACUAACAUGUCAUGGCUCGUAGUGAUAUCUAUAUGAACUUAAUGAUGAUUUCAUAACUUUCCAUGCUCUUUUAAUGGAAAUAAAGCAUCCUUAGAAACAGACCCAAGAUCAUUAUGGGUCAUGAGUUUAUGGCUUUAUGCAAGUAACAAUCAGACACACGGGAUACAAUAAACACAUAUCCUUUCAAUAUCAAUCAUCGUUAUCGAGGCCAAAUAUCACAAGAAUGGAUGUCCUUUCCAGUAUUACUCUUUAAAUUUCAUCUGAUUUCAUGGACAAUACUAUUCUGAGGUCAGAAUAGUAUUUCAUGGUCUGAUUUCAAUAUCAAUCAUCGUCAUCGAGACCAAAUAUCACAUGAAAUCAGAGCAAUACUAUUCUCAGGUCCAUGAAAUCAGAUGAACAUCAAGGUCUGGUCCAUUUUGUGAGUGGCAAUAAUGCAAUUUAAGAUGAAGCAAACAGUACUACUGAGUGCAGGAAAAGGCAAGCUUAUAAAUAAGGAGAGCAGAACUUAUGACUUACCAUAUUUUUCUCCCAACAGAACCAAUUCAUCUCGAGUAAUACCACAACCUGCAAUAGAGACACAACUAACAUUUCCUUUCCUAAACACAAAUCCAAGUGAUAAGAAAUUUAAAACAUGAGGUAAGCACAUACCAUCAUCUUCCACUUUAACAUAACAUGAUCUGACAUUUAGUGAGAUGUCAAUCUGAAAUUAUUACAGUUGUAUAAAAAUGUCAAUUCAUCACCAUGGAGAUACUACAUGUAGAUUAUUUUAGCCUUUUGAAAGCAAUACCCAGUAUAGACAUUACAUUUGGAAUUGUGGAUUUUUUGCAUUUAUUCUAUUUUAAUGUAAAAGCCACGCCUAUUGACGACAGUACAUGUAGAUUAUUUUUCCAUUGUUACACGUGAAGGAAAUACCUUUUUCGCAUUUGCAUCAAUGCUAUUAUAUAUCAACUCCUCAACGACCCUAAGUAGGUCAGACAGAACAAUGCUUGAGCGCAAGGAGCUAUGAACACUUUUCGGCAAGCGUUUUAUAGUCUGCAUUGACAUGUUCUGGAGAAAAAACAGGUUAAGCUUAAAUCAGCCAACAUUCAGGAAUCAAACAUAUCCAAGCAAAAUAAAUAGGAAACGUCAGAAAUUUCUUCCAGAAAUAUACAAAAAAAACUUGCUAGUAGGUUGCUUGAUCAAGUGAUGAGUGAGUAGGGUAUGGUUAUAACCGGAAACUUGGUUUGUAAAUUUCCGUUUAUUUUGAAAUUUGGUUAUUAGCAAAUGCUAACCAAAAAUGGUAUCAGAAACCAAGGAACCGAAAAGUAGAUUAACUGACAAUUGGUUUGGUUUUUGGUUAAACAUCGAAUUUGAGGAUCACACCCUCUUACUGUCGUCACCGGCCGGGAAUGGAGCACCUGAUGGCCGUUGGGUCUGUCGGACUGGCGGCAGCUGAUGUCGUGGAGGGAAGCUGGUGGGCGCGGCCGCGUCGCGUGGAGGAGAGGUGCGUCGGCGCGUCGCGUGGAGCUGACAAGAGGCACGGCGGCGCGUGGAGUGGCGUGGAGGAGAGGCGCGUACGCUGCCAAUGGACAAGAGAGUCGACGCCGUCGGUCCGCGCCUCCGUGAGGACGUGGGGUGGAGGCGUAGAGGUAGACCAGUGAAGGCCUGGGUGGCUCGGUCCCCUGCAGGCUGCGGCGGCGCCGGCCGUGGCCCGCGGGAUAGAGACGUACAGGCCUAGAUGGAUGGGUGGCUCGGUCCCCUGUGGGAUGCGGCGGAGCCGACGGCUGGCGGCGGCGGCGAUAGGUCGGUUGGGAGUCGGAGUCGGGGACGAGGCCUCGGCACUUAGACGCGCUAGCGGGCCGAUGUUGUGUACUCAACUGUUAACUAGCAGUUCUUUUGGGCCUCGGGAGUAGUUUUUUUGGGCAUCUUUGGGCCAGGCAUCAUAUCGCGGUUUUCUCUGGUUAACCAGGUCUAAAACUCCCCUAAAAAAAAACAGGUCUAAAACUGAAAAUUCCCUUCAGCUUGAACACCAAAUGGCCAAUGCUGCCCGUGAAACCAAAACACACAUCCCCUUCUCUAUCCUUAUUUUUUUUAAACGGAGGCAAAGUUUGCCUCGUCUCAUUAAUUAAGAAGAAAUUUGUUGUCCGGUUAAUUAACGAAAAACCGAACAAAAACCGUUACAACACUUCUAAGAGCCAUCGUGCAUGACAGCCCUAAAAACACCACAAGCCCAUCUGGCUACCAAACGCACUCCACACGUGCUAUCGAGGAGAAGAUCGUCGUUGACUUUUUUCGCUGGCGUCAUCGUCAUCACACAUCACUCCUCAAGCUAGCAACUCUGACUUCACCGCAAAUGACCCCAAACGAAACCCUCGUCGCAACAGUCGCCUGAAGCCCACGCACCGAGAAAGGGCAAGCCUUGCGCCGGAGAUCGCCGCUCAACGAUCGCAUCAAUCGUGAGGCACCGUUGCCACCAUGCCGCAAGAGACACCCAGCGAACAGAAAGGGGGCAGGCGAGGGCGAUCGAACGAACAAAAGAAGAAGGGUCGGGUCGGGCCGGGCCAGGUCGACGGGCCUAGUCAGACUUCAGGGAGCCAACACGGGCAAUGCUGCGACGGCGGCUCCUCGCCUGAGUGGGUUCUAGCCCGGCAAGCCGUCGAUAGUGCACCUCAGCUGUGCGAGCUCCCGUCGGUGGGGAGGCGGCGAGGCGGUCGUGACGACGGGAGAAGCACACCAAUUUCAUGCAGCAGAUUAUGCGGAGCCGGAGGACGAUUUCGAUGGAAAGAGCACCUAUUUAGUGUCAAUGUGAAGUGGGGGCGUACGAUGAAAUGCUCAAGCAAUGUGGUGUAUGAAUUUGGUGUUCUUGGUUAGCUGCUGGAUCAUAAAGGGAUGUGUUGCGAGAAAAGGUUGCUUCAACUCUUAUCUUUCGCAUCCACUAGAAAAUACUUUUGAACAAUUUCCUAGCAAGGCAUGAACAUUUCACGAUUAAAGAAGACACGGCAUCUUAAUUCUAUGUUUCUUCAUUCCUGCCUUUUUAGAUUUCUACAUACAUGUGAAACAUAGUAAAUCUCAUAUCUCACUCUCAUCAGAUUUAAGUAUUCCACGGUGCAGCCCACGGGUCGAAUCACUGAUGAAUAGCAGCGGCAAGCAAGCCUCUACAGGCUAGCAGCACGCUGGUUCUGAACCCAUGAGGCAGCUUUCCAACCCAGAACCACCCCGAGAAGAAUUGAAACACACUGGACUGCGCUGUACUGCAUCCCACUUUCUCAAAUAGUAAAAGGGAAGGGGAAAAAAAGGCUGAUGGCCAGAUCACAUUACCAAACACCUUACACUUCCUAGUUCAUGCCAGCACAAAUAGGCAGAAUCAACAAUUCAUCAGCUCUGCACCCAAAUCACGCUACUCGCUACAUCAAAACACAGGAUGUUAUGAAGAAAUGCAACGUGACGAUGGUAACCCCACCAUCAUUGCUGCCACUACAAAUAAUUUGUCAAGCUGCGCCAGCAAUACUAGCUCUUGCAGCCCACGUAACACCAGAUAGGUGAACAAAGACCGAAGGCCAUGAUUCGUCGCAAGCGCCAGUCAAAAUGAGCACUCCGACAGAGCCAAAUCUAUAAGCUGUUAUCAGUCAGGCUUCCAGGUCACUGUAUUGUCGAAUCAGUUGAGCCAUGCGUGCUUCAGACACUCCGCGGCAGUGGGCCUAUUUUCUGGAGUAAAAUCUAGGAUCGGUCGAAGAAAGUCAGCAAACCCGUUGGCGUCCGUUUCAGUGAAAUUGUACCUCUCGACAAGUACACGUUCCAAAGGCCAGAACUUGAGCCUUCUGAUCCUCUUUAAAUCUCCAUGUCGGUCGAAGUAAACCUUGGAAUGGGUACCUGAGCUAGCAAUCUGAAAGAUAACAGCAAGAUUAGGGAGCACACUAGGGAGCAUGACAGAGAGAGCAGGAGAGAGUUUAUAAACCUUCUUAGGCAUCUUUCCAAGUGUUUCCAUCAUCAGAGCUAGGUGAUCCUACAAAGGGUUAAGCAAUUGAGAAGAUGAGUUGAAUGGUUGAUAAUAACACUUGCAUCAUUGCAUGGCAUCAGAGUAGACUUUGUAGCUAAGAAUAGACAUCUGAACUUGAUUUGUUAAUGAGUACUAUAAGUGUCACUAUGACAAACAAUCUUACAUAGGUAGACAUGGGAUUCACUUUAAAGGAAAAUCCACCAGGCAGAGUAACAAGCAUUUUAGCUGCCAUUAUUCAAUUUUCACUGGCUACAGAACAGUCUGUUGGUGUUGGUACAUUACCUUGUGCCAGUGUAUUACAUCUGGCAAGGAGAAACAGAACAGCUCAAUUUAGAGUUGCUUUUUAGUACACUGUAGAACCAGAACAGGGCACUUGAAUUUGAACCGUGUAUCACAUUAAGAUGCAAUUUCCUCUGUACAGCAGUCCUAUGAUAUCUGGUAACUGUACAUGAAAUGUUUCUAUAAAUUCAGUUUGGACUUUGCUGCAUCCAGGGAUGUCUGACCAAUCAACAUAACAACUGCUGGAAUUCUAAAAAACAGGUUGACGCCUGCAAUCUAGGCAUUACGAUGAAUAUACUAGCUUGAAUAAACGUCAGACAACCCAGGUACUAACAAAGGUAGUUAAAAAAUAUAUGAAAGAGCCUUCGUUAUCAAAGCUACUAGCAUAUGGAAAACAGUGCUGAAAAUAGAACAUGAAAUUCAUGUUUUUAUACCUCAUCUUCAUUGCAGCCCUGGCAAUUCUUAGGAGCAAACAGCAUGUCACCUGUGGCAAGCUCGAAUACCAUACAAGCGAACGACCACAUAUCGGCUGAAUAAGAGUACACAGAACCGAUGAUAACCUCAGGGGCUCUAUACUCCCUUGUCUGUAUCUCACCAGCAAGCCGCUGGUCAGCCCAGCAGGCAUUCCCGAAAUCGACAAUCUUGCACUUCAUACUAAUGCCAUCUAGACUUCUCUCCUUCUCCACCUCCGCCCCAACUCCACCGAGAGACACCCGCCUCAGUGAAAUCUUAGCCACGGCACGUCUCGCCCGUAUCUUAAGCAUCUUUUCACUGAAACUAGUCACCUUUCCACCAUAUUGGUUUCCCACAGGCCUUUCCAAGAUCGGGGUAAACCCGGAGCGCACUGGGUCCUUCGAUGGGUUUAUUGUCGACACAAGGAGGACAUUCUCUGGCUUCAAAUCCGUGUGGAUGAUGCCAAGCUCCCUGUGCAGGUAAUCAAGACCAACCAGCACUGACCGGCAAAUUUCCCUCACUCUGCUCAGCCCAAUGCCCUUGUUCCUGUUGUACCGUAUCAGCCGCAGCAAGCUGUCGCCAAGGAACUCGGUUACCAGACAAAUGUGCUGACCAUUUGGACCAGAAUGCUUGAAAUGGUCCAGCAAUUGCACAACGCACUUGGAAUUCGUCGGGUCACCCUUGGCUACCGCCGACAGUAACUCGAUCUCAUGGAGGGCCGCAUGCGCAUAAUCCCUCGCGCUCUUCUGUAUCUUGAGCGCCACAAACCUCUGCAGGUUUUACAAUGGCAGUAUCAAAUUAGCAAUUUGUACCGUAUAGAUUGCACAAUACAAAGUUCCAUUCUAGACGGAAAACAGGAAUCAGUUUUGUUCUCAGUUCACACAUAUCAAAAGAGAGACCAAAAACACGAGUUUUCUUCUCUACUUUACCAGUUUUGUAAUCUUGGGAUCAAAAUGAAGAGUUUGUUGAAAUAAAGGUCGGCGGAAAGCUCUACAGAAUCAAAUUUGAACAGAAAAAUGAUGCACAGAAGCUAGCAAUGGAACAGGGGUAAAAGCGACAAAGCGCCAUGUUUCGGAUUGCAGCAAGCUCCCAAACAAGUGAAACAACCUCCACCCAAGUUUGGAAAAUCCAAAAGCAACCGAAAAAAUCGAACAAAUCUCCAACGCCGCAGAAAGAACAAGCCAUGAAAACAAAGCACCAUGGAACAGGAAACAAUUAGCAAGACGCGGGAAGCAGGGAGAUGAGGGGCCGGAGAAGGGACGUGCCUUGAGGAGGGUGUCGUACGCGAGCCAGACGGUGGAGAAGUUGCCCCAGCCAAGCUUCCGCUGCGCGACGAACCUCCCGCCGGCGAACCGGUCCCCGGGCCGCGCGGCGUGGUACCCGCCCUUCCGGUACCCCUCGGGCCCCUCCUCCUCGUCCUCCCCAUCUGACCCGGACGAGUAGCCAUAGCCGCCGUUGCCGAACGCCGCCAUCGAUCGGUCCUCCUCCCUCCGGAUUCGAACUCUUUGCGGGGAGCGAGGGGGCAGGCGGCUAGGCUAGGCUGGGUUUGUAUGCCUUUGUUAAACGAGAGGAUUUUUCUGGUGACUUUGUUCGGUCGGGGAGAAAAGUGGCCAUUCCACCACCACCACCACCUGCUGCGGCGGAGUAGGAAUGGAUGGGAUGGCCGCCGGUCACGCGGUUAAAUUGCAUCAAUUGCUAUCGAAUGCUAAAUUACCGGAAUCUAUCACAUUAGCGCAAACCAAGGUUAAAUCACUUGUAGAAAUACUUUAUUUUUAAAACGCUGUGAAAUUUCUGACGUGUAUGACUAUGACGUCAAUCUUUUUUCUAAAAAUGACUCGCACUUCUUUGCAAGAUUGAAAAAUUAGACAUUGUGAUGUAAUUCAUGAUAUGGUAUUUUUUUUAAAUUGCUCGAAACGAGACAUGAAAACUAUAGUUGGACGACCUUGGGCUGAGAAGGAUUUUCGGCAAACUCUGCCUUAUGUUCUUUUGGUAAAUAUUGAAUUCCCCGCAAAAAAAGAGACACGACAAUAUAUCUGGAAAAUGGUUGUUAAGGAAAAACUUUACGUUGAUGCUAUUUUGAUAUAUAUUUUGUGUAAACAAGCCGGACAUCUUUAUCGUUUUGAUCCUAUCCUACACUUACUUUGGAUCAAGUUUAUAGCAAAAUAAUUGGUCAUAAAAGUAUGAUAACAUAUCUAAUUUUUUUAAAGGAAAAUCUUUAUUGGUGAUUAUGUGAUAUACGUCUCGUGUAAACGUCAUGUAAACAAGGCAUGAUGUUAGAACGACUCUUCAAGUUAUAAAAGAGUCAGGUUGCGUGCAUAAUAAUCUAAACCAGCCGAAAAGAUAUGUCAAAGGACGCAAGUGUCAAUCUUUACUCUUAUAAAAGAGUCAAUUGGUGGCGGCAGUCCGUCACAUCCUUUUGUUGUAAAUAAAAAAUCUUCUCACCUUUUCUAUUGUCAAAAGAAAACUUUUCCUCUUUUUCCAAUGCAAACAGUGAAACCUAUUUGUUCCGUUAUCAGUUGAUAACGGACCGCGGCUAUAAUUUCGGUCGAAUGGGAAAAACAAAAAUUAAAUCUAUUGCAAAAAGCUGACAUGUGGAUAAUGUUUGUCACCAAAAUUAAAAUUAAAUAGACAGUCUUUUGCAGUAGGUCACCAAAAGGCUCACAUGCUAUGAAUUAAAUAUGUAAUAGUGAUUUUAGUCUAACAGUGAGUAGUCUAAUUUAUUUUAUCCAUAGCAACGUAUGGGUAUUUAGCUAGUAAGUGAAAAGGGAGUGAAGAAGGAGGAUAGGCCGUUAGUCAUGAACAAGUAACAAAAUAUGACAGACGAAUCAACAUUGGGUCUAACCGAUGUUCUCUUGAAAUGUCACGAAAUGUUUUCACUGAAAAUGUGAUGUUUUGUAUGUUGUUGAGCGAUUUCUGUUACAACUCGUUUGGCAUCCAUUGUUUCAUUUCAUUUGAAAUGAAAUCCAGAAAAAGUAAUGACUCCUAGAGAGUAUUAAAAAAUCUGGCCAGUAUAAUGCUGCAAAAGCUUGCGAUAUGUUCACGGUUAUUGUAGCCGUUCAAGAAUUUCUUUUACACGUGCACGGGAGAUCUGCUCCAUAGCCGGUGGUCUUUGUUCGUGAGAUCUGCCCUAGUGACUAGUGAGGUCCUGGCCAAUUUUUUUACUCCGAUUGAAUUGGGAUCCUGUCUACCGACGUGACGGUUGGUCAUCGUCUCCUUGGGGAGCACCGGAGCAUGUGUCGUCAGUUGGUAGCUCCCUUUCUUUUCUGUCCGAACAAAAAUAUGCUAGCUGGUGCACUUGCAAAAGCCUGGAUGGGCUUGGCGACCUGCUGGGCUGCCAAAGUGGUGAAGCACGUGUGCACGCGCAGGGCUGCCGGCCACCAAGUCUCGUGGACAUCUAUAAAAAAGAGUUCGUUCGUUCCCGUACAAGAAAAGGAAAUUAUUAAAAGGACCUCGUCAUGGUCUCAUGGACUGCGUCGUCGUUGACGCACGCGGACGGCAUAGUUGCCGGCGCAGCGGCCAGCGCCGACAACAAGCUCAAGCUUAUCGAGUAGGCACCAAAUCCUCUCGGGUUAUGCUCUGCACUAUUCAAAUUCCUAGCUAUGUCACUCAGAUUUUUAUCGUCCGAAUGAGCCGAUAUUACUUCCCUCGUCUCCAUGCAUGAUCAUGUUAGGCUUUGUUAAGACAAUAAAUCUACCCAAAAUUUACUCCAUUAGCAUGUGAAGAUUAUUCACUAUCAUGUGCAAACUUUAAUAGGAGUAGUUAGGGAAUUAUUGUGAAAGUUGCACCCUAGCUUCACAAACUAAAUGAGCAUCAAAAUAAAUACCCAGUGGUCAUACCCAACCAAAGUACUCAUUAGAAAAUGUUCCCUCGACGCUAGUGCUGUAUAUUUUUGAAAAAAGCGGAAGGGGCAGCUAAUUUAUUUAUUUUGUGAGCGGAAGGGGCCGCUAAUAAAACGAACGUUCAUUGCGUAUGUACUAUUGGGUUUUAUCGUUCUUAGUAUUUUAUUCUCACGUAUUGGGCCAAGUAUAUAUCCCGUUCUUAACGUCCGAGCGUAGCUUCUCUCAGCUCGGUUAGGCUUGAUCAACCCGGUACUCAAACAAUUCAACCCGAGUCGGCUUGGUUAGAUUUCGGGCCGGAGUCAGUGUCAAUUCGGGCCAAAUAAAUCUAGCAGGCCGUCGGAAGCCCGCACAGCCCAGUAUCAGCAUCAGUUCGGGUCGAGCACCCUAACUAGCAGCUCCUUCGCGUCGCCGCCGGCCCGCCCGCCCGUGGCCGUGGCAUCCCACCGCGGGCGCGGGCGCCUGCAACUGUGCCGCUGCCCCAUGGCCCAUGCCCAUGCAUCUGUCAAGCCAUGGAGAAGGCGAGAAGCAGAAAUGAUGCUUCCCCUUGUCAGCACGCCUGACGUGCCAGACCCACUUGACAGAGGGCAAGAGACCAGACCGGUUCGGAGGCGUGAGCCGAACCGCAACUUUGCUGGACCCGAGUGGCUGCGCUCUGUCGCUGCAUCAACUACUUAAAGCGCUACCUGUGGCCUGAGAAGAUCAUCUAGUGGAUUACGGAACCGGACGAAAAGGCUUAGUUGUAGUUCAUACAAGUUGAUUGGCUAUUCUUCUUGCUAUCGUCACAGAGUUGGCUUGUAACUGAAUCGAUCUGACACCAUAUUCCUGAGCAAUCGAUCCCCAUCUUCCCCUCCCAACUCGGUACCUAACAUCUGGUAUCAAAGACCACCUACCACCCUUCUCCCUGGCGCCAUUCAUCGAGACGCGUCGUCUUCACCAGAUCCGCGAGCGUAUGGCGACCACGGAUCCUGGAUUUCAGGAGUUCUUCACCAAGCUGACGGACUCAAUCGAUGGGCCGCGCAAGGACAUGCGCGACACUUCAGCCACGGUCCGCUCUCAGUCAGCCAAACUCGACGACCUCAUCGCCUGGCGACCGGAGAUGGAGGCCCGUUUCACCAAGUUGGCUGAGGCGGUCACUGCGCUGCAGCACCAACGCAGCCCGGGUUAGCCGACUGCGGGUGAGGAGACCACGGCCGCGUUCAUUGCGAUGGCCACUACUGCUGCCACCGAUGGCUUCGGUGUCGGCAUGGGCGCGCAGGGUGCUCCCCACGGGCCUACAGGCCACGGCGUCGACACGACUACACGGGGUAUGGCCUCGGCGUUCGGCACGCCGAGCCAUUCCCCGGGCAACGGUCAGUUCAAUACCCCGUCCAUUAUGUUUGCUGGUUCCCCAUUUGCUUUUGCGAGUCAGAUUUUGGCUGGAUUGGGUCAGGCACAUCCGUCGAUCUGUUUUCCCCAAUUCUCUGGUGAAAAUCCCAAUCUUUGGACCACCCUUUGCGAGCAGUAUUUUCAAAUGUUUUCGAUCCAUGAGUCUUAUUGGGUUCCGAUGGCUUCGCUCAAUUUUUCUGGCUCUGCUUCGAUCUAGUUGCAAUCGAUUCGUAAGAAGCUAGCUACUGCUCUUAUUUGCACUCGAUUUGGUCGGGACAAGCAUCAGCUCUUGAUUCCUCAAUUUUACAUGAUUCGUCGGACUUCUUCUGUGGCUGAUUACAUUGAGCGAUUUGAAGAGAUUAUCAACCACUUGACUUCUUAUUGUGAUACAAUUCAUCCUUACUAUUAUCUUACUCGUUUUUUUGAGAGACUUAGGCCGGAUAUCCGGGCGAUUGUGCUGGUCCAGCGGCCGCCAGAUCUGAACACGGCAUGCUCGCUUGCCCUUCUGCAAGAGGAGGCGCUCUCCUACGACCACUUCGAGCACCCCGACCUCCGCCGUACCGACCACCACCACCAACUCGUCCUGCGGUGCCCUUACCACUUCCGGCGCCACCUGUGCGUCAGGGUGCACCGCUGGCGGCGCCAGCCCAGGAUCGGCGUGGCAUGGACGGCGCCCGUGCCGAUGCAUCCAAGGUCAAGGCACUGCGGGAAUAUCGUCGCGCUCGCGGGCUCUGCUUCAAAUGCGGCGAACCGUGGGGACAUGAUCAUGUGUGCCCCACCACUGUGCAGCUCCACGUGGUGGAGGAACUUCUUCAACUAUUUGGCAUCGACACUGUCUUGGAUACAGAUUCCGGCGAUCUCCAUGAAGCAUGGGAGGUCGUCUGUGUGAUUUCACGGCACGCCUUGGAAGGGCAUCCUUCCCCGCGUGCAGUUCAGUUGCAGGCAUGGAUUCAAGGGCGUGAAGUUCUCAUUUUGGUGGAUUCCGGUAGCACCGCAUCUUUCCUCAAUCAACGUUUGGCGUCUCAGUUGGAAGGAGUGCAGGCCAUGUCCAGAACUUGCCGUGUCAAAGUCGUUGACGGUGCUGAUCUCAUUUUCUCUCACAUGAUUCCUAAUUGCGCCUGGACAUCUCAGGGGAAUGAAUUCAGCAACGAUUUCAAGAUUUUAUCUUUGGGUGUGUAUGAUGCAAUUUUGGGAAUGGAUUGGUUGGAGCUUAUCAAUCCUUUGAUCGACUGGGUUGCCAAGCGUUUCUGCAUCCUGACGGACAGUGGGCCUAUCUAUCCGCAAGGUCACUUAUCUGCUUCAGCAACCAGCACUGUGAUCAACUCGUUACAGCUCAGUGGGUUAUGUCGUCAGGGAGCCUUGUCUCAUUUUGUGCACCUAUGUUUCGUUGCUUCCAUUUCGGAAGAAUCUGCACCUGUCCCAGCUUGUGUUCAGCACAUCUUAUCCCGGUUCAGUGACCUCUUUACUGAACCCACGGAGUUGCCGCCUCGCCGUGCUUGUGAUCAUCGGAUCCCUUUGAUGCCAGGAGCUCAGCCUGUUAAUAUCCGGCCAUAUCGACACAAGCCUGAAUUGAAGAAUGAAAUUGAACAACAGGUUGCAGAACUGCUUCGCUCCGGCAUCAUACAGCGCAGCUCCAGUCCUUUCUCAUCGCCGGCCAUUUUGGUUACGAAGAAGGACGGCACCUGGCGUUUGUGCAUUGAUUACCGACACCUCAACUCCAUGACAGUUAUCAGCAAGUUUCUUGUGCCCAUAAUCGAAGAACUUCUGGAUGAGCUAUCCGGUGCCAAGUGGUUCUCUAAACUUGAUUUAAGAGCAGGCUAUCAUCAGAUUCGUUUGGUCGAGGGUGAGGAGUUCAAGACAGCUUUCCAGACACACUCCGGACACUUUGAAUACAAGGUUAUGUCCUUCGGGCUUGCCGGCGCCCCUGCCACGUUCCUUGGCGCCAUGAACGCCACGCUGCAACCUUUACUCCGCAAAUGUGUUCUCGUCUUCUUCGACGACAUUUUGGUUUAUAGUCCUACCUUGGAGGCUCAUGCACAACACUUGCAGCAGGUGCUCCAGUUGCUUCGUCGAGAUCAGUGGAAAGUGAAGCAAUCAAAGUGUGCUUUCGGACAUCAGCAAUUGUCUUACCUCGGGCACAUUAUCAGUGGCAAAGGCGUUGCCACCGAACCUUCUAAAAUUCAAUCAUUCCAAGCUUGGCCAACCCCGUCUGAUGCUAAGGAGGUUCACAAGUUCCUCGGUUUAGCCGGCUACUAUCGCCGUUUCGUGCCACAGUUUGGCAUCAUCGCACGUCCCCUGUUCAACUUACUGAAGAAGGGCAACCCAUUCGUGUGGACUGCGGUGCAGGAUGAGGCAUUCCAAUUACUGAAGCACGGGCUCACUACAGCUCCAGUCCUUGCUCUGCCGAACUUUGCGAAGCCGCUCACUGUAACUACGGACGCCUGCGACACUGGAGUGGGUGCCAUUCUGCAGCAAGAUGGCCAUACAAUCGCUUACUUGAGUAAGGCUCUGAGCCCACGCUAUCGUGGCCUGUCCACAUACGAGAAGGAGUAUCUUGCCGUUCUCAUUGCCGUGGAGCAGUGGCGCCCGUACCUGAUCCAUUCGGAAUUUAUCAUUCAAACAUACCAGAAGAGCUUGGUUCAUUUGGAGGAACAACGCCUCACCACGCCAUGGCAGUAGAAGGCUUUCACCAAGCUCCUCGGCCUUCAAUACAAGAUUUGUUACAAGAAGGGAACCAACAACGGCGCUGCCGACGCUCUAUCUUGAGCCUCUCAUUCUGAACAGCUCCUGGCAAUUUCUUCGUGUCAACCAUCUUGGUUGGAGGAUAUUGUUUCCAGUUACGAUUCAAACCCACAGGCCCUGAAAUUACUUGAGCAACUGGCCGUUGUUCCUGAUGCCAAAGGUCGCUUCACCCUGGAACACGGCAUCUUGCGUUUCCGAGGGCGUAUAUGGCUGGGCGGCAGUACAUCGAUGCAGCAGCGCAUCAUCGCAGCAUUCCACGACAGCCCCAUGGGCGGGCACUCUGGAUUUCCCGUGACCUAUUGUCGUGUCCAGCGUUUGUUCACAUGGCCAAAGAUGAAGCACCAUGUCCAUCAGUAUGUCCGUUGCUGUCAAAUCUGUCAACAGGCUAAGCAGGAGCAUGUGGCCUACCCUGGCUUACUCGUUCCUCUCCCAGUUCCAAGCGAAUCGUGGGAGAUCAUCUCUAUGGAUUUUAUCGAGGGCCUCCCACAAUCAGGUCAGUUCAACUGUCUACUUGUGGUGGUUGACAAAUUUACUAAGUUUGCCCAUUUCUUGCCGCUGGCACAUCCCUAUACUGCCUCCAAAGUUGCUUUGCUAUAUAUGAACAACAUCUACAAGCUUCACGGCCUGCCCAGUUCCAUCAUUUCGGACAGGGACCCGUCUUCACUAGCCAUUUCUGGAGUGAACUGUGCAGGCACGCCGGCACGGCUCUCAACAUGAGCUCUGCUUACCAUCUGCAGAGUGAUGGUCAGACCGAACGAGUUAAUCAGUGCCUAGAGACUUAUUUGCGCUGCUUCACUCAUGCUUGCCCAAGACACUGGAGCUACUGGAUUCCACUGGCUCAAUUUUGGUACAACGCUUCUCAUCAUAGUACCAUUGGGAUGUCACCAUUCAAAACUAUGUACGGGCAUGAACCUCGCCAUUGGGGGAUUUCCUCGUCAAGUAUGGUUUCUGUUCCUGCUCUGCAUACUUGGCUGGAGGAACGGUCUGUUAUGCAACAACUAUUACAGCAACACCUCAAUCGAGCUCGUCAGCGCAUGAAGACCCAAGCUGACAAGAAGCGCACGCCUCAUUCUUUUGCUGUCGGCGAUCAGGUGUUUCUCAAACUGCAGCCCUAUGUUCAAUCUUCAGUGGCUACUCAUUCUCAUCACAAAUUGGCUUUUUGCUACUUCGGCCCGUAUCCAAUCGUGGAACAAAUCAACGAGGUGUCUUAUAAGCUGGAUCUUCCACCUGGCUCUUCGGUGCACCCCGUCUUCCAUGUAUCACAGCUCCGUCGCGCCCUCCUCUCAGGUACACAGGUCGAGUCAGAGCUUCCUUUCCAUACUGACAUUCCCGCUAUUCCUGUAUUGGUGCUCAAGACCUGUUGGCGCAAGUCCCACGGCGCCAUGGUGGAGCGAGUUCGUGUUCUCUGAUCCAAUCCAGCGGCUCUGGCGGACACUUGGGAGGACAAGCUCACCCUUCAAGCUCGUUCCCUGGAGCUGAGGCUUGGGGUCAAGCCUCUUCGCAAGGAGGAGGGGAUGUCAGCACCCCUGACAUGCUAGACCCACCUGACAGUGGGCAAGAGACCAGGCCGGUUUGGAGGCGUGAGCCGAACCGCAACUUUGCUGGACCUGAGUGGCUGCGCUCUGUCGCUGCAUCAACUACUUAAAGCGCUACCUGUGGCCUGAGAAGAUCAUCCAGUGGAUCACGGAACCGGGCGGAAAGGCUUAGUUGUAGUUCAUACAAGUUGCUUGGCUAUUCUUCUUGCUAUCGCCACAAAGUGCUUGUAACUGAAUCGAUCUGACACCAUAUUCCUGAGCAAUCGAUCCCCAUCUUCCCCUCCCAACUCGGUACCUAACACCCCUAAAAAAAAGCAGAAAAGGAUGCGAAGGAGAAGGAGCGGUCGUGCUGCUUCUGCUGCCUGCCUGAUGCUCUCGCUUGCGAUUUGUGUGUACUGCUACCAGAGCAGGGACGGAGCCAGGAGGCAGGGGCCCAGGACUAGAAGUCUAGAACUACUCGUAGAAGCGUAGAGAAAAUCCGGCAGACGUAGCAACACCAAAAAACCCGGCGGAAAAACGAUCCAUCGGGCGACCAGCGACGUGCGCUCUGCCGGCAAGGCGUAUCUUUUUCGGCCCAACUACCCAACAGUCGAAGGACAAAUAUGGCUUUUAUUCUGGCCCAACUAGACUGCCAUUUUUUGUUGCUGGACUUUGUAUACGCUAGCCCGAGGGGGGGGGGGGGGGCGAAAACGGCUUACGAAAUCGCCGCCAGUCUCCUGAAUCUAGCGGUGCCGUUACCUUUGCGUCAGACUUCGUUCACAUGUGAAUUGUGCGGGUGGAAUGGAUGGUCGAGCAAACACCGAGACAUGCCGGCACCGGUAGAAUGGACUUUCACUCCCUAACAUCUGCAGUGUUAAGCACAAUCUACUGAUGCUUUUGUGCUUGUGUGUGCAUGCCGGUGAGCUAGACCGAGCUGAGGGAAAGCUCGGUCCGAGCCAUCAACCUGAGACCGUCAACACCUCGAGUCGAUCGAACCAGGCCCCGUUUUCUAUUCAUCAAGCUAGCUUGGCUCGAGCCUGGCUUGGCCCAUGUAUGGUUCGUGUCUAGGGUUUAUAUGUCCUACAAAAUCCGGUGUGAUUGCGACAACAAAAGGUAAUCAUGUCAUAUUUUGCAGAUAAACCAUUGUUUGGUUUGCAAUCAUAUGUCUAGUUUAUAUUGCAAAUCUAUGUAUGGAAUUAAUGUAUGUCACCACAAUAAUGGUCUAGCAAGAAUUUAUGCAUGGAAAUUAAGCAACCUUAACCUCUGUUUUUUCGUGUUUUGCAUGCUUGUCGUUUUUGUUCAGCAAUUGUAUCCUCACUUGCCCUACCCAACCAGAAAUCUUUCCCACCCAAAAAGACACGUGGCUUGCCCGCCUCGCCCAAACAUGUACAAUCAUCACCACUGCCCCUAGCCGUGCCUCAAGACCCUAGAGUCACAAAUUCUUCUUCAGCGCUGGUGUCCCACACUCCCAGCCCUAACAAACAAAACUUGACCAAUAGUGUCGCCCCGCUGUCGCCACCACCACGUCUUGGCCGCUUCUGCUAUGAAUCUUACCUUUCAUCUUUGUUGCACCGCCAUUGCACGUCGUCGUCGCCCUGACACUUCUUGUCGACAUGGUUCCGCUCUAUACUUCCUCCUUUCUCGUCUCUACCAAAAGAAACUUAGGCAAUUGAAGACUAGAAAAUAUGUCCUUUUGCCGGUUUACAUAUUUUUCAGACUAAAAAUUUGAGUUCUCUCAAAAUGAAAUAACAACCCAUGCUUGAUCUAGAGGGUAAUGCCAAAGAAUCAGUUAACGUUUUGCCUGGCGUCCUAGUUUGCUGAGCUUGGUUAUUUCGCUUCUUGCAUAUAUAGAUUAGGUGCUCCCGUCAAGGCCAAUCCCGUCUCAACUCCACCCGUUAAUUUCCAUCCUUAGACGACAAAUUAAGCUUUGGCGUCUAGAACCUCAGAACGUUGUUGGUGGACCAUGCAGAGCAGAAUCAGAGAUUUCAGAGACGCCAUGAAAUGACAACAUACACCUUAACAAAAAUUUGACAAAACUUUGCUGAUGUAUAGGGGUCGAACAGAAGACCUUAAUUUACAUUGACCGCUCAAACAAAAGACCAUCCACUUAUUAAAUAUUCAAAUUUUGAAGCGCAGAAACAUGCAUGAUCACUUCAUUCAGAAAUCAGAACCAACGAAAAGAAACAAAAUUCACAUAUAAAAAACAGAACAUAGUAAAAAGAAAUAAUAGAUCACAAGUUUCAAGAUGAAAAGCAGGUACCAAAGCAAUACACCGGAACCAAAAUGGUUCAAUGCAUGCAAAAAGAAUUUAAAUUAAUACUGAUAUGGAAAUGGAGGACAAUUAAUCUGACAAUUAAUAGGCAGAGCAGGUCGAUGAGGUGUAACCGUGUAAAGUGGGCUGGCUCCUGGCUCGCACGCCCAAAAUCCACCCGGCCUGUACUACUCUUCCGUUCCGAAUUUCGCAUCCAUGACUGGCGAGGAGCGUGACUGGAGCGGGGGCCUCCCGCAGGAGCUCCUGGAGACCAUCGGCCGCAAGAUCCCGCCGGGCCCCGACGCUGGCGCUUUCCGGUUGACCUGCCCUGCCUGGCGCGCGGCGCUGCCCUUCUCGGAGCGCUUCACGCCGGUCGUCAUGCUGCCCUUCGACCCGAAGUCGUCGGCGGAGGUCACCUUCUACAGGGCGACAUCCGGGGAGCUCUUCACCACCAACCUCCCGGCGGUGCGAGGCAGGGCGCUCUGCGGGUCCUCGCGCGGAUGGCUGGCGCUGGUCGACGAGGCCACCGCCGUGACGCUCCUCAACCCCCUCACCGGCGCCACCAAGAGCCUCCCGCCGCUCGACGAGUACGUCACGUCGGUGAUGUUGAGCCCCGCUUUGAUGGUCGAUGGCCGUUGGAUGGUCUCUUCCGUGGACGGCGCCCUGCGCCCCGUCAGGCUAGAGGACAUGAGGAGCGUCUUCUUCGGCAACGUGGUGCUGUCCGCGCCGCCCGAGUCGGGCGAGUUCGUGGCCAUGGUCGCGGUCCCAGGCGCCACGGAGGUCGCGUUCUGCCACGUCGGGCCCGGGGCCGACGCGCCCGCUCCCACGUGGACGUUGCUGGACACGAAGCUCGAGUGCUGCGUCAGCACCGUGGUUCACUGCAUCGGCAGAUUCGUGGCCGUCGGAUGCACCGGCGAGAUCUCUGUCUGCGACGUCGCCCGUGGCACGGCGACGCUGGUGCCGUCCUUGGAUCCGCCUGGCAAGAUCCUGGCUCGCGGCUACCUUGAAUGGAACGGGGACCUGCUCCUGGUCGGCAGCAUGGUGCGGACGCACGACAAGACGAAGCGCAUCUGCUACCGCAACAGGGUGUACAGGUGCGGGGAUAUCCUCGCCGAGAAGCCGGUUUGGUCCAGGGUGAUGGAAAUGCGCGAUACGACCUUGUUCGUGUCCAACAAUUGCAUGGUGAGCUUUGGUGGAGCCAGCGUGUCUGGUCUCCGAGGGGAUUCUGUUUAUUUCUCUGAGCCCCUGUAUGGACUCCCGGAAGAUCCGGCCUAUAUAUGCUGGGCAUGUUAAUUCCUUUGGUUCAUUCUUCUUCAAUAUAGAUACACCUACUUGGGUGUAUUCUAGAAAAAAAUCCUUUGGUUCAAGGUCACAGCGAUAACAAAAGAUUAGGAUGAUAUGCCAUAUGUUCAGUUUUAUGCAGACUAGCUAGCUAUCCCGUUUGCAAUAUGCAGUUAUAUGUUCUAACAGCCCCAAAUUCCGACUAAACCCCAGUUUCAUGCAUUGUCACAACUCACAAGGUGAUGACACAAAAGAUUAGACAUGCCAUGUGUCUGUCAGACAGAUUGCGGUAGUCUUUGUUAAUUUGUCUAUUACUUGAACGCUCAACAAAGUUUAAUUUUCUUUGCUAAACCACACUACAAGAGUCUCCUAGCUUGCCUGCGAUUUUUUCUAUGGGGAACAGAAGAUAAAUUUAUUGAUUGCAAUUUAGAUCAUCACAUCGUUGGCGAGAGUAGCUCAACAAGGGUGAUUCGAGACACAAAACACCAACCUACAAUAAAAAAAUCAACAAGGGUGAUUCGAGACACAAAACAUCUUGCUUUUAGCUAGUUGAAUGAGCUUUCGUACAUGAUUAAUCAACUAACAAUUGUGACAAUAAUUCAUAUGCAAAACAGUCUAUAAAGAAUUAAAACAAGAAAAGAAAAGAAAUCUCUUGAUCGAAGCACAAUCAAGAAUUUGGCAGUUGCUAUAGAGUAGCUCCCUCAUCUGGAAUUUUGGCCAACAUAUAACACAUCAGCUUAAUUGCCUGAGAGAGUAGUUUCCCGAGUCUUUCACGUAGUGUGGAUUCUAUAUAGGCCGUAGAAGUCACUUCGUCCUCGACUCAUGGUCACAUCUCACUGCAUGACAACAAAAAGAAGAGAUUUGAUAUAUUUGGCGGACACAAUGUUACAAAAGAAGAGAUUUGAUAUAUUUGGCGGACACAAUGUUACAACUAUAGUACUGGCAAGCACCCUGAAUUUAUGAACUGAAGCAUAUGGCUCAUUACUGAUCCAUGAUGGUCUUGCUUACAGAAAUGAUAUGAUUGUAGAUUUUGUUGGAAAAGUUUCAACUGGACAAAAAAGGGAAAUCAUCACAUGACCCCCCCCCCCCUGUUGCAAUUGUAUUUUACAUUUUAUGUCAUGUAUAUAUAUUUAGACACAAUGUUUGCAUGAACACGAGACAUGCGCCAGGAUGCCAGGACUGAACUCUUGAUCCCUAGUUGUAAACAAGAAUGUAAUACCAUACAGGCCGGGUAGCUCCCCUGUUGAAAAUAGUGAACACAAGAUCUGAACUCAAUUGCCUGAGAAAGUAUGAUGUUUCGGACCCUAACAACUCAUAACUAAUUAAGUACUAUGAUCCAAAAUUUCCAGCAAUUGUCUUUUGUACAAUUUAUGUUACUUGCAUAUAUAUAUUUUCUGGUGUACAACAUUACAUUUUAUCAAGAUUAUUUUAGAAUAUAUUGUUUGCCCUUUUCCAGGACAGAAUAAUGCUUGCACGGUUCAAGAUCAUCGCUCAGAAGAGAAGCACCUCCCAAGCAUGAUGUGUGAUGCAGCAAGAAGAUUAUAUAUAUAGACUAUACUGGCUGUGUUUAUGCAAGGAUUCAGUUCUGUUUAAUUGUCUACCUCUGCUAUUUCCUGUACCAACAACAUUUUAUUUUAUCUAUUAUGAGGCUAUGAAGAACACAUGACAAUAAUUCUGAAGUGUUAAUUUUUUGACUGUUGUUUCUUUUACUUUUGUGUUAUCAUUACAAUAUAUUUCUCAAAAAUAGUUCAGAGAUGAAGUUGGCACACCCACAAUAGUGGAGGGACAAAAAAGGCACUUAUCUCUAUUUUAAAACUAUUCUUUCUGUGUUGUCAUUACAAUCUGAUUUUCCAAAUAGAUCAACUGUAAUCUCUUUUCCCGGCCGGCGGCCCAGCAUGUUGCAUGCUCAACCAUGCAUGCAUGUCAAACUUCUAAAUUUUGGGGAUUUUUUUAUUGUAGGUUAUGCUAGAUGUUACAAAAAUAUUCCAAAAAAAAUCAUCUGUAGCUUAUUCUCACAUCUACACAUCAUUGUUUUUUGUAAUAGUAAUUUUUUGUAACAUGUAAAUGUAUUUAAAAGAUCAAAAUAAAGAUUUGACUGGACCUCAGAAGCCAAAAACAAUUGUAGUAAAUUAAUUAGAGUAUCUCACAAACACGCUAGAAUGACACAGACCGAGGAUAUGCAUAGAUAAUUAUGAGUACCAAAACUCGAAUCUCAUGUGUGAAGUCAUGCUCUCACGACUCCAGUACCCGACAAAGGGGCGUGGGUGUCCUGCUCAUGCCCAGCAUAAAAAUGAAGAGCGCGAUACUAUUCACGGAUGUUCUUGUUGUUUGUCCAAAGAUUGUGAAAUCUUUAUUUAUGAGAGACAAUAGUUCCACCUUGAGAAUAAAUAAUUGUAUCCCUUUAUUUCAUAAUAGUGGAAGAAAGAUUUGUGGGGCUUUGGCCUGUGGUGUUUACCUUGAUAUAUUUAGUCACUUUUCCACGUUAUUUUUUUUUCUAAUGUUCAUGUGUAAAUAUUGCCACUGCAAUUUUGAGUGGUUGGAGGCACUCAGGACUUCCUAGGUGUGGUUGAUGCAUAUGCUUUGUUUCCUGAUAAGUAAUGAUUAUUGAAUUAGUGCAUAUAAGUGGUGGUAAAAUUAUACUUUGCCCGCAAUUUUAAAAUAGGUUAUGCUAGUGGUUGCUGCCACGAGCAGAGUUCAACGAGAUCGUAUUAUUAUUGGGAAUGGUUAUAUGAGUCCAACAAGAAUUACUAGCAAUAAAUGUCAUAAAUGUAUUCGCUCAAAAAGCAUAUCAACAUUUGAUAUGCAUAAUCAUAUAAAAUAAAUGUGUACCCCCAAUAAAUAUUCAACAUUAAAUGUUCUCAUGCAACAAAUCUUUUUGGAUAUGCACAACAUAUUGCACACAUUAAUUCCAUCCCCUCCUGCUCACAAGAAUUUCCUCUACCUGUUCUGCAUAUAUACGACGAGAUGGACGCCCACGAGGUCCAUUCGCUCCGGCCGUAUCUGCUCAUCUAGAGUUCCAGACCCAGCUAGCAAUCCCCUCAUCACCAAUUUUGCCUCUCUUGGCCAUGACGCGGCGACCAUCUCCUAGGACAAGCCUCCCGGCCAAGGCGUCGCAGCCAGCUCGUCGGAGAAGCCGAAGGCUGCAGGUCGACUGGAGAGCCCUGCCGAAGGAUCUGGUUGAGUUCAUCGCCGGGAAGCUCCCGUCGGCCCGCGACGCUUGCGCCUUCCGGGUUGUCUGCCGCGCCUGGUACUUCGCGCUAUCGUUCGCGAAGACCGUUGCGCCGGUCCUGCUGCUCCCAUUCAACCCCUACUCCACGGAGGACGCCGCGACAUUCUACAGAAUGACGGCCGACAAGGGCGACGGGAAGUUCUUCACCAGGAACGGCCUCUCGGAGCUCCGUGGAAAGGUGAUGUGCGGAUCGUCACGAGGGUGGCUUGCUCUGGCCGACGAGGUGGCGAACGUGAAGCUGCUGAAUCCGUUCAACGGCGCCACGGCCGACCUGCCGCCGGGCG